GGUAGAUUCCAAUUGUUCUGAACCAAAGUACGGAGAUCAAGGGCAUGUUUGGGCCAUGAUUAAAAUAAAAAUGAAAAAUAAAAUUAGGCUGCAUUGAAAUUGAAAAAUAAAACAAUAAAUUAUUAAAAAGAUAUUUAGUUUAUUAUUAUUAGAUUGAAAAUGAGAAUGAAUACUUAGAAUUUUGAGAUAGGAUUUUUGACUAAGAGAUGGAAGAGUGAUGAAGGAAGAGGAGGAAGAGGCUUUUGUGAGAAUGAGGUUUGCGUGGUUUAUUUUUUAAUGAGCCAAUCCGGAGUUCAAAGCCGAAUGGGCCAUAAAUGAAUCGGAUCAUAAUUCUCAUUCUGUAGUGGAAUGAGAAUCGGAAUUCGAUUUUUUUAAAACAAACAGCAACUAUUGGAACUAAUGAAUCUCUUUCUGAUUCCGCAGUCUAAAAUAAGUAAACCAAGCAAACCCUAAAGUUAUAAUUUUCUGUGAAUUCAUUGAAAAAUUUAUAAAUAUAUUUAUACACUUUUUUAAUAUUAAUUUUUGAUAAAAAUGUACAAAAUUUAUCUGAAUUAUAGACCAUUUUGAAUAGAUACUCAAUAUUGCAAAAUUUUGAUUGUACUGUCCAAUUUUUUAAUUUGUUUGAAUCACUCAACGACACUUUGACUUUAACUUUUGAAUGUGUAAUUUAUUUCUAUUUCAUACAAUUUUUCAAAACUAUAAAUUUAUUUAAAUAAAUAAUUAAAUUAAAUUUUGAAGUCAAAUUGCGACAGACCGUCUCAAAUCAAACAAAUUGAAAUGUUGGAUAAUAAAAUUAAAAUUUUGAAAGAUUGAUUACUAUACAUUUUUUUUUCCAAACUUUUUCGGCCUAAUAAUGUUGGUGGGCGUUCAAUGUCAAACUUAUACUUACAGUCAAAAUGGCUCUUUUUUGUAAACAAUUUGGGCUCAAAAUUUCUCGACCGUUCAUGUUUGGAGCGAAAAAUGUCGUUCACGAUGGAAUACCCCACCGACCCCCAUCCCACAUUUACACAUCCACUCCAUUUUCUAGAUCCUUCUUCAACGUAGUAAGGACACAUCUGAUAUUGAUGGCUGUCUAACGUUAUCAGAAUAAUGAUAAAAAAAAAAAAGAAGUUAGGGCAGAAAUGUAUAGACGCAUUUUUCUCUGCACUUCCGUCGAACUAAAAUGAUUUAUCAUUUUUUUUAUUUAUAUAUAAAUAUAUAAUGCACUCUCCCUGCAAUCACAGAGCGAGCGAAAAUCGCUUCGGCUAAGAGCCAAAUCAAUUGUUAACUUGUUGGCUAUAAGGUCCUGCAUACGAGCGAGCCCAUUGACCAUGAGUGAGGGCCUAAAAUGGAUCCAGUUGGUCAUAUUGGAUCGGGUUGCGCUUAACGACCGAAUAAAGAUGAGAAUUUAGGGCCCGUUCUAGGUUAAAGAGGCCCACAAUCCCCCACCCAGUACAAACCACUUCCAUCAUGAAUAGGGGUGGAAAAAUACGAGGAAAAAUUUUGAGUGCGGAGCUUUCCAACGAUAAGUUAAAUGUGUUAAUUUUAUCUGCAUCCAAAGAAUUAUAAUCUUUCACUCAAUAAUUUAAUUUUUUUUUAUUUUAGCACUAAAAAAUAUAUAACGAAUCAUUGAAUGGAGGCAAAAUUAAUACCUGACAGUGGAUUAGAAAUUUCACAACAACACAUUAUUGAGGAGCCUACUAAAGAUUUAUUCAGAAUACGAUCUAAACCGGUUAACUUAUUUAAUCCUAUCGAAGAAAAGGAUAAUCAGAUCUCGACAUUAAAAUUCAGAUAAGUAGCGUUAACGACCUGAUUCACAUUAAUAAUUUAAAUUGUAUAAGUUAAGUUACAUUGGAUUGUUUUUUAAAUUUUAAAUAGUUUAUUUUAGAAGGAUGUAUGAAACAUCUCUAUAUUUAUGAUAUUUUUAUUUUGAAUAUUCAAAUUUUAAAAUUUUGAUUUUAAUUUAAUAGUACAUUGUUUUUAACUUUUCUGAAAUAUCGCUUAAAAUCAGGUCCAAUUAGGUUUGGAUCUGGACAGAGAGACCUGCUCCAAUCUGGACACAUCUGGACACAAUAUGUUGUCGAAAAACCAACCGUCUCUAGAGCAAGUGGCAAAGGGCUUGGUGGUUGAUACCCGAGACCCAAGUUCGAAUUCUAGUUGAUUAAUUUUACAGCUAAGUUUAUUUCUUAAUGAAAUAAACAAAGCGGGUAGCGUGCUACCUAUCUCAAAAAAAAAAAAAAAAAAAUGUUGUCGGAAAUUCAGGUCUGGAUUGGAUCAAGAAUCAGUAAAUUUUACUGUCCCUAAUGGUUUUUUAACCUCACUCAUAGACCCCGCAUUAUAAAUAAGGUAAAAAUAUAUAUAACUUAUUUAAAUUAUGGACCAUUUUGAUUAUCAAAAUUAUGAUUUUACCAUCUAACAUUUCAAUUUGUUGGAUUUGAGUCGGUCUUACAUUAAAAUUUAAACUAACUACUUAUUUUAAUAAAUUUGUAGUUGCAACAAUUGGACGGGAUAUACUAACUACGUCUAUGAAUAUAAACAACACAUUCAAAGAGCUAAUUAUCUGCUUUAAUAAAUUUAUACUUUCAAAAUUUGUUUGAAAUAUAUAAACUAAAUCUGCAAAUACGAAUAAAGUAUUCAAAUUAUGAAGUCAAAGUGUCAUUAACUAAUUCAAAUCCAAAACAUUAAAAGAUUUUUAUCUAUAAAUAAUCCUCAUAAAUAGUUAUUUAUAUUGAACUGAAGUAACAAGCAUCAGCCCAAAAUUUAAGAAUCGACACAAAUUCGAACUUUCGAUCUUAAAAUUAGAUUUGAAAUGCUCAACUCAAAUGCUGGAAAAGCCAUGGAGAUGUGGGCGAAGCACCCGACAAAGCUCUCCACUGUGAUCUCUUUAAUAAUUGGUGCAUAAAUAAAGAAUAUGCAGUCGCAUUGUUGAUAUGGUGUCUUCAACAAAUCAAAUUAUUUUUUUGAGAUAACAAAUUUCGUCAUGAUUUUUUUUUAAAAAAAAUUUGUUAUACUUUUCUCUCAAAAAUGAAGAUAUGAUUGACUAAAUAUAAACGAUGUGAGAUACCUACGAGCAAAAUCUAAAGUAAAGAGUGAGAAUCACCUUAGAAAAUAGAAACACAUUAACAAAAAUACUAGCAAAUUUUUUUUUUUUUAAAAAAAAAACUAGCAAAUAAUUGAUCAUUCCUAGUGUAAGUGAUAAGAGAGUUUGUGGUUGUUACUCGAUGUCUUAAGUUCGAAUCUUAGUUAUUUAAUAUUUUCAGCUAAAUUUAUUUUUUUAUAAAAUAAACAAAAUAUAUAGCACGCUAUCUUUUUCUCGAAAAAAAUACUAGCAAAUAAAGAAAAAGAAAUGCUGCUGCUACAUUCAAAGAAUAUAUAGGUGCAUAUAUUUUAUUUUUCCAUUAAAUGAUUUAGAUAGUCUUUUUAAGUUUUUAAUAUUUUUUUAAAAAACAAUGCUAUCUGUAUAUUUUAAAUGUGAGUGCAAAUCUUGUACUCUCCUGUCCACUCGAAAUCUAUUUCUUUAGGGAGAAAAAUGGAAUGUAAAUUUUACAUCAAUUCCAUUAAAGAGUUUAAUUAGAUAAGCCUUUUGGAUUUUUUUAGUAUGAAAAAAAAGAAAUAUGAUAAGAUUAAUGUAAAAAAUUAUUUCUUAAAUAAAAAAAGGUAAGAUUUAUAUUUAUUUUUGGAUACACAAACAAUAUCACUCUUGCCAAUAUUGUGUUCAUUUGAAGUGUUUUCUCUUUGUGUGCUCUUGAUCUAAUCACAUCAUGGACACAAUAAAGAGAAUAAAUAAAUAAAUAAGAUUUAAACAUAGCAAUAUAACUAUUUCGAAUACUUUAUCUACAAGGCAGUUAAGGCAAGGCAUGGCAAAAUAUGGGACAAAAACAUCAUUCCCAAACUACAAGUUUGGGAACAAUACAGAUGGGUGCCACGUGGCAAGCGUACGCCCAUUGCAUGAGCGGGAAAGAAAGAAAAAGAAAAGACAUCACGCGUCCUGAUUUUUUGAGAGAGAAAGAAGCAGAGGAAGAGAAAUGGAUGGUGAGAUGAGCGCACACUCGCAACGUGGGGCCCAUCCACAUCGUCCUCAACCUAACUAGUUUGGGAACGAUGUCCAUAUAAUUUUUGUCUCAAAAUGUGCAAAUAUGGUUGUGUGUAUUGUGAAGAAUUAAAUAUGCGCGAUGACCCACAAGCUGUAAAAUUUCUAUUAUGUUUCUUUUGUGGUUCGUAUCUUGUUGUCCGCACUCAUUAGUUUGGUUCAAUCGAACAUCAAGUUUUUGUUAUAAUCAGAGGCCAUAAAUCUAGCUCGUUAUUCACGAAUCAACUCGUGUUCGACUUGAAAUUAGUUCGAAUUUAUUUGUUUAGUAAACGUACCAUUUAUGAGAUCACUUUUUAAGAGCGAAAAAUUAAAUGAGCCAAAUAUGAAUUGACUCUUGUUUGGUUCGAUAUAGGUCGGAAAUAAUAUAUAUAUAUAUAUAUAUAUAUAUAUAUAUAUAUAUAUAUAUAUAUAUAUANNNNNNNNNNNNNNNNNNNNNNNNNNNNNNNNNNNNNNNNNNNNNNNNNNNNNNNNNNNNNNNNNNNNNNNNNNNNNNNNNNNNNNNNNNNNNNNNNNNNNNNNNNNNNNNNNNNNNNNNNNNNNNNNNNNNNNNNNNNNNNNNNNNNNNNNNNNNNNNNNNNNNNNNNNNNNNNNNNNNNNNNNNNNNNNNNNNNNNNNNNNNNNNNNNNNNNNNNNNNNNNNNNNNNNNNNNNNNNNNNNNNNNNNNNNNNNNNNNNNNNNNNNNNNNNNNNNNNNNNNNNNNNNNNNNNNNNNNNNNNNNNNNNNNNNNNNNNNNNNNNNNNNNNNNNNNNNNNNNNNNNNNNNNNNNNNNNNNNNNNNNNNNNNNNNNNNNNNNNNNNNNNNNNNNNNNNNNNNNNNNNNNNNNNNNNNNNNNNNNNNNNNNNNNNNNNNNNNNNNNNNNNNNNNNNNNNNNNNNNNNNNNNNNNNNNNNNNNNNNNNNNNNNNNNNNNNNNNNNNNNNNNNNNNNNNNNNNNNNNNNNNNNNNNNNNNNNNNNNNNNNNNNNNNNNNNNNNNNNNNNNNNNNNNNNNNNNNNNNNNNNNNNNNNNNNNNNNNNNNNNNNNNNNNNNNNNNNNNNNNNNNNNNNNNNNNNNNNNNNNNNNNNNNNNNNNNNNNNNNNNNNAUAUAUAUAUAUAUAUAUAUAUAUAUAUAUAUAUAUAUAUAUAUAUAUAUAUAUAUAAAUAUUGUUUUUUAGAUUGAAAUGUAGCAAAUUUUGAAUACUAUUUUAAAUCUUUUGUGUUCGAUAGUAUAACGUUUAAAUUUUAAUAAUAAUUAGUAAUGCUAAGAGCAAAACAAAGCAUCAAUAAUAAUAAAUUAAAAAUAAUAAUACUGAUUAUACCUGACAUGCAUUAAUAUUUAUUAACUUUAAUUCAAGCUGGGUCAAAAUUUCGAAAUAAUUUGGAGCCAGCUUAAAUUUAUUUUGAGUAACAACAAGCUGGAUUAAUAUCCUUAAUUACUCAUUUUAAUAUAAAUUAAAGCGGUCAAGAAAAAUCUAGCUCUAUUAUUUUCCAGCUCGCCCGUGUUCGGCUCGUUGACGGUUCUAGUUAUAACUUUGUAACAUCUAUAUAUAUAAAUCUUUGUAUUUGAUUAUCAAAAAAUUACUUCAAUAAUAAAUAUCUACUAUAAGCAUAUAUUUUGGAUCAUUUUUAUAAAAUUAAAAUUUUUUAUUACAAUAAUAUGUACAUCCAAAUACACUAUUUAAUUUGAUGCGUUUGAAUCUAAUUAUUACAGUUGAAACUGUAUAAGAGAAUUGUUGCUGCCGUCGGAGAAAGUAACUUAAAUAAAAUGUGUAUUACCUGCUUCUAAUCAUCUUUUAGAUAAAAAAAAUUUAUUUAUUUUUUUUAUAUCGAAGGUAAUUUUAAUAUCUCAUAUACAGAGCAAUAAUAUGUUAUAUUUUAUUUAAUCAAAUAAUAAGAUGCAUAAACUAAAGAGCAUUUUUAAUUACACUCAUUUAAAGAGUCCCUAUUUCGGUGGUUAAUUUGUCGAUUUUUAUGGUAUGACAUGACAUGGCAAUCGAUAAAGCCUUAGAUCGACCUACCUCUAUCAUUUGGUGGUUAAAACAUCACCGGGUGAGCAAUCCCCCACCCUCUGAUCUGGAUCACAAAAUAUGACGAGCAAUCCAAGGUUUGGAGCCAUUUACUCGACAAUUUACCCAACAAGAGGCCGUUUGGUUGCUUAUAGUUAUAAUCAUAUAGUAAUUAUAACUGUAUAUAAAUACAAAUUCGAUAUUUAGUUUGAUGUAUUUAAUUUCAACUGUUGCAGUAGGAAUUACGGGAGGAGGUCCAACUGUAGUAGUAGGAACUACGCCCAAAUUGGCCGUAGUUCUAACUGCAGUAUUUGGAAAGAGUAACUUUAAACGAAAGAUGAGCUUACCUCCUUAAUUAUUUUUUUAAACAAAAAAUAAUUUUUUUUACAUUGAGGGUGCUGCGUUUGGUUUGCACUAUGAAAGAUUACUAGGAAUAAAAAGAUAUCCGAAAAUCUUAUUCUUAUUCAUCCUAUUACUAAGAAUAUGACAUUUCUGUAUUUGGUUCGUACGGUCAUAUUAUUUAGUCAUGCUAUUUAAGAUUACAAAAAAAAUAUACAAUUAAUUUAUUUAUUUUUUAAUUAAUUUUAGAUAAUGCUAUAAAAAAUUUGAAAAAAAAGGAGAGAGAACAUAGGUUAGAGAGAGAGAUAUCAUAAUUAAAGAAAUAGAAAGAGAAAUGGAGUCGAGAUUAGAAAGAAUGAAAUAGUUGAGAUUUUAGAAAAAGAGGGAGAGAGAGAGCUUAGUUUAGAGAGAGAAAAAUAAUUGAAGUUUAAAGAGAAAAAGAUAAAUUUAGAUAGAGACAUAAGGUUAGAGUGUAAAGAAAAAUAAUACCAACUAGCCAGCGAGUAAAGAGAAAGAAAGAGAUUAGACAUAUUAUGAUUAUCCCGAUCCAUUAAUAUGAAGAUAUCCAUCCUCUCUCAAGGGAAUGAGAUUAGUAAUUUGGGAUAAAUCUCAUUCCCAAGUAAAUUUAAUAUUACCAACUAGAUUACUUAGUGCGUUUAGCCAAACACCGCUAUAUUUUUUUAUUCCUAUUCAAUUACUAGGAAUCUUAAAAAGAUAAUGCGAACCAAACGCACCCUGAAGGUAAUCUCGCCAUCAUAUAUAUAAAAUAAUAAAAUUUUAAAAAUUAUUUCUCAACUACGUGUAACCAAAUAAAUUAUUUGCAGUUGCAAUACUUUCUACUGUAUCCAACCAAACUGGAUAGUAGUUGCGACGGCUGCAUUUUCAACUAUAUGCAUCUCUAAUAUGUUACAUUUAUAAUUAUAUCUAACCGAAAGAUCCCGUUUGGUUUGGGGAUAACAAAAUUUAUCCUUACUAUUUGGACAAUAAAGUAUUUUUUUAUCAGAAUAUUUUAUUCUGAUUAAAUUAUAUUAUUUUCAAUUAUCACUGAAUGCUCAGAAUAACUUAUUCCACCAUUUUGAUCGAAUAGUGCUGUUCCAAUAUUUAAUUCCAAGUUUUAUUAAGAUUAUAUAUUAAAUUAAAGGAAGUUAUCUAGACAUUAUAUUAUAUAAUAAAUUAUUUUUAUUAUGUAAAUUAUUAAUUAUAUUAUUAUAUUAAAAUAUAUUAUUGGUACCUAAAUAUGAUAAUAAAUUAUACUUAAAUCUUCUAAUAAAUUAUUUUUAUUAAAUUUAAAUUUAAGUAGAAUUUUUUCAAGAUAUUAAUUUUAUGAUAACUUAUAAAAUAUACUAAUUAAAUCUGUAAAGAUAAAUGACACAUUCAAAUUUUAAAAGUUAAAGAGUCACUAAUUAAUUCAAAUCAAAUAAAUUAAAAAGUAAGUUGGUAAAAUUCAAAUUUUUUAAGAUUAAAUCGUAAAAUUUAAAUAGGUGAUAGUUGAAAUAAGAUUUAUAUAUUUUUACGAAGGUAAAAAGAGUAAAGUUAAGGCGCCUCUUUCAAACUGCCAAACAAUUGAGAAGGUAUUAUUAACAGUUAAUUCGGAAAACCGACCGUCCCUAGAGUAAGUGGCAAAGGGGUUGGUGGUUGGUAUCCGAGAUCCAAAUUCGAAUCCUAGUUGAUUCACAUUUCUAGCUAAGUUUAUUUCUAAAUGAAAUACACGAAGCGGGUAGCGUGCUAUCUAUCUCUAAAAAAAAAAAAACAGUUAAUUCGGAAAUAAAGUAUAGAGAGGGUAUUAUUAACAGUUAAUUGGGACAAAAGUAUAAAAACUUUUGAACUCCAGCCAAAUUUCUGAAUACAGGAUAAGUCAAUAUUCAAGUUUUAGAAGUGAUAAAAAGAGUUUUGCUAUAAUACCAUCGAUAGUAAACGGUUUGGUUUACUACCAAUUUGUUUUCGAUGAUGGAACUCUCAUAUUGAUGAUCGGCACCGUUAAAUAUGAUUUAAACCAUUUAAACUAUCUGGAAAUCAAAUUUUAUGUAUUUUCAAUAUUGUUCUCUUGUUUAUCAAGUGAACAAAAAAAUAGAUGGUUGAAAGUGAAUAUUCUUAUUUUAAAUAGUUUUAAGAAUUUUCUAACAAAAUUUUAGUUGAUUUGAGCUCUUCUAUACCGUUAAACGAGCAAACGCACCAUAUCAGCUAUUAAAAUUACAAAUUUUGUGACACUUUGAUUGUUCGGUUAGUGAUGUCAAAAAAAUCAUAAAAUUUGAUUUCUAAAUAGUUUAAAUGGUCUAGAUCAUGUUCAACGUGCCGAUCGGCGAUUAGAAAGCUUUAUCAUCAAAAACAAAUUGGUAGUAAACCGAGCAGUUUACUACCGAUAGUACCCAGUUAAUCUCGUGAUAAAAAUAUAGAAAACUUAUCAUAACUAUCAUUUAUUUGAAUUUGACUAUCUAAUUUUAAAAAUUUUGAUUUCACUAUUUGACCUUUUAAUUUAUUUGAUUUGAGUCAAUUAGUGACUCGUUAACUUUAAAAUUUUGAAUGCGCCGUUUAUCUUUACAUAUUUAAUUAGUAUAUUUUUUACAAUUUAUGUAAUUAUAAAAUUUAUUACAAUAAGUAAUUAGCUUAAAUUUUAAUAACAGUUGUACUCUAAAAACUUAAGCUGUUAGAUAACGGUGUUUAUAUAUUUAAUAUUUUUCUUUACGUCUAGGCUCCAGAUUUUUUUUUAUAAGACUUAUGACGUGGACUUGAAUUAAAUAAAAAAUAAUAAUAAUAAUGUUAGGAAUCUGGCAUGACUAAGGAUGCAAAUGGAUUCGGGUUGGUUGAGCUCCCGCCUCGGGGUGGCAAGUGGGAAUAAAAAAUAUAAAAAAAUAUAAUUCGCCCCAAAUCCGCUCCGAUCCGCUAAGUAAACAGGGUAGAAGGCGAGAGAUUCUUUUCUUCUUUCAAUUCGUCCUGAUCCGUCAAAAAUUCGCUCCUGCCCCGAUCCACCCUGAAUGGGGCGAAAAGUGGGAGCCAAAAAUAAAACGAAAAAUGACCCAACCUGAAUCCGCCCCGCCCAGCCCCGAAAUGGAGCGGGAAGGUGGGGAAACCCUCCUGCCCUCGGAUCUAUCCCGUUUGCAUNCCGCCCCGCCCAGCCCCGAAAUGGAGCGGGAGGUGGGGAAACCCUCCUGCCCUCGGAUCUGUCCCGUUUGCAUUCCUAGGCGUGACUCGAACAUAGAUAGGGCUGGCAAAUGAGUGAGCAGGCUCGUAUUCGACUCGAUAUUCGACUCGCCCAAGCUUGGCUUGAAAUUAAAUGAGCCGAGCUUGAACAAAAAAAAAAGCUCAAAAUUCAUUUCAAGUCGAACUUGAGUAUUACUCGGCUGACUUGAAUUAGGCUCGGUUGACUUGGUACUUUUAAAAGCAUAGAAGCUCAAUUCUAUAUAUAUAUAUAUAAUAUUUUAAUUAUAUAUAUGCUGAGUGAUCAACUUGAGUUUAGUUAAAAUUGGAUCAAUGUUGCUAAUCCAUAAAAACAAAUCCAAUAUGCCAACAAAAGAAUAAAAUUUUACUAAAUUUAUACUCUUUAUAAAUAAUUUGCAGAGGCGGUUUUAAUCGCCUUUAGAGGUUAAAUUUGUUAAGACAAUUUUAAUCAUCUUUAUAUUACUAAUAAAUUAUGAAUAAAAAUAUAUCUAAAAAAUAUUAAGUAUAAAUAUUGGGGCUGUUGAAACCACCUCUAUAUACUGCCUCUGAGCCUCUCCGACGGUCACUCAAACUAGUUUUAUAUCGUAGAUGUGUUAUCUACACCGACUGUCUACGAUAACUAAAAACCGUCUUUACGACCACCUUUUCUUAUAAUGUUUCUCUUUCUUUUUUCCAGAGAAUUUUAAAUUCUUAAUAUCUUUCUCUCUCUUUUUUUUUCUUUGUCUUUCAUUUCAAGUGACUAAGUCUAAAGCCCUCCAAGUUAUAAAGUAACAGCACGCGUCCACCGUUUCUUAGCUUGCCAUUAGCUAUGUGCUUGAGAAAAUAUACAAAAUUUUUUAAGCUAAAAAAUUAUUAUUUAUACAAAAUUUUGAUUUAGUUAUAUAUGAUUGGAUAGUUUAAUUUAAUAUUUACCUAUAUAAUUUAUUUAUUUUUUGAGUGCAUAGAUGAGAAAAAAUAAUAUGGAGAUUGAAGAAAGAAGAGAAGACAUGUGAGGCUGAAAUGAUUAGAUAUUUAAGUCAUAAGUUAAUUUUCUUUAUAUUAUAAUACUGUAUUUUAUAUAAUUAUUUUAUUUCAAACUAUUAAAUAUAUUUUUGUAUCAAAUUAUAGAUAAUGAUUAUACAAAUUAAACAAUUAAUCGUACGAUGUCGAGAAUUUUAAGCGGUUCUUUUAAGGCUCGAGCUCGCUCGACUCGAAAUUAGGCUCACUCGAGCUUGGCUCGAAUUAAUUUCAAACCGAGCUUGAGCCUAAAUUUAGAUUCGAAAUUAAUUUCAAGCCGAAUUUGAGCUGAGAUAAAUUUGUUCGAGCUCGGCUCGUUUCCACUCUUAAACUUAGAACCUCUUGACCUGACAUCAUGUGAAAUAAUUAUUAUAUACUCUAAAAAUUAAACUAUUAAACAAUGGUGUUUGUAUAUUUAAUAGGUUGAAUAGUAAUAUUAAAAUUUUAAAAAGAUUGGGUAAUGGGAUCACAAUGGAUAAUAUUUCAGAUAAGCUUUAUAAAUUUUUACUUAAAAGUAAAGAAAUAAUAUUUAUAAAUUAAAAAAGUACAACGAGCUGUUCGUAAUUUCAAAUCUUUGCAGGGGUGUCAGAUAAAAGUAUCCCUAAAAGCACCGGUUGAAAAACCAAGAACAAGAACCGGCGACCCACCAGGAUCCAUCCCAGCCAGCCAGCCAGCCGGCCAGCGGAGAGAAAAAGAGAGAGCGAGAAAAGAGGGAGGGAUGCAGGCCGGCGCGGGCCGAUCCCCUUCGGAUCCGGGGCGAAUGGGUUCGGCGGCGCAGCAGCAGCAGCAGGUGCCGGUGGUGGUGGCGCUGAACUGCCUGGAGGAGGUGUCGCUGGAGCAGGAGGGGCUGUCGGGCGUGGCGGCCGUGGAGCACGUCCCGCUCUCCCGGCUCUCGGACGGCCGGCUGGACUCGGCCUCGGCGGUGCUCCUCCACUCGCUGGCCUUCCUCCCCCGCGCGGCCCAGCGGCGCCUCCGCCCCUGGCAGCUCCUCCUCUGCCUCGGCUCCCCGGACCGCGCCGCCGACUCCGCCCUCGCCGCCGACCUCGGCCUCCGCCUCGCCCACGUCGACGCCAACCGCGCCGAGGAGGUCGCCGACACCGUCAUGGCGCUGCUCCUCGGCCUCCUCCGCCGCACCCACCUCCUCUCCCGCCACUCCUCCUCCUCCUCCUCCGCCUCCGCCUCCCCCUCGGAUCGCGCUCGAGGGUUAGAGGAGAUCCAUGCGAUCCCACGGAGAGGACGAGAUCUCGACGNCGCCACCCGCAGCCUCGCCUUCCGCAUGAGCGUCCUCUUCUUCGACCCCCGCCACCACCACCACCACCACCACCAGGUCCCUCCUCCUCCUCCUCUUACCAAUUCCCACAUUUUGCCCAAAAAUGCCCCAAGAAUUAGGGUUUCUUUGAACUAAAAAUGGCCAAAAAUCUUCAGAAAUGAGAAACACUGAAAAGAAAAAAAAAAAAAAAAGGACUUUUGUCCUUAGUUAUUCUACUAUUCUACUAUCAGGAGAAUAACCUAACCUUGGGAUAAAGAUGAUUAUUUUUUUACAGUCUCAUUCCCCCUAAAUUGCGUUUUCUUUUCCUCGGACAACUUCUAAAAGGUUCUUUACAGUACCUGCUGUCAUAAAACCGGAUCUAUUUUUCUCUUCCUUUUUUUUUUUUUUUUUUUUUUUUUUUUUUUUUUUUCUGUUGUUUCCCUGCAUGGAAUGUGCAUCCAGUUUUUUAGUUGGGAUUUGGUUAGGUUUUUCUUCAUUCCUUCUGUUAUUUCUUAAUCUGUAAACUUAUCCUGAUUGCUUGCAAUUCCUUAUCUUUGUACUAAGUGGAGUCCGUAUCAAUCUUUAUGAACUUGUCCUGCUAUUUUAUGCUUGUGAUUUUGGUCCCUGUUUUGCUGAAUAUCGAGUCUUGAACAUCAUUUCAACUCUAUCUCACAAUUGUCAAGGGAAAGGGAAAGACCAGACGGCCUACCAUUGCGUUCCCCCCUGCUGCCAGGAGGAUGGAUACUCUCAAUGACUUGCUGGCGGCGAGCGACCUCGUCUCGCUUCAUUGUCAGCUGACGAAUGAUACAAUGCACAUACUUAAUGCCGAAUGCCUGCAGCAUAUAAAGCCUGGUAAGUUCAGUGGUUUUUCCCAUUCGAGUUUCCCAGUUGCUAAUAUAACAGUAACGCUCCCUUAAACUGGAAAGAAUUUGUUUUUCUGCAGGGGCAUUUAUAGUCAAUACGGGUAGCUGUCAGCUCAUAGACGAUUGUGCGCUCAAACAGCUUCUGAUUGAUGGCACUAUAGCCGGUUGUGCUUUGGAUGGAGCCGAGGGUCCGCAAUGGAUGGAAGCAUGGGUAUGAGCAUUAACCUUGGGGGUAUGAAUUAUUUCUUAUUGAUUGUGCUGCACCGAGGAAUAAUAUACGGCCUACAGUCAUUUCUAGCAUAUCUGACUAACAAUGCCCUUCGAAUGAUAUCCGGAUACAGGUGCCAUCUGUCCGGAUGGAAAAGUUCCAUUUCUACCUCACUUGCCAGGGACAAGAUGAUAGCUUGCAUUUCCGGAAACUUAAAUACUCAUGUCUUAGAGGAAUCUUCUGAAGAUAUAAGGAGUUGAAGAAGGAAAAGAUAUAUCUAACCAAACACUAUUAUCAGGAUUAAAGAUUAGUUGCCAUUGUUGUUUUGUUGUUUUAUCGAGCCUAAGUGUGCUUCCUGUGAAGACUAGAAGGAAUCUGACGUUGAAACAGUUGUCUUAGUCCAAAAAUGCCUGCUUUAAUGGCUUUAAAGUACUGUGUUAUAGUGUCUUUGCAGAUGUAAAAUCUACAUGCACACUUUGGCACUAUUAUGAUGAUAACAUGUACAGAUUAAUGUGUGGACGUAACAUUUAGUAGGUUUUUUGAGGGUAUUUAGAUUAUUAAGUUGGGGUGUGAUUGCCUGAAUAAUUUUCACUGUCGCUGCAUUUUGCUCUAGCAAUAACAGUUCACAAGCUUGACAUAUUGGGAAAUGAAUCCUUUAUUAGCUUGCUCUGUGGAAUCUUUUUUCUUUUUUUUUUUUUGGCUUUUACUGUAGGUUCUAAUGCAACUUCUGUACUAAGAAGUGCCAGUUUCUCUUAGACUAAUUAACUUCUGUAGAUCAUGAGAUCAUGCAUUAUCAGACUGUUAUUAAUGAUCAUGCUAUGACUAUAGGUAUUUGGCGAAGUUUUUAGUGAAUUUUAUGUUUAUCUUCUGAUACCUUGUUCGUACCUUGGUUAACUUUCAGGUGAGAGAGAUGCCCAAUGUCAUAAUUCUUCCUCGGAGUGCAGAUUAUAGUGAAGAAGUAUGGAUGGAAAUAAGGGAGAAAGCAAUUACAAUACUGCAAUCGUUCUUCUUCGAUGGAAUUGUUCCCACCAAUGCUGUUUCUGAUGAAGAUGAAGAAAUAGCAGAGGCUGAAAUUGAAGAUGACCAGUUGGAGAGACGACUAAAGGGAAGCCCCUCUCAGGUUUGUGAGGGUGAGCAACAAACAGAUGAAAGUCAUUUAAGUUCAGAAUAUGACAAGAAAAGAGCCAUUGCUCUGUCAAAAGAGUCUCAAGCUUCAGGUCUAUCUCAAAACGUAGGCUCCAGAUCUGAAGGCAAACGCAGCAAAUCAGGAAAGAAGGGUAAAAAGAGGCCUGCUCGUCGUAGAUCACAACAGAAGUCAGAUGACUUUUCAGCUGUGGAGAGUGAUGGAAACUAUAUUUCACAUCGAGAUGAUGACACUGCCAUCAGUGGCAGAGAGCAAAGUUCACGGUUUGCUUCUCCUGAGGAUUCAAGAACCAAGCAGAUGUCUCUUGCUGAAUCAACAAUGGAGAUAACUCCUGAAAAGCCCAUGACAGCAAGCGCAGGGCUUGGUAGAAAACCUGGUCGGUUGUUGAAGGAUGGUUUUGUUAUAGCAUUACGUGCAAAAGAUCAUUCAGGGUUUCACAUUUCUAGGCAGAGAGUUGCCAGUGGUGGGUGGUUCCUUGACACUGUGUCGAAUGUAACGAAAAGGGAUCCUGCUGCACAAUUCUUAGUUUCUUUUACAAGCAAGGUAGUUGUAGUGAAAAUUUCCACUGUAUACUUACUUUUGUGAUUCUCUCUUACUGAAUUUUGGCUCCAUCUUUUUAGGAUACUCUUGGAUUACGUUCUUUUGCUGCUGGUGGAAAACUAUUGCAGGUUAGAAUAUUUGGCUUUGCUUUGAUUCAAUCGCUCUUUCAUUUAAUGUGUUAAGGUUAUCGUUGGAGGCUGGUAUUUACAGAGGUAGCAGCCCUUAAUCUGACAUUGACUUAGACCCUUUCGGCAAACCUCACCCUUGCCUGAGGAAAAAGCUAGCUGCACUAUGAUAUCUGGAUAAUCUCAUGCAUUGAGACACCCUAUCCGAGUUCUUAAAAGUUAAAAGUAAAACCUAAAGAUAGUUGAAGUAGGCGCCUAGAGUACCUUUGGUUACUCCAUUGAAUGUUAUGCCUACAAUUUUGUCCUAUUUGUCCCAUGGAGUUAGUAAGUAAUUCUCUUUGUGCUAAUAAAUCACUUGAUAACUUCUAUCAUUCUAUUGAUUUGUUCAUAUGUAGAUGUAAUAAUUUGUUUCAUGCAAUAUCAGAUUAAUAGGAGAAUGGAGUUUGUAUUUGCAAGCCAUACUUUUGAUGUUUGGGAGAAUUGGAUGCUGGAAGGUUCGGUGCUUGAAGACUGUAAACUCGUUAACUGCAGAAAUUCGUCGGUAUGUAUUUAUCUUCUUUAUCUUUUGAAGGCACAUAUCUUUCUCUAAUUCGAUUCUUAUGAUCAUGCUAUUUUAAGUUCUCAUUCAAAAUAUGUUGGUUUGUUACUAAAUUUUAAUGAACUCCUGAUUUUUUUAAAAGAACUUCUACCCUAUAUUUUCUAGUUUACUGGACAUAAAACAUCCCAUGUCAUGGGGCAUAUUGUAGAACUCUGUUUAGCAGUGUUGCAAAUUAUAUAGCUUCAACAGGUAGCAUACUGUUCCUACCUACAGCAACUGAAGAUCUAUUGCUCUUUGUGAUCCCUAUUUGUGACAUUUUUGCACCUAUUCCGAUUUGUUCUAGCUUUCAACGUAGAAAUCAAGUUGCUGGAGUAAUUUUUAGAUGAACUUGAUAUGCUGAUUAUUAUAUGCUAUUGCACUUUAAACGAGAGAUCAUCUCCAUUCUAGCACCAAAGAUUGUCAACAGUGUAUAUCAGCACUUUUUUUUCCCUUUCCACUUACCAGCAAGCCACAAAUACAUGGUUGAAUACAAUAUUCUCGUGUGGAUUACGGUACUUUGUUUUUGGAGAAAAAGCAAAGAGGUUAAUGUCCUGGAAGUCAGAUAACUAUCUUUGUUGCUUCCUCUAUUUGGUUGUGAAUGUUCGUGGUCUUCAUUUGCUUGUAUUGCCGCUUAAAGUACUAUCUUGAAACUGAUAGAGCCUUAUGGGCCUGUUUGGCCUAGCCGUGGAGCGUAGGGCGGUUGAAAAAGUACUUUAGGAAAUAGUGUGGUGCUGGAAAAAAAAAAAAGAAGCUGCAGAGAGCGUUUGGUUAUUUUUGUUAGAAGUAUUGUCUAUUAUAGAAAGUUGUUUGAUGAAAAGUUUGUUAAAUUAUUAUAAACUAGUAUAAAGUGUAUUAAAAGAGAUUAACUUGCGGUCCCAUUAAUUAUUUUUAAUAAUUUUAAAAUUUGAAUUUAUAAUUAAAAAUUAAUUUUUAAGUCUAAAUUGAAUUUAAAAUUUGAAUUCAAAUUCACAUUUUGUAUUUGAAAUUCAAAAUAAAAAAAUUAAAAUAUGAAUUUAAAAUAAAUUUGAAUUUCAAAAUUGAAUUUAAAUUUAAAAUUCUAAUCCAAAAUAAAAUUUAAAUUUAAAAUAUGAAUCCAAAAUUAAUUUAAAUUCAACUUCAAAAUUAGAAUUUAAAUUUAAAAUUGGAACCCAUCAAAUUUAAAUUAAAAAAAUACAACCAUGAAUUUUAAAAUUUAAUUCAAAAUAUUAUUUAACUUUAAAAUUAAAUUUUAAAUAUGAUUUAAAUUUAUAAAUUUUAAAUCAAAAAACUUAACUUCCGAAAAAUAAAUUAGGGGCCGAAUAAAAAAACUUGCAAACAUUGAGUGCCGAUGUUAUAAUAAAUCCAAAGUUUUUUUUUUUUAUUUUGGCCCCCAAAACUAACUUCCCCACCUCCAGAAAGAAAGUUAUGUAACACGUGAAAUAAAGAUUGAGAAAAAUCCACCUUCUUUUCUUUAUUUUAUUUUUUCAUUUUAUUUAUUUAUUUUUAUUUAAUCUUAUUUAACUUUAAUAUUAUUAUUUAAUUAUUAUUAUUUAUUUUAUUACAUUAUUCUAUUUUAAUAAUAGAAUUUAUUAUUAUAUUAUUAAUAUAGAANAAAAAAAAAAAAUGAUCUUGGAGAUUGUGUAAUGCUUACUCUCAAACUCUUUGUUUACACAGUAGUGAUAUUCUUUGUUUCCCUUUUUAUCUUUGGAUUCUUAUCUAAUGAUCCAGGACGCAAUCCUGGACGUGAGGAAUAAAAAAUUUCUAGUUUUUUUGCUUUUUUCUAAAUUAAUUCUUAAUAAUCUUAUUUGUUUCAUACAUUUAACUAUGAUAAAAUCAAGUUAUGAGAAUCUUUUCAAAUUCGAAAAUCCCAAGUGAUCAGAGAAAGCGGAAAGAGAGGGAUUCGAACCCUCGGUACAAAUAAUUCGUACAACGGAUUAGCAAUCCGCCGCUUUAGUCCACUCAGCCAUCUCUCCUAAUUCCAAAUUGAAAAUUUGUUAUGUGAUGUAACACGUGAAAUAAAGAUUGAGAAAAAUCCACCUUCUUUUCUUUAUUUUAUUUGUUCAUUUUAUUUAUUUAUUUUUAUUUAAUCUCUACCGCAAUAACUCCAAUGUUGGCCCGGCAAAUAGGGAUGUCAAUGGGUACGGAUACCCGAAAUUUUAUCUGAACCCGAACCCGAACCCAAACCCGAACGGAGCGAAUUUACCUUAUGCUAAAUGGAUAUGGUUUCGAAUAUGGAUAUCAAAAAUAAAAAUCCGAUGGAUAUGGAUACGGAUAUGGAUUUUGACUGUACCUGAUCCGAACCCGAUUCGAACGCGAAUUUAUUUUACAUUAUAAUAUGUAUAUAUAAUAUGUAUAUGAAAAUUUGAUAUUAUAUUUGAAUUUGUAUUUUAAAAGUUUAAACUUAAUAUAAUAUAUUUUGAAAUAUUGAAAAGAGAUAAUUGUUUCUGGUUUGGAUUUUCGGGUUCGGGUUUCGAGUUUUUGGUCGGAUUCAGGUCUGGAUAUGAAUUUUUAAAAUCUGUCGGGUUUGGGUUUCGGGUUUGGAGUCGAUAUCGGGUUCGGAUUUUUGAAAACCCGUUCCGAAUCCGACCCAUUGACAUCCCCGCCGGCAAAGGCCGGGCCAAACGGGUACUGUAUUCUUUUCUUUUUUUAGCUGUGAUUAACAAUUUACUUUUAUUAUGGUUCGACUGAGUUCAGGCCAUCUUGGAUGUACGCAUCGAUAUUCUUGCAGCCGUGAGCGAAGAAGAUGGAAUCACGCGGUGGCUCGAUUAACUUUUUCGCGGCAAAAAUGCUUCCCUGCGAACGGACUGAUGUCGGGAUUGUUUUCCUAUUUAUUCACUUCAUGACAUGCCAAAAAAUUUUGGAUGCUGCGGUUGUAGGGGCUUGUGGCCUUAGAAUGUGCCAGUUUGUAUUGCUUCCAAUAUUAACUAAGACUGGGAUAUUGUGUACUUGUUUAAACAUGUUCUUAUUUUGGCCUCGCGAAGUUUCUAACUUUUUGGAACCAAAAAUUAGUAGCUUGUUUUUUUUUUUUUUUUUUUUUUUUUUUUUNUGUUUUAAAUUUGCAAUUGAAUUUCACAUUUACUUUUAAAUUUGAAUUUCAAAAUUGAAUUUAAAUUUAAAAUUCUAAUCCAAAAUAAAAUUUAAAUUUAAAAUAUGAAUCCAAAAUUAAUUUAAAUUCAACUUCAAAAUUAGAAUUUAAAUUUAAAAUUGGAACCCAUCAAAUUUAAAUUAAAAAAAUACAACCAUGAAUUUUAAAAUUUAAUUCAAAAUAUCAUUUAACUUUAAAAUUAAAUUUUAAAUAUGAUUUAAAUUUAUAAAUUAAAAUUAAAUUUUAAAUAUGAUUUAAAUUUAUAAAUUUUAAAUCAAAAAACUUAACUUCUGAAAAAUAAAUUAGGGGCCGAAUAAAAAAACUUGAAAACAGUGAGUGCCGAUGUUAUAAUAAAUCCAAAGUUUUUUUUUUUUAUUUUCGCCCCCAAAAGUAAUUUCCCCCUCUCCAGAAAGAAAGUUAUGUAACACGUGAAAUAAAGAUUGAGAAAAAUCCACCUUCUUUUCUUUAUUUUAUUUUUUCAUUUUAUUUAUUUAUUUUUAUUUAAUCUUAUUUAACUUUAAUAUUAUUAUUUAAUUAUUAUUAUUUAUUUUAUUACAUUAUUCUAUUUUAAUAAUAGAAUUUAUUAUUAUAUUAUUAAUAUAGAAAUUGGAAAUAUUCUAAAAUAUUCUAAUAAAUAAUAGAAAUUAUUUAAAUAGUUAUUUAAAUUUAAACUUAAACAAAGUAUUUAAUAUUUAAAUAAAAUAAAAAGGAAGGUAUAUAUUUAUACUAAAUAAAAAUAUAUAUAUAUAUAUAAAUAUAUUAUAGUAUAAAUUGUAUAAGAAAAUAUGUAUAAGAAAAUAAAUAUAAGAAAAAUAAGAAAAAGAUAGAAAAAAGCAAUUGAUCAGGAAUUUAAUAUAGAUAAUGACUCAAAAUGGAUCUCCUCAAUAGAAAGAAUAUCUUAGUUCUUUGAUUUUAUACGAAAGGUUUAUUCUCCCGGCCUGAUCCGCUUAAGUACUGGCCGGGACAUUUAUUCUUUUAUUCCAAUGAAUCCUUCAUAGAUCAAACGAUUAAAUUUGGAAUUUAUAUCAAUCAAAAAUACUUGUUAUUGAAGCAACAACAACAAGAGAAAUUUCCAUUAUCAUUCCUAUGAUCGAAGUCCCAUUUAUUAUUAUUUAAUUUAAUAUUUCUUUUUUAUUCUUCUUUUUUUUUAUUGAAGAUUCUUUUUUUCUUUUUCUCAGUUUAUUACUUAAUUUCUUACUGUUGUCAAGUAAGGAAUAAAAAAACACAUAUGAUAACAUAUCAUAUAUAUAUACAUUAAACAAUAUUAAAUUACAUUUAACAAUUUUAAAUAUUUAAAAUAUUUCUAUUCUAACAUAUUUCUAUUCUAAUAGAAUAGAACUCAAUAUAACUCAUUUACUUCUUCAAGAGACAAAAUUGGAACAGUUGAGAUUCAAUUGACCCGAAUUCAUAAGAUCUGGCACUGGCAGUUGAAAAGAAGGUGAAAAAAGGGGGGUCCAUGUAUACAGAAUUUCGAAUUUUUAUAGUCUAGCUUCAAUCACCCCUUCAGGCGGGAACCAUUAGUUUAGUAAUGACUUCCCAGCAAACGAAAAGCUUACCUUUUUAUGUUAUGCUAUUUAAAUUUAAUUAUGUUAUUUAAAUAAGCUUUCCGCUCUUCGCUUAGCUUCUUUUUAUUUUUAUUUUAUUUAAGUCCCCGGCGAGACAAAAUACGUGUCAACGCUAGAAUUUUCACGAUUCUGAUGCUAUCUUGAUUUUGUCUCACCCCUUUUUUUGUUCGACAAAUGAUCCAUUCGUAUACAAUAAUGAAUAUGUAGCGGGUAUAGUUUAGUGGUAAAAGUGUGAUUCGUUCUAUUAACAACUUAAAUAGUUAAGGGGUCCAUCGGUUUUUUUUUUNACUAAGACUGGGAUAUUGUGUACUUGUUUAAACAUGUUCUUAUUUUGGCCUCGCGAAGUUUCUAACUUUUUGGAACCAAAAAUUAGUAGCUUGUUUUUUUUUUUUUUUUUUUUUUUUUUUUGGAAUUAUGUGUUGGAAUCAUCUUUUAGCUUUGUACUCAAUGCUGAGGAAUCUUAACUCCCUGGAGAGGGUCUUGUUGAUUGCUGCUGAAGCAGCCCAGUGAUUUUCAUUUGUGUUCUCUCUUUUGUUGGUUCCCUCGUUCAAAGCUAAUGUAAGGAUGAAUCAUUCUUGUUAAAUUUAAUGUCUUUAAUUAAUAUUAGUUAUAAGUUGUAGUUUGUUAUAAUUUUUUUGCACUAAGAAACAAUUAAAUUUAUUAAAUUUACUUAAUUUAGCGCUGCUCUUUUUACACUUGUCGCCGAGCUUUAGACUCGGCUAGAACUUGGGAUGGUACUAUCCGAGAAAAUUCAAAAUUUUAAAUUUUAAAUUAUAUCUAUUUUUCAUAUUUAAUAUUUAUAACAAUAAUAACAAGUAUUUCGCCAUUUGGGAAUUGAUACAAACAGGGCAAUGAGCAUUGAGCACACAGAAUAAUAGAAGAAAAAAAAGCAAAAAUAGCCUUUUUCACUGCAUGUGUACUUAUAAUAAAAAGGAUAAAUUUUAAAUACGACUUUAUAGUUUUAUUUUUUUUUAUUUAAUAUUCUGUGAUUUAAAAUAUAUCACUUUAAUAUUCUAUAAUUUUGCUUUUUUUUUCUUUUUGUCAGCAUUUUUGUUAACUUUUAAAUUAUAUACAAAAAACUUUAAUAUCCCACCUAAAAUUUAUCGAAUAUUUACUUUAAUAUUAUUAGGCCAAUAAUGCGUGGCCACGUGGUAUACUGGUAUGCUGGUGCAUCAUUUAACCCCAAUUUUUAAGAGCGAGGAUUAAGAGAGAUUUUGGUGUGCACCGAAAGUAUUGACAAUAUAAUUAAGUAACUGCCAGGUGUAAUUGCAAGAAGUUACAGUAACUGCAAGUGGUUACGUGCGGUUCUGAUCGGCUUGAAAUGGCCCGAAAAAUAGGGUAGUAGCCAAUCAUGGACGAAACAAUAACUGAUGUAAAUAAGCAAAUAGCCCAGAAAAGGAGUUUUUUCUCCGAAAAUAAAAGACCAUCUUUAUUUUCUCUAUAUUUUUCCCGUAUUUUUUAGGAGUAGUCUAAUUGUAAUCUUUUACUUUCCGACACUUAUUAUUUUUUUUAGGAGUAAGCUUAAGUUAGAUCAACCGAGUCUGUAUGUCCUCAAACACACUCGUCUCUUGUACUAGUUUCACACAGUAAUUCCAAUAUAUAAAGGCAUUCGGCCCGUCAGCCGACCUAAAAUACAGUGUAGAAUGUUCAUUCGGCUCAUCCAGCCAAACCGAAUCCAUAGUAGAAUGUUCUGAACUUGGCUGAUCCGAUCACUCAUCAGCUGAAUCGUUUGAUCUAGUCGAAGGGUGGAAACUUCGAGGGUCGCUAGUCACAGCCGUUUCACACCCCUACACUCUUCUCGAGAGACAUCUUUGACUAAGUCGAGGAUUAGGGAAUUCAGCUCCUAACAAAUAUCCUAUAAUUUCGACCUUAUCAUUAAUUUAAUAAAAAAAGUUAACAAAAAAAUUAACAAAAAAAAAAUCACAUAAUGCAAAAAAUACAUUUUAAACUAUAAAAUACUAAAAUCCCACAGCUGGUAUUCGAAGUUUUUUCAAAAAAAAAAAAGAAAAGAAAAAAAGAAAAAAACCGAUCAAAUUCGCAACACACAAACACACGCACGAUUCGCGCGAUUCACGAUCUCCUCCUGUUCUCGGCGUCGUGGUCGUGGUCGUUCCAGAGCUGGGUCCAGUUCGUGCGCGCCUCCUCCCAGCCGAGCGGCGAGCCCUCCCGCUCCGGAUCCCAGCUGGCCGAGAGCGUGCCGUACGCGAUCCCGAAGGCGGAGGUGCCGAACGCCAGGAGCGCCGCCACGAACGGCACCCACGCCGGCGCCGCCCACCCGCCCCCACUCUUCAGCGCCCCCAGCCCGCACACCGUCCCCGCCCCCGCCGCCAUCGGCGCCCCCACCGCCACCGCUAUCCGCCGCAGCAUCCUGUCGAACACCACCUGCGGUAUCUCAUCAUCCUCCUCAUCAUCAUCUUGUCUUUUGAUCUUGAUCUCGCCCUUUUUCGGGUCGGACGUCGCGGCGCCGGCGCCGGCGCCAGAGCCGAAGCCGCGGCCCUGGGCUCGUAAGGGUUUUGGGUUUCGAGUGAUGAUUAUAAUGGGCGCGGGAAGGGUUGUUGCGGUGCGGGGAGGAGAGGGGGAGGGGAGAGCGACGUGUUGGAGAAGAAGAGCAUUCAUUUUUCGGGAUUUGGUGCGCUACCUACGCAUGUUGGCCCCCCUGUUUACUGGGGAUGACGAUGAUAAUAUCUUCUUAUCCGGAGCUUUUUUGAAUGGUGUUGAUGCCUCGUACCAGAUAAUUUUUAGGUACUAAUAAAAGCCUAGUUUUGAAAUCGAUCCCUCAGAUUGAUACCCUCAACUUUCUAUUUUUUUUUUUUUAAAAAAAAAACUUUAAAUAUUAUUUUUGUGAUUUCGCGCUUUCUCACUUUAGUAUUUUUAAUUUUUUUUUUAUUAUUUUUUAAAGUUAAAAUUACAGAGUACUAAAGUGAAAAGUCGGUGAGCCACAGGAUACCAAGGUGAAUAUUCGAUAAACUAUUGAUAGGGUAUUUAAAGUUUAUUGAGCCGGCGAUGAAAAGAAAAAAAUAAAAUCGUAGAAUACUAAAAUAAUACACUUUAAAUUAUAGGGUACUAAAGUGAAAAAGUACGAAGCUAAUGGAGUGGUAUUUUAAUGUUUACCCUUUUUUUUUAUUUGAUUAUAUUUGUUAUUAACCAUAAAUUUUUCUAAUUUUAUAUGUUUUAUAACAUUUGUAAUCUUUUUCAUUAAGAUUACUAAACAUUAAAUAUUAAAAGUUAAAAGUGUUUUAAUUGAAAAGAUAAACGUUGAGCAGUCUACUUCUAGGCUGAGAAGUAGAGGUAGGGGUGCAAAUUGAACGGAUAUUAUUAUAUUUGGUUUAGAUUUGUAGUUAUCUAAAUUGAGAAUAAAUUCUAAUCUAAUUGGGAUUAGAUAUUAUUUAGAUUUAAUUUGGCAUAUAUGAAUUAUAAUUAGGAGUGUAAUUCUAAUCUAAUUAGAAUUAGACUCUAAUUAAAAGACAUGUAUUAUAUAUACAUGCUACGGCCAAGUUAAUGAAACUGCGACCAAAAAUUAAAAAGCCGUGACUUGAAUUAAGCUUGAGAGUUCUUGGUUCUGUACGCUCAAGGAGCCGGCCUUAUUAUGUCAUGCUAAUUAAUUAAAGGUGAGAUUGCUUGCUUCCGCGGAGGAGUUGUGAUGUACUAAUUAAUUAAGUGGCUUGUGAUGGUGUACGGUGGCAGCAACACCAUUAGCCAAUGUGCAUGGUGCCGUACAUCCUUGUUUUGGUGAGCCAAGCCGAGAUAUAUUAUCAAGACGUGCUAAGAAGGUGCCGUAUGAGGUAACGCGCGUCGAAUAUAUAUUUACUUUGGUUUUCGGUUUUCUUCGAGAAAUCUUCUUUGUACUCCGCCUUUUCGACAUUAAUAAAUUAUUUCCUCCGUCUUCGCCCGUGGACGUAGGCCCUGGCCGAACCACGUAAAUAUCGAUAUGUUCUUUCCGCUUAUCUUUUCGUUUCCUGCAUUAAAUUAUUUUAUUGAUCUAUUUUUCGCCGUUCCGAUUUUAACAAACUGGUAUCAGAGCCUUUCUAUUCCUUUUGAGGAUUAAGAUGACGACGAAGUUCGAGAUUCAGAAAUUUGACAGGAUUAACAGUUUCGCAUUAUGGCAAGUUAAGAUGCGUGCUAUAUUGACACAGCAAGAAUUGCAGAAGGCACUGUUGGGAAAAGAAAAGAUACCCGAUUCGUUAACUGCAGAGCAAAAGGAGGAGAUUGAUGAUAAAGCUCUUACGGCAAUACAAUUAUGUUUAUCCGAUGAAGUAUUGCGCGAGGUCUUGGAUGAAAAGACCGUUGCAGGGCUUUGGCUUAAAUUGGAGUCUCUCUACAUGACGAAGUCUCUCACCAACAAGUUAUAUUUGAAGCAACGUCUCUUCAUGUUGCGCAUGGCGGAAGGUACCUCUAUUAAGUCGCAUUUAGAUGAAUUUAAUUCUAUUAUUAUGGAUCUCCGCUCGAUAGAUGUCAAAAUCGAGGAGGAAGAUGAAGCCCUUUUGUUAUUAUGUUCUCUACCGCCCUCUUAUAAAAAUUUUUGUGAGACUUUCUUGUUUGGACGAGAUACUCUAUGUCUCGAUGAUGUUAAAUCCUCUUUACUUUCAAAAGAGAGAAUUGACAUACAGAUAAGUAACGAGACAGGUGGAGCUUCAGGACAAGGUUUGGUCGCUAGAGGGAGGUCUCGGGAGAAGGGUUCCGGUAAUAGAGGUAUAUCUAGAUCAAAGUCAAAGCACAAAAAUCUGAUUUGUGGUUAUUGUAAGAAGAAGGGUCACAUAAAAGCUGAUUGUUUCAAGUUGAAAAAUAAAGAGCAGCGGAAGAAUAAUGGUGAUAAGAAUCAAGGUCAGAAAAACACCAAUACUGAAGCAGAAGCAAGUGUUGCAGCAGGAGAAUCAGAUAAAAAUGAUAUCGUCUUUACAGUUACGGAUAAGACACGCAGACAGGAUGAGUGGCUUAUGGACUCCGCAUGUUCUUUUCAUAUCUGUACACAUAGAGAAUGGUUCUCGACGUACAUGCCUAUUGAAGGUGGAGAUGUAUUGAUGGGAAAUCACUCUAAGUGCACAGUUAUUGGAAUUGGCACUGUUCGGGUACGAAUGUUCGAUGGAGUAGUGAGGACUAUAUCUGAGGUUCGGCAUGUUCCGGAUAUGAGAAAAAAUCUGAUCUCAUUGGGUACACUUGAUACUAAAGGCUUUAAGUAUUCUUCAGCUGAUGGAUUAAUGAAGGUCGCUAAAGGGAAUCUUGUAGUGAUGAAGGCCAAGUUGUCCGACAUGUUAUAUGUUCUACAGGGUUCCACUGUGACAGGUUCAGCAGCGGUGACUUCUUCCUCUAUGUCAGAUUCGGAUAGCACCAAAUUAUGGCAUAUGCGACUGGGCCAUAUGAGUGAAUAUGGUAUGAUGAAGUUGGGCGAGAGAGGUUUACUUGGUAGUCAGAGUUUAGAAAAGUUGGACUUCUGCGAGCAUUGUGUUCUUGGCAAACAAAAGAGAGUCAGCUUUAAGGCCGCAGUUCACCGAACAAAAGGUACUCUGGACUACAUCCAUUCUGAUCUUUGGGGACCUUCUCGUACUCCUACUCAUGGUGGUGCUAGAUAUAUGUUGACUUUUAUUGACGACUAUUCUCGUAAAGUGUGGGCAUUCUUUCUAAAAAGUAAGGAUGAGGUGUUCAAUUAUUUCAAGCAGUGGAAGGUCAUGAUUGAGAAGCAAACUGAAAAGAAGAUCAAACGAUUAAGGACCGACAAUGGUUUGGAAUUCUGCUCGUCAGAGUUUGAAGAAUUCUGCAAAAAGGAAAGGAUCGUUCGACAUAAGACCGUUAGGCAUACUCCACAGCAAAACGGGAUGGCCGAACGGAUGAAUAGAACUCUUUUGGAGAAGGCCCGUCGUAUGCUCUCUAAUGUUGGCUUAGCAAAGAAUUUCUAGGCAGAGGCGAUCUCUACGGCAUGUUAUUUGGUGAAUCAAUCUCCACAUUCAGCACUUGAUUGCAAAACUCCGGAGGAGGUAUGGUCUGGCAGCCCUUCUGAUUAUUCUAAUUUGCGCAUAUUUGGUUGUCCUGCUUAUGUUCAUGUUAAUGAAGGCAAGUUAGAACCUAGGGUUAAAAGGUGCAUUUUUAUUGGUUAUGCAUCGGGGAUUAAGGGAUAUAGAUUGUGGUGUCCUGAAUCGUCUAAAUUAAUCAUUAGUAGGGAUGUCACAUUUGAUGAAUCUACUAUGUUAUAUCAUAACCAUAAUUCUUCUGAUGAGACCCCGAGUGUUAGCAAACAGGUGGAGGUAGAGACCGAUAGUAUAGUUCAGUCGCAGAAUUCUUCUCAGUCAGAACAAGUUCAGUCGACAGACACCUCAGUAACUGAAACCCCACAAGUUGAGAAGCAGAGCAUUGCUACAGGCAGAGCGAGGAGACAGAUUAAACCACCGCAGAUAUACGGUUAUGAAGAUAUGGUUGCUUACGCUCUUUCAGUAGCACAAAAUACAGAAGAAGAAGGUGAACCUUCCACAUAUAAUCAAGCUAUUUCGGGUGCCAGUUCUGCAGAGUGGUUGGUGGCGAUAAAUGAGGAGAUGGAGUCUCUCCAUAAGAAUCGCACAUGGGAGUUGGUAAAACCGCCUACAGGCAAGAAAAUUGUCGGGUGUAAGUGGGUCUUCAAGAAAAAGGACGGAAUCCCCGGCGUGGAAGAUACAAGGUAUAAAGCUCGUUUAGUUGCUAAGGGCUACAGUCAGGUAGAAGGUGUGGACUUUAAUAAUAUUUUCUCACCCGUCGUAAAGCAUACUUUUAUUCGUGUUCUUUUAUCGUUAGUAGCCAUGAAUGGCCUGUAUCUUGAGCAACUUGAUGUUAAGACAGUUUUUCUGCAUGGAGAACUUGAGGAGCAAAUUUAUAUGAAACAGCCGGAGGGAUUCAUUGUUGAAGGGAAGGAAGACCAUGUUUGCCUGUUAAAGAAAUCGCUUUAUGGCUUAAAGCAGUCUCCUCGACAAUGGUAUAAGCGGUUCGACUCCUUCAUGACAGGUCACGGAUAUUCCAGAAGGAAGCGUGACAGUUGCGUGUAUUUCAGAAAGCUUGAUAAGGGAUCUUUCAUAUAUUUGUUGCUCUAUGUCGAUGAUAUGUUAAUUGCUUCCAGCGACAUAGUUGAGAUAAAUAAAUUGAAGGCUUUACUUAAGGGUGAGUUUGAGAUGAAAGAUCUAGGUGCUGCUAAGAAAAUCCUUGGUAUGGAAAUUAAGAGGGACAACAAGUCAGGACUACUGCAUUUGACACAAGAGAAAUAUAUAGAGAAGAUUUUAAAGCGUUUCGGGAUGACAGACGCAAAACCAGUGAGCACUCCUUUUGCGGCGCAUUUCAGACUUUCCGCCGAGUUAUCACCGCAGUCCGAUGAUGAGCGGGAGUACAUGUCACAUGUUCCCUAUUCUAGUGCUGUCGGGAGCAUCAUGUACGCCAUGGUUUGCACACGGCCGGACAUCUCCUACGCAGUGAGCAUGGUUAGCAGAUAUAUGACCAAUCCUGGUAAGGCUCAUUGGCAGGCUGUUAAGUGGAUUUUGAGAUACUUACGAGGUACCACUAACACUUGUUUGGAGUUUGGGAGGUGUAAGGAUGGUGUGGUUGGAUAUGUUGAUUCGGAUUUUGCAGGUGAUUUGGAUAGGAGGAGAUCACUUUCAGGUUAUGUAUUCUCUAUUGGCGGAUGUGCAGUUAGUUGGAAAGCUUCACUACAACCUAUUGUCGCCUUGUCUACGACGGAGGCGGAAUAUAUUGCUAUGACAGAGGGUGUGAAGGAAGCUAUGUGGCUAAGAGGCUUAUUUGGAGAGCUUACUUCUUAUUGGGAUCCGACGAUUGUUUAUUCGGACAGUCAAAGUGCUAUUCAUUUGUCUAAAGAUCAAAUGUUUCAUGAGAGGACAAAGCACAUCGAUGUAAAGUUUCACUUUGUUCGGGAUGUGAUUGGGAAACGCACGUUGACAGUUAAGAAAAUUGGUACUGAGGACAAUCCGGCGGAUAUGCUUACUAAGUCCCUUACUAUUGCCAAGUUCAAGCAUUGUUUGGACUUGGUGGCAGUUAGCAGCAUUUGAGGCCCUAUGGGGCGUUUGGAGAAGACGGAGCACGGAGCGUUAAGGAGCAUUGAGGCGAAUUAAAUUCAAGGUGGAGUUUUGUGGCGACCUCGACAUAGCGACGGCUAAACUACAAAUUAAACCAAGGUGGAGAUUGUUAUAUUUGGUUUAGAUUUGUAGUUAUCUAAAUUGAGGAUAAAUUCUAAUCUAAUUGGGAUUAGAUAUUAUUUAGAUUUAAUUUGGCAUAUAUGGAUUAUAAUUAGGAGUGUAAUUCUAAUCUAAUUAGAAUUAGACUCUAAUUAGGAGACAUGUAUUAUAUAUACAUGCUACGGCCAAGUUAAUGAAGCUGCGACCAAAAAUUAAGAAGUCGUGACUUGAAUUAAGCUUGAGAGUUCUUGGUUCUGUACGCUCAAGGAGCCGGCCUUAUUAUGUCAUGCUAAUUAAUUAAAGGUGAGGUUGCUUGCUUCCGCGGAGGAGUUGUGAUGCACUAAUUAAUUAAGUGGCUUGCGAUGGUGUACGGUGGCAGCAACACCAUUAGCCAAUGUGCAUGGUGCCGUACAUCCUUGUUUUGGUGAGCCGAGCCAAGAUAUAUUAUCAAGACGUGCUAAGAAGGUGCCGUAUGCGGUAACGCGCGUCGAAUAUAUAUUUACUUUAGUUUUUGGUUUUCUUCGAGAAAUCUUCUUUGUACUCCGCCUUUUCGAUAUUAAUAAAUUAUUUGCUUCGUCUUCGCCCGUGAACGUAGGCCGUUGGCCAAACUACGUAAAUAUCGGUGUGUUCUUUCUGCUUAUCUUUUCGUUUCCUGCAUUAAAUCAUUUUCUGAAUCUAUUUUUCGCCAUUCCGAUUUUAACAGAUAUAGAAUAAAACUUCACUAGAAAGCUCUCCAAACGUUGGGGAGUGUUUUAUCUGCUGCAAUAUGUCAGUUCUACCUCUACUAAAAAUUUAUUGAAUAAUUUCUAAUACUAAAAUUUUUUAAAAAAUAAACUUUAGAUAAAAAAAUUAUAAUCUUUGGGUAGAUGCAAAAUAGUUAUAUGUCACGAGAUUAGGGGCUCCUCGACGGUACUUCACUUGGGAGCCCCCUACUAAAGUUAUUUUCCACGGAUCUAGAGCCAGGAGGAGGGUACCUCAAGCUCCCUCUCCAUUUUUUUUAAUGGGUCGGGGUGGAUUCUUAGCUGGUUAAUUUUUAUGCUAAUAUUUAUCCUCACUGACCAUUCUAUUUAUCAAGAUAAAAACGAACAUUUAGUAGAUAUUUAGCUGAUCGCGACAGAUGAAUGAAAAAAAAAAAAUCUUCUACUCCAUUUCUUAAUAAAACGGGAUGAAUUCGGAAUGAAUUACUUUUCUUUCAUUAUUUUGGCUCCUACUUAUCGCCUCAUUCAUGACGGGAGUUUCAUCAAUCCGAAUUCAUUUGCAUAUCUACGAAAGAGGUUCCACAAAAAAAAUCAUCUUUAGGAGUCGUAUUAAGGGUUCGAAACAUUUUAGAUUGGCAACCAGAGUAGACUGACUGAUGGUUGUUAUUACAGUGAGAAGGUUAAAAUCCUAAGCUAUAUUGGCAUUUUAAAAUGAGCAAGUAAAACUUAAAAAAAAAGAAAAAAAGAAAAAAAGAAGAAGAAGAUGAAGAAAUUCUCAUAUACGUAGUUAGAGCUUAUGGAGAGAGUACACGGGUCAAGAGGUUAAGUAGGGGAUAAGAUUGGAGUUAGUGAGGUAAAUUGUGUCAUUAAAACGCUUAACUAUCACUUUUUUUUAGAAGCAACCAUUGGCCCAUGUGCAAUGGGAAACAGUUUGGUGGGCCUGUUUAAUGUGAGUUACUGCAUCACUAAAUCUCUCUCUCUCUCUCUCUCUCUCUCUCUGGAAACAGUUUGUAACCUUUAUUUUCUAUUACUUCAUCUGCUUAUAGAAAUAUUAUAUUGAGUUCAUGGCGAUCACAACUCAUAAACUCUUCUUAUCCCCGCCCUCUCCAUCUCUACUCCCCUCAAAUUUCCAAAGAAUCCUCUUUUCCACUUCCCCGCAAGGAAAAUUUUGUGGUAAGAGGAGGUUCGUAGCCUCUCUCGUUUCCACUCUACCCAAUGCAGGGGCAAAGCCCUCACCAACAUCAUCAUUUGAGGAGGUUAAAAAACCUUCUUUUUUUUUCUUUUUUUUUUCUUUCUUUCUUUCUCUGCUUAUUUUUUAGAUUUUACUGUUUACUUUCAUGCUAAUUUUUACUUUUUUUUUUGGGCGUGUUUUUAGCUGAUCGAGUCGCUGAUAAACCGGAUCGAUCUAUCGGAAGAGGAAGCAGAGGCGUCGCUCGAGCUCCUUCUUCGAGAAGCGAAUGAGGCCCUCAUCAGCGCCUUCUUAGUACUCCUGAGGGCCAAAGGAGAGACCUUUGAGGAGGUUCUUGUGUUUUUUAUUGAUGCCCCUUUUGUGUUCGAUGAAUUGCCAAGCUGAUCUUGUUGCUGUUCUUUUGAAGAUUGUAGGAUUGGCGAGGGCGAUGAUGAAAUGCUGCGUGAGAGUGGAGGGCGUAGACGACGCGGUCGACAUUGUUGGGACCGGUGGCGAUGGCGCGAACACGGUGAACAUCUCGACCGGCGCUGCCAUUUUGGCUGCCGCGGCCGGCGCGAGAGUUGCAAAGGUGGUGGGAAUGUAAAUAAUGUGAAAAAAGUGAUCCCUUUUUUUUUUUUAAUGUUCCUAAGCAUUUGGUGGUUUGGUAUGUGUCUCAGCAAGGGAGCAGGUCGAGCUCUUCUGCGUGCGGAAGCGCAGAUGUGUUGGAAGAAUUAGGAGUGAACAUCCAAUUGGGCCCUGAGGUAGUGCGCCCAUAUGAAUUCAAUACGAAUUUCUUAAGUUUGGAACUCAUAAUUUUGCUAUUUUAAUGCUUGGUGAAAGCAUCACAAACUAUAGAAUUGAUAUUCACGUUUUUCGUGAUACAGUAACACCGCUGUGUUGAUCGUAAUGUAGUUUGAAUUGUCGGCAUCUAUAUGUGUAAACGACUUUCUAAAUCUGACCUAGAUCUUGUAUGCUUGUUCGAGCAAAAGAGUGACAUUCUUAGUGCUAAUUAUGUUUCUGCUGCAUUAAGGAGAUGAAAAGGUGUUUGAAGGAGGCGAGCAUCGGAUUCAUGAUGGCUUCCAAUUACCACCCGGCAAUGAAAAUAGUUCGUCCUGUGAGGAAGAAGCUUAAAGUGAAGACCGUGUUUAAUAUUCUAGGUCCCAUGUUGAAUCCAGCAAGGGUGCCUUUUGCUGUCGUCGGUGUUUACAAUGAAGAUAUAGUAAGUUUUCGUUCUUGCAAACUAAAGUGCUUUUCUUCUAAGGAGUGUGAUCAUAAACUAUCUUACAUACCUUCCAUUACACUGUAAUUUCAUUUGCUAGCAUUUCAAUCAUUACCUAAAUUUUCAUUCACUUCGUACUUAUUAAAUCUAUGAUAUUAUGAUGCUCUGCCUCGUGGAUGUUUCCGAAAACAUAUUAAUGAAUGCUGAAUGAAAUAACUCCUUGGAUAGGUUAUGAAGAUGGCUAAAGCACUACGAAGGUUCGGCAUGAAAAGAGCGUUAGUUGUUCAUUCGAAGGGUUUGGAUGAAUUAAGCCCUCUUGGUAUGAUAACCUGUUAAUAUUUCACGGGCUUGUGAUGGUCUUGUAAUUCUAUUCAAAGAGUUCCCACGGCUGCUACCUAUCCUAAUAUCCUAUUACUAGUAAUACAGAAUUAAAUUGUUGCAGGACCUGGAUAUUUUCUCGAUGUUACUCCAGCAAAGAUUGAGAAAGUGCACUUUGAUCCAUGUAUUUAUCUUUUUCUAGUAAUUUCUUAAUUCUUAGACAUGGUAUGGUCAUAAAAUUUGCUUAUUAAUGUGGUAAGUGAUGAUUCAGUGGAUUUUGAUAUUCCUCGCUGCACGAUAGAAAGUCUAAAAGGGGGCGGCCCUACUUUCAAUGCGAAGGUUCUCAGGGAUGUGCUUUCUGGUGAGAAGGGUUCAGUUGCAGAUGCUUUUGUGAGUCACUCGUCCUUUCAUAGUCACUUACUCUGGUUUCUCAUAUCUCAUGGACUGGUCUAAAUUAUAUGAAACACCUUUAUAAAUGCCGCAAUGUUCGUUUUGGUCCCCCAAAAUGCUUUGCCUAUAUAGUACCCUUCCAAAUUCUCAGUGUUCCCAUAGGUGAUAUCUAUCACGUUGCUCCUAGAUUAUAGGAGCAAAAUGUAUGUAUUCGGACUUUUCAUGUUCUGAUUUGCUUUAGCAAAAGUAGCAGCAAUAUCUUUGAGCCAAUUGGGAACAAUAACUGACAAAAUUUCUCUGACCGAAAUUUGUCUAUAGAUGUUAAUCUUGUUGAUCUUUUUGCAGCAUUUGCACAAGCCUAAUUUGUUUCGAAUGGAUGUAGAUUCUGAACACGGCAGCUUCUCUUCUUGUUAGCGGUCAUGUUAGCGAUUUGGCCGAAGGAGUGGCAAUGGCACGGGAGACACAGCGGUCUGGUAAGGCCAUUAAUACACUGCAAACAUGGAUUGAGCUCUCCAAUGUAAGCACUAUCACCAUCUCUCUCUAAAUGCAUUUUUUGCGCUAAUUCUAUUCGAUUAAGAGUCCCAUUCUUAGUGAAAUCUUUUUAUGUAUAUGCAGGCUCAGAACUACUGAGGUAAAAAGAGGAUGGUUGGUAUGCUCAAAAUAGAACCUUGCCUGUCAAACACAAGGUUUCCGUAAGUUCAAUCAGCAAUUAUCAACCAUUUCGAAAUAAUCGAGCCUGACAUGAAUCAAAAUAAGCCCUUUUUUCCUCUCUUUUUUGAGUUAAUGAUUUGUAUUAGUUGUGUGCCAAUCGAUACAUCGUAGCAUUUAAGGUGAAUGAUAUUGCCUAUUAAUGGAAGAUCUCUGAGCAUGAACUGCAUUUUCUUUUUUAUUUUUUUUUAAAAAUCUGUAUUUUCUUUAACAUGUCCAUAACACAUGUACGAUUAGGGUAGAGAUGAAUGUAGCAAUAUAUUUACACCAAAAAACAAAAAGAAACCAAAACAAAGGAUGGCUUGAUGGCCUCAGAAUGCGAGGGACAUACUCCGCAAACGCAACAAUGCAAUCCAAUCUGCAGAGAUCUUUGGUUCAUCUGAUCUUUGCUGCUGCCUCUCUCCUCGGCUUUCCCUGCAGCCAUAGCGCCGACCAACAUCCGAGGGUGGCGGGCUUUGUAUCCCUGAAAGAUCAAACAAAGGAAUAGUUAAUCGAAUUGUCGAGGAGAUCAGUUAGCAUGCAUAACCUUUGGGUGUCUCCCCUACUGCUUGAUUUUGUCAGAUUUUCUUUAUUGCAACACCAUCAGAGUAAGCCAUUAUUAGAUCCUAAACUUCAACCUGAGUGCAAGUCUCUAGCAGAUCAGAGAAGCAGCAACUAGCAAGAUUGAUUUUUUCUUUUUUUCUUUUAUGAGAGGGAGUGAGAAAAGAUGACAUGCUAUCUGCAUCGUUUAUUAUUUUUUAGAAAUAAAUUUAGCGCAAAAUAUAAAGCAAUUAAGCUUUAAAUUGGAACGUCAAAUAUUAAUCAUUAAGCCUUUUAUCAGUUGCAAUAGCUGAAAAUGUGAAGCAGUCAGACUUUAAAUUUAAGGACACCGAAUAUUAAUCAUCAUAUCUUUUGUUACUUGCGCUAGGAACAGUUAGUAGUUAUCAGUGUAUUUGAAUCGAUCCAUAUUAUGGCUCUAUUUGGAUUCAUAAACAUUUUAAUUUGCAUAUCUUUUUAUUUACUAAAGAAAUUUAAUUUAUUUGAUAGAUUAAUAGUACUAUCAAAUGUCUACAAACAAAAAAAAAAAAAUCACCUUAUAUAUAAAAUAAGGUGAAAUAUUCUAUCCUCACACUAAAAAAAAAGAGAGAAAUAUUCUCCUCACACACACAAAAAAAAAAUUCUUAUACCUAGUAAGUUAUUAGUGAAUAAUUUAUUUUGACAUUCAAAUAGGGCCUUUACACCAGCUUGUUACUUUCUUUUGCACAUUAGUUGUACUAUGAACAUUAAUAAAUGUUGGUAAUGGUACCAACAGAAAAUGUUUGUUGAACCAGAUUAGUGUGCACUACUGACUAAAGUUAAACAUGAUCUAGUCAACUUAAUCCUUACCUAAUAAAUAUUCUUUUCUUUGUACACAAAAUCAAUUAAUAUCUUGUCAAAAAAGAUAGGCUGAUUUAAUUAUGGCUACAUAUUGACCCGGUCUCUCUUGAAGAAUAUGUAAGCAUACUUUGGGCAGCUAACCCCAAACUAACCUCCUCCUCCUCUACCUACCUCUAAACUAGAAAACUUCUUUGUUUUAUGAAAAUCAAGUACAAUUAUUAGGUGGGAGAAAAAAAAGAAGAAGAAGAAGAAAAAGAAUAGGAAUCAGAGAAGAUCCACAUAAUCCCCUGCAAAAUAUUAUAGUUCCUGGGUCAUUGGAAUUUGGAACGAGUUCAUUCUACUUGGGUACACUAUGUUUGUUCUAAUUCAUGGGGCUUUUGUUUCAAUUUAUGAAUAUUUUAUUCAAAAUAUGUUUAUUGAUUUAGUCAAAAUGUUUGUAGUAUUUGAUAGAUAGAAGUGCAAUACGUAUACAGACUUUAGGUUAUUUUUCGAAAUAAAUCACUUUAUAGAUAUAUAAAAAUAUGCUAGCCUAUUAAAUUAUAAAUAUAAAUAUUUUUUAAAGAGCAAAACUCGAAAACCUUACACUCGAUCUAUAAAAAAAAAAUUCUCUUACUAAAUAAGUUAUAGUCACCAUUAUGAAAAACUGGAAACUUAUUAUUUAAUUAAUUUUUCCUGAAUGUAAAGAGGUCAAAUAUUUUUAGUGAAAAAUGUACGGAAGCCCCUCAAUUUUAGCUUUUUGCAAACAGGCGGCCAAACUUUAAAUUUUGGAAAUUACACCAAAUUUUAUAAAAUAUUUGAAUAUGUGCCCUCUCUUCAGUUAAAGUUACUAAUUAUACAACUAUUUUGUCAUAUAUCUUAAUUUUAUAAACCUUCAAAACACUAAAAUAUUUAAUUUUCUAUUCUAACAUGUAAAAAGGCAGCAAAAAUAGGAGUUAAGUUCACCAUAUAUUUCAACUCCUAUGCUUAAUUAUCAAUAUUAGAAGAGAACAAAUAAGUUUUUUUACAAUUUGGAAGUACAAGAUUAUCUGUGUGACAUCUAAUCAAAACGGCUAUAUAGUUAGUAAUUUUAAUCGAAAAGAGAGUCUAUAUAUAAAACAAUCAGAUAAAAUUUUAAAGAUCUAAUUGUCAAAGUUAAAAGUUCGACAUCUAUUCUAAGAAUCUUUGUACAUAUUUUCCAUAGAAAAAAAUUCUGUCCCAUGAAAACCUAGUAGAAUUAUAUAGGUGAAAGAAAAUUACAAAAUCAAAGAAGAUCCGCAUGUCCCCUACAAAAUUUUGCCAUUCCCAGGUCAUUGGAAGCCAAUCAAUCUAAUUGUCUUGCACAAAACUAUCAUACUAAAUUCAUGAAACCAAUGGUUCCAAUAUAAAACAAUUAAUUUUUCUUUCCUGAUGCGAAAAAAAAGGCUCAAAUAUAUCUACCAACAAGUUUAAACUGAAGGCAAAAAUAUACAAAGCAUAACUGAACUAUUGACCAUUUUGAUUUGAUUAUUCAAUCUUUCAAAACUUUAAUUUUACUAUCCAACCUUUCAAUUUAUUUAAUUUGAGCUAGUCGACGACACUUUGAUUUUAGAAUUUAAAUGCGCCGUUUAUAUUUAUAGAUUUAACUAGUAUAUUUUAUACAAUUCUCGCAACUAGCUGUAAAUUUAGUAAAUUAAGUAGCUUAUGUAAAUUUUAAAGUCAAGAUAUCGCUGACGGGCUCAAAUCAACCAAAAUGAAAGAUUAAACAGUAAAAUCAAUAGUUUGAAUGAUUAGAUAAUCAAAUCAAAAAUGAUUCAUAGUUUGUAAAAGUAUGAAUCACUAAUUAAUUAAAUUACCUCUUGUUGCACUCUGUGGUGGCUCUAUGAACUGCACCCCUACUCAUUCUUGGUGCAGUUAAGCUCCUCGUCAAAGAAGCAGGCAAAUACACAUUCAAGAGCACUCCAUCACUUGCACUCCUGAAGCUGCCGUUGCGGACCAUGAUCUUCUUUUUCUCCUUCACCACUCUCGUCUUUGGAUCAAUCGGCUCUCCUCCAUGCGACGAAGCCGCCGCCUUUUCCUUCGACACCGAACUACGCGCGUCGACCGAUCCCUUCUCGACGAUGUCGGUGAGGGAGAGCUCGUAGUCGGACUCCGGGACGUCGCGCAACAGCCCGAGGAGCUCUUCCCGGCCUCCGGCGAUCUCUCGCGCUCUCGACGAUAAAUGAACGAAGCUGAACUCUUCCAUUCUCCUCCCUGGGAACCUGCGGGGAGUGUUCCCUGAGGGUGCAACUUUGCUCUCUUUUGAUUUAUGAGCCUUUAUAGCUAUCAUAGCUCAGCUGGUUAGAGCGAAUUAGUUAAAGGAAACAAUAUAUAAGCUUCUUUAAUUUCCUCUUUUUUAUGCUACUAAGUAUUUAUAGUAUAUUGAAGGGGGAUUAGGUGUGGCCACUCAAGAAAGUAAAUUAAUGCACACUUUUUUUUUCAUGUAUUUCACUUAAUCAUCUACUUAAAAUCUUAAUAAUGGAAAGUAAUUAAUAUUAGCCGAAUAAUUAAGAAAUAAUAAAUGACGUAUGCGAGAAAUACGGAAGGAUCUUUUUUUAACAUAAAAAAUUUAUGAGUCUUCCGGUAUAUAAAUUAAUUUUUAGUAUUUUUUUUACUAAUUAAAUUUUUUUUUUGUAUUUUACAAAUUAAUAUUUUUUUAACUAAUCUAAUUAUUUCUCAACUAAUUAAUUAUCUAACGAAUUAAAUAAUUAUCUAAUUAGUUUAUUAAUUUAUUACAUUACAUGUGGUUAAUUAAUUUAUUAAUUGAUAUUUAUGGUUAAGUAGAAGUACUCAUGAUUAAAUAAUAUAUAAUAAUAUUUUUGUUUUGAAACUAUAAUUAUUUUUACUUUUAUUAUUCCAAUCCAACCAUUUAGAGGCGAAUUUUUUUAUUCAUUGAAAUAACACUAUUUUCAUCCAAAUACAAAGUUGGUAAAUUUUUUAUUUAUCCUAAAAGUUGUAUUUAUAUUAGAAAUAAUUAGGAAUAACUUAUUUUUGAAUCAAGCGAUGCCUACAAAAUUUGAAUAAUUUUGAUGCAUUUAACCCAAAAAUUGAAAAAGAAAAAGAGGGGAAAAAAAGAGGGCUUGGUUGAAAAUUUAGGAGGCUGUGUAAUUACAACUGUCGUGUUGGAAAAAGUUUGUAGUGAUGGCCCUUUCAGUUGCUGUGUCCUGGUGGGCGAAAAAGAUGGACUCAGUUGAAUUGACCGAGUAUUCGACAUAUUGGACCUGAUUUUGGACUCCAGAAGGUUUUAAUUCUGUGUAAAUUUCAACGCGUAGAGCUACUGUCGAAAGCGUAAGUGAGUUGGUGCUUUCGACUUUUAGACGCUCAAAUUAAGAACUAUAGGAUUGGGACAAUAGUUGUUCCUUUUAGGGGCCGUUUGGUUAAAUAUAAUUACAAAUGCAGUAUAGUUGAAAAUACAUACAGUUGAAGAUACAGCAGUUAUAACUACAUGAUCAUAUUUGGUUGGAUGUAGUAAAAAGCGCUGCAAUUAUAAAUAAUCUGUUUAGUUGCAUAUAGUUGAGGAAUAAUUUUUAAAAUUUUAUUAUUUUAUUUUAUAUAUAUAAUGGUGAGAUUACUUCUAAUGUAAAAAAAAAGAAGUAUUUUUAUCGUUUGUUUAAAGUUACACUCUCCAACUGAUGCAGUUGGAACUACGAUCAAAUUUCAACUACUGCAGUUGGAGCUCCUCUUACAAUUCUUACUGUAGCAGUUGGAGUUAAAUACAUCAAACCAAACACCGAAUUUGUAUUUACAUACAGUUACAACUGCGUGCAAUUACAACUACAUACAACCAAAUGGCUACUUAGAGUUGAGUGGUUCCUCUAUUGUAAUAAUAUUAAUUCAAAGAUAAAAAAUAAUCAAAAAGAUUAAUUCAAGUACUAAAAAGUUGGAAGCACGAACUCCCCAAUCCUUCUGAAAGCAUAGUAGUUCCAUUCAAUUUCAAUUUAUCAUUUUGUGAUUUAGCAUAUUUUUACACUUACUAUUUUAUAGUUCAAAAAUUAUACUUAACUAUACUAUUACUUACUAUAUUUUUAUUUUACCAUCCCACGAUUUAAAAAAGUCUCAUUUAAUUACUCUAUUAUUAUUUUUUUAUUUCAUUUUAAGGGCAUAUCGUUCUCUAUCUUUCUAAACCGUAAAAAGUUACUCUCUAAUGAAAUGUUCAUAUUAAAGCAGUAGAAUUUUACCAUUGCGGGAAAGACGGUAAUUAACUGAUGGAAUUUCUUUUCAAUUCAAUAAAUUUAAUUGAUUUUGAGCCUAUUUGGUUGAAUGUGAUUAAAAAUAUAGUAUAGUUAAAGAUACAAUGCAGUUAGUUAUAAAUAGUGAAAUACAAUAUUUACAGCUAAGGCUCCGUUUGAUACCCUUAAAAAUGUAGUAUAGUUCAACUAUAUUACACCAGUAGAAAAUUUAUCCUAUGAAGUGUUUAGGAGCAAAAAAUAGACCAUAAUUUUUGGAGUAUAGUUAAACUAUACUCCAAAAAAUGGAGUAAAAUUAUAAUCCACUGUAACCAAAGAAAAAAAAUUUCAUCAUUCUUGGGCAAAGAUGCAUCAAGUUCUAAAUUUUAAAUUUCAACAUGAAAUUUUUAAUUUCAACAUAGCUUUCAAAAUUUAAAUUUAAAUUUUAAAAUUUUACAAUUUAAUUUAUAUUCAAAUUUUUAAUUUCAAAUUUAAAAUUUGAAUUUUAAAUUUGAAAUAUCAAAAAUUAAAAUUUAUAAUUUCAAAAUUUAAAUGUCAAAUUUUAAAUUUUAAAUUUUUUAAUUUCAUAAAUUAAAAUUUUAUUUUUCGAAUAUCAAAUUUUAAAUUUUAGUUUACAAAUAAUAAAUUUUAAAAUUUUUAAUUUAUAAUUUUAAUUUUUAAUUCUAAAUUUUUUAUUUUCAAAUUUAAUUUUUAAAUUUCAAUUUUCAAAUUUCAAAUUUAGAAUUUCAAAUUUUAUUUUAAAUUUUAGUUUUCAAAAUUCAAAAUUUAAAUUCAAAAUUUUUAAUCUAAAUUUAAAGUUUCAAAUUAANAUUUUAAAUUUUAAAUUUCAAAUCUCAAAUCUCAUAGUUCAAAUUUCAAAUUUGAAUUUUAAAUUUGAAAUUUAAACUUUAAAUUUUAAAUUUAUUUUUUAAAAUUUAAAUUUUAAAUUUUAAAUUUCAAAAUUUUAAAAUUAAAUUUAGAUUUUUAUAUUUUUAAUUUUUAAUUUUAAAAUUUUAAAUUUUAAAAUUUUGCAUUUCACAUAUCAAAUUUUAAAAUUUAAAUUCCAUUGAAAUUUGAAAUUUGAAAUUUUAACUUUUAAUUUUAAAAUUUAGAUAAAUUCCGUGAAAUUGCACAAUGUGCAUUCAAACAAUUUAAAAAUUGAACCCGUGGAAUUUGUUUAGAGUUAUAGAAUUUCCUAUUUCAUUCGGACGAAAAUCACAAUUUAUAAAUUUCGUGGAGAUUUUUUUACUGUGCAUCCAAACAGGCCCUAAAUGCAUGCUUUUUAUUGGAUAUAGUAGAUAAAUAAUUUGUUUAACUCUGUGGAGUUGAAAAAUGUAUUUUUACAAUUUUAUCACAAAUGUGGCAGUAUGAUUAUCUUCAAAUAUAGAAAAAAAAUAUUUUUUAAAAAAUUACGGAGAUAAAUUUUAUAUUUUAUUUCAACUCUAACAAUUAAAUUUAAAUAUAUUAAAUUUAAAUUUGUAUGUGCGACAUCCCUGUAUGUACGCCGUAAAAGUGGCUCUGUUUUAUUUUUUCUCUUUUUUAAGGGUUAAAAAAGAUCUGCCGUGGCAUUAUCUUGGACGUGUACGCUGGGUCAGUUCUAUGAAAUUCGGUACUUGGAAUUUUUGAAAUUUGAUGUUGACCAAACAAGACAUGCACCAAAUAUGGAGCGUAUCUAGCCGUACAAAGAGUGGUCCCCACUUAAUGCAUUUAAAAAAAAAGAAUCAGGGAAUGGAGCAGUAGUCAAGCAAAUGGAUGCCUCUUUGCAGAAACUUGCUUGCCAAGGCAAAACUAAGAAUUUGAAAGACUGACUUAGGGUGGUUGCCAAUGAGUACAUAUAUUCAAAUUUUUAUUCAAAUUUAAAUUUGUAUAAAAUAAAUUUAUUUAAUACUAAAUAGAUAUAAUUUUAAAUAUGAGUAUGAAAAUAAAAAUUUUAUUUUGAAUCCGAAUUCGAUCGGAGUGAGUUUACUCGAUACUAAACAGAUGGGCAUAGAAAAUAAAAAUAUGAUAGAUUUGAAUUCGAGUACUGAUUUUGUCCGUACUCGAUCUAAGCCUGAACUCGAUCGACUCGAAUCCGAAUUAAUUUCACAAUAUAUAUUGUAUAUGAUUCUUUGAUAUUAUAUUUAAAUUUGUAUUUUAAAAAUUUAGAUUUUAAUAUAAUAUGUUUUGAUAUAUGGUAAAGAGAAAUAAUUUUUUUAGGUUCGGAUUUUAAAUUUUUUGUCGAGUUCGAAUUUGGAUAUAAAUCUUCGAAAUUCUCUGUAUUCGAAUUCUGAUUCAGACUCGGGUUUUGAAAAAUUCGCUCUCCUCAUCCGACGCAUUGACGUUCCUGGACUGAAGCAACUGUCCCAUAAUGCAUAGGCUUUUUUAAAAAAAAGGUUACCAUGUAAUGCAUAGCUUACACUCGAGAGACGAGGAAUUAUUUCGAUAGCGGAGAAAAGAAAAAUACUAUUUGUACAUUCAAAAAUAAAAUAUAAAUUUUAUAUUUAUUAAAAAAUUAUCUUUUAUAUUUUUAAUAUUAAAAAAAUUAAGAGUGUUAUAAUAAUACUGUAAUUUUUUUUUUUGAGAAAAAAGGAGUAUGCUAUCCGUUUCGUUUAUUUUUUUAAAAAAUAAAUUUAACUAGAAAUGCGAAUCAACCAGGAUUCAAACUUAGGAUUUCAGAUACCAGCCAUCCCCAGAAAUUAGUAUAGCCCAUAGCCACUCACUUAACGUGUUUAAGGUCUCCAAAAGGAGGUUACUCUAGGAAGGUCUCUGCAAGGAAGUGAAUUUUAACUGAGACAACGAAAGUUCUUUGCCAUUUGCAUUAGGGACAGCCGAUAAUAUUAUAAAAAUUUGAAAAAAUUUCAAAUACCACCAUGUGGUUUCGCACUUUCUCACGUUAGUACUCUGUAGUUAGAACUUGGUUAGAUGCGGUUUAGUGGACGACGGAAAUUUUAAAUUACAACUAUUUUUAGAUUUAAGUUAUAGCUACUCUCUGAUUAGAUUACACUUAUUACUUCUAAUGUUGGUAGGAAUAAGAUUAAAAUUUAGGUGAUUGUGAAUGCCUAUUGUAUCUAUUGGCAUUCAAUUCCUUUGAAAUGGUUACAUAUCAUUUCCUCAAAUCGCUUUUGAAAUUCUGUUGAAAGUCAUAUUCAGUGAUGAUAGAAAUAGUAGUCAUUAAACAAGUUUAUUGGCAUCAAGAGAAACUUAAUGUCUCUUAGGAUAUGUUUUGUUUACCUUUUUUAAACUAUGAAAUCAGAAUGAAAUUUAUUGAUUUCGAUAGUUAUUGUUUGUUUUAUAGAAAUCAAAUUUUGGUUUUUAUUUCACAACGGAAUGGGAAUGGCUAAAUUUAUUUAUAACCUAAUCCGUCUUUGAAUUCCAAAUUAACCUAUUUCAAAGUAAACUAUUCAACUGUCUUUUUCACGGACACCUACCUCCUCUCUUUUUAUCACUUUUCUCUCUCUUAAUCAAACUUUUCUCUAAAAAAUUUUAAAUUUUCAUGCCGAUUUUCAUUCCAAUAAUGAACCAAAUAUUUUUGUAUGAUUCGUUAUUUCGUUUUUUAUUCCAAAGUAAUCAAACCGGUAUUAGGAUAUGUGUUGAUUAAUUUUUUUUUAAUAUGAAAUGUUUGGAUGUUUCAAAACGGUAUUAUAAUAAAGUGUAGUGGACUUCUCCGUUACAAGUUAGUGCGCUCAACAGACAACAAAAUUAAUAAAGAUUUAAAAAAAAACAAAACUAAGUAAAUAUUCAUGCCAAAAAAUUAAACUUGUACCAACUAUUUAUUAAGAUUAGAGGGCUUGGGAGGAUUUGGGACUAGUGUAGGGUGCAUUAAUUUUGUUAUUGUAGCUUGGUUUGCUUUUUUUUUUUUUAUUUCUUUUUUUUUCUUUUGCCUUUUCCUUUUUGUUUUCUCUUCUAUUUCUAAGCGGCCUUAUUGCUGCACCUUUGUAGCUAAAUUUAUAUUCUUAAUGAAUAAAGCCAUAGUAUGCUAUUUUUUUUUUUUUUAAAGAAUUCUCCAAAGAAGAUUAUUUUGUUUUAAAGGUGAGUUUAUCAACAACUAAAGGGAUAAUAAUUAAAACAAGAAAUGGUAUCUUUGUACUGAGUAAUUCGUGGCAACGCGCAUGUAAUCACAUGAAAAUGACACAAAAAUAAUUUUUCCUCCUGAAUUUUUUGUCUGCGUAAAAAGUGAUAGCUUUUAUUUUCUAAAUAAUAGGGAAAAUUUUAAAUACUCCCCUUGUGGUUUCAUUUUUUCUCACCUGAGUACUCUGUGGUUUAAAGUGUAUCAAGUUAGUAACCUGUGGUUUUGCACUUUUUCCACUUUAGUACCCUGUGGUUUAAAGUGUAUCAAGUUAGUAUCCUGUGGUUUCGCACUUUCUCACUUUAGUACUCUGUGGUUUCGCACUUUCUCACUUUAGUACCCUGUGGCUUAAACACCACAGAGUGCUAACUUGAUACAAAAAUAAAACUACAGAAUACUAACUUGAUACACUUUAAACAAUAUGGUACUAAAGUGAAAAAGUGCGAAACCAUAGGGUACUAACUUGAUAUAUUUUAAACUAAAGGGUACUAAAAUAAAAAAAUACGAAACCACAGGGGGCCUUUUUGAAGUUUUUCCUAAAUAAUAAAUGAAUAGAUUCGUCUGAGACAGGAAUGUAAAACGGGUUGGGCGGUUUAGCUCUUCGGACGGUUAUGGGCUAGCACUUUGGGACGCGUCUACCCGACAUAGCUGGGCCUAGUGUGCAGCCCACAGCCAAGUCCCAAGGCCCGGUUGGGUCUCGGGACUUGUUUUGAAUUAGCUCUAAUAAUCAAAUAUAGUUGAUUAAAUAGACAUGGUAACAAUUGUAUGUUUUUUUAAGAAAAGGAAUAGCUUGCUACCGCUUCAUUUAAUAAGAGAAUAAAUUGACCUACAAAGUGAGACAGCUGAGGUCUUAAUCGAACGAAAAAAAAAACUAUACAUAAAAAGAAUCCCAAAGGGCACGAAGCGAUCUAGCGUUCGCUAGGAACUGUUUCGGAGUGAUCUUUUUAUUUUUGAAGAUUUUAGUGUUAUACUUUAACUAGAUAGUCCACCGUGAAGAAGCAAUUGUCAAUAAUUCCCUCCGUCCGCCUUUGGAGUUUGUUACGGCCCAAAAACUAUUCAUUGAAGAGCUAAUGUGUAAAAAAACUCUUAUUCGGUAGCUGAUCCUCCAAUAUAAAUUUGACUGUAUCGUACUUCACAAAAAAGUGGUCUGUCGUCUCAAGCUUCACCCUAUAGAAAACGUAGUCCAUAACAAUUGUAUUAUUAAUCACAUCAAUAUUAUAUUACUUAUACAUAAAAAAAGUAAAUUGAUAAUUAAUUAAUUAAAUUAAAUUAUAAAAUUUAAUAAUAAUAAUAAUAAUUAAAAAAUCAAAAUAAAAAUUAUAAUAAAUUAAUAUUUAAGAACUAAAAUAUUAGGCGCCAUAAUUUGAGAACAAAGUAUGUAAUUUAGCCUUUGUUGUUAUUAUUUUAUUUUAUUAUUAAUGCCCGUUUCCCUCUCGCUCAUCAUCUAUUCGUUACGGUCGCACGCGUUUCCCCUUCUCUCUCUCUCUCUCUCUCUCUCUCUCUCCUCUUUGCCGUGUUCGAGGGCAUAGUCGCAUAUAAAGCAAAGUAUCGGCCCCUUCCUUCUCCUUCUCCCUCUAUUUAUUCUCUCUCUCUCUCUCUCUCUAUACUCUCUCUCCUCACUCUCCUCUCUUUCUCUCUCUAAAUCUCGCCGCCGCCGCCGCCGUCCUCGGAAGGUUCGAUCUACUACACUUCUCCAUCGUCCCCUUCGAUGGCUCUUCCGUACUUGGAAGCUGUUCUGGGUACGCUAAUGACUUCAUCUAUCUCCCAAUCUACUCGUUUUCCAUCGAUUCUUUGGUUUCUUGGUUCGAUUCUUGUGGUUGCUGGACUUGUGAUGUGCUUGUAGCAUUGUUCUUGAUGCGGGAUUGGGGUUGGAUGUUGUUGUUUGUCGCAUUUUUGGAAAGGAACGGGAAAGAGACCUUUUUGCGAGAGGUGGGGUUUUGGUUCUUGGAUGAUUAGGGUUUUAGGAUGUCCCUGGAGGCUACGAAAUUAAGGAUCCGCUCUAUAUCAGGAUCUUGUUUAAUUAAACAAAGAAUAACGUGUCGAUAUGCGAAUUGUGCUGCAGUUAAUAUCAAAAUCCUGUGGAAUUUGUAACUGUUUAAGUUAUUCCGUACUUUGCUUACUCUGCUAAUGUUUCUCUAUCAUUUUUGAAUAUCUGUAGUUUUGUUUAUAGUUGUCAUUGUAUAACUCGUAAUGCACUUGGUUCUACAGAUUUAUUAUUUACCCAUUCUCUGGAAUACCAUGAUUGUUGGCCUUAGAAACACUAACGUAUGUGAUAAAUGAUGCCUCGGAACUUUUGUUAGUUGAUUUACAUUGUAUACGAUUUUUGUCUAACAAGGUGUCUUAUUGCUUUGCAGUCGAGUUAAGUAAAAUUGUUGUGUCACGUAAAUCACAUAGAUCCUAUGUGAUGAGUUGUUCGUUUUCUAUUUUGCUAUCCUUCUUCUGUCAUGUUCGCACAAAAGAGUCCUAUUAUGCACCGGUUCACUUGGGAUCUCAUUGCAGAGACUAAAGCAUGUUGAAUAUACCCUCAUUCUGUUGUUAUCUUUUCGAGGCAAUUAACAUCUCUUAUUUUGACUGGAUUAAGAAGCAAUUAUCAGUCUUUAGUUGUAACAAAAAUUGUCACUAAUAUAUCAUGUUUUAAGGCCUGUUCUUUUUUCCUGGAUAUUUUCAAGAUAUUUGAAGCUGAAAUCAACUAUAGCGGCAUCAUAGCAGCUUGACUCCGGUAUUGGCACUGCAGCAAUAUUAUAAACUUGAUUUGGCAUAAGCGGGCAAUGAAGCAAAAGGAUAAAUAAGCUCCUAUUAGAUGUUAUCCAAUUAUGUACUGAGAAGAUGGAAACCUGUGAUAAAUGAGCAUUGUUUUUUCCCCUGAAAUGACAAGAUGUCUUCUAUUGCUUAACUCUAUUAUAUUUUACCUCAUACAUUUCAAGAAAUAAGAAACAUGCAUUGAUGUUUUAGUAUGAGUGAACAUUGUACUAUGAUAGUACAAUGCUGCUCGCAAAAUUGCCUUAACAAGUUAAGAAUUUGUUGGGGGCAUUUGAGAGGGAUGUAUUAUGUGAUAUUUUAUGAGAAAUCUUAUUCCUGAUUUUUACAGUUUUGUUGUUACACAUGCAAAUACAUAUGCUGUGUUGACUUCAAUAAAUUUUUAGUAGGCUCUUUAUUUUAGAUAGAGAAGAAGUAUGUUUAUUCUUUCUGUAGUUUGUUUUAGCCAUUUUGAAAGAUAUAAGCUUUAAAUGUACCUUUUUUUUUUUACAGGUUUUAUGAUAUUGAUGUACAUUUUUGAGACCUAUCUCAACAUUCGGCAGCAUGCAGCUCUAAAGCUGCCUACACUACCAAAACCAUUAGAAGGAGUGGUUAGUCAAGAAAAGUUUGAGAAGUCUAGAGCUUAUUCCCUUGAUAGAAGGUUAGAUUCUUACAAUGAAGUUCAUAAUUCCACUUUUUCAUCUUAUAAUGCUGUGAGGAUACACACACACAUGCGCGCACGCACGUGAAAGUUCUUUUUUUUUCAUCUUAUGUAUCAUAACCAUUAUUCUACUUGUGAACAAGCAAAGAACUUUUAAAGCCAACCUACACUUACAGAGAGUGUAUCAAUGCUUGUCCUCGCUGUGACAUCUGAUGUAAAACCUUUGAACAUCUUUCAGCCGCUUCCGUUUCAUUCAUGAAGCUGUGACUAUAUUGAUGGAUACUGCAAUAUUAUAUUUUGGAAUACUACCUUGGUUUUGGAAGGUAACUUAGCAGGCCACUUGUGAUUUUCUUUUUCUUCAGUUGUCUAUUAUUCAUUUUCCUUAUUAUUUUUUAUUUGCAGAAAUCUGGAGAGUUUGUUGCAUAUGCUGGCCUGAAUGUGGAGAAUGAGAUUAUUCACACACUUUCAUUUUUAGCUGGUGUUAUGAUAUGGUCACAGGUAGGGAACUGAUUCUUUUGCCUUAGACUAAAUUCAAAGGCCAUUUGUAAAAAUCACCGGUUGCCCAUGUGAAGUGUGUAGAUGAGUGUGGAGAAGCUUGUACCUUAAUGAUUGGCUCUUUUUUUUUUAAUAUUAAUGGAUGCAUUUUUGUGGAGCUAGGGUACUUCCAGUCUUAUUUGCCUCGUCAUGCUAGCUUUAAUUUUUUGUAUAUAUUAUAACUUCAGGAAUUUGUACUGAAUUUUGUCAAAAUCUGAACUGUACCUUUUGAAGUAAUUUGCUCAAAAACCUUGUACUCUAUUCCUAUGCAAUUGCAUUCAUAUGUUACUCGGAAUUUAGUUCUAUAAUUGUAUGAAUCUAUGAUAAAAUCUACAAAUUUGAUCAAGAGCUUGUUUGCAAGCUAAGGUGAGUCUUUGUUGGUUUGGAAAUGGAAAAGAAAACCAGAUCAGCUGACGAGAGUUGUAUCCUAAGUGCAAAGAAGGAAGAUUGUGGGAUACAUUAGUUGUUUAGCAUGAAGUUCCUAGCUAAAACCUGGUCUGUUAGAGGAGACAAUUGAGAUGAGUCACUGGUUUAUAUUUUCUGUUUCAGCUGAUGGUUUUCCUUGUCUUAUAAUAUCAUUGUUCUUUUUCGUUCUUUCUUGUUCUUUUGUUGCACUUGUCCUCCUGUUUUGUUUCAAGUGUUCGUGCUUAAUUAAUUUUGUGUUUCUCUUGGAAGUAUUGAUAUUGCACUAAUGAAGUUCUUGCUGUGAUACAGAUUACGGACUUGCCAUUCUCUCUAUAUUCAAAUUUUGUUAUCGAGUCCCGCCAUGGUUUUAACAAAGUUUGUCAUUAUUGCCCUUUUCUAGUCCAUUCUCUCCUUUUUUCUUUAUUCUACAUUUUAACCUACUGUUGAGCUUAUUUAUCUUUUGCAGCAAACCUUAGGGCUUUUCAUAAGAGACAUUAUCAAAGGGAUAGGUCUGUCCAUCAUACUUGGGCCACCUAUUGUGUCUGCAAUUAUCUAUAUAGUCCAGGUUUUCUUUACCCUUGUUGCCCUUCUGUGUUAGUUAUAAGUUAUAAUUUGUCUUUCAAAGAAUUGUUUUAUUUACUUGGUUUGGCGUUCUUUGGAUAGGAAGUUUUUCUGUGUGUACCUUCUUAAUAUGUGAUUGUUUACACUAUGUCCAACUAAAUUUGUGUAAAUCCAUUAAUUUGAUUAUGCAUGUUUCUGCAGAAAGGAGGACCUUACUUAGCAAUAUACCUAUGGGGUUUUAUGUUUGUGUUGUCCAUUCUAAUGAUGACGCUUUAUCCCAUCCUAAUCGCUCCUCUAUUCAAUAAGUUCACUCCUGUGAGUAUUUAUUCAUUGCAUUUGGCAGCACGGGUUAUAUCUUUUUCGUCUUUGACAGCUUUUAGAUGUUAUUGACUUCCAUUUUUCAGAUUGGCAUUAUGUGCCUCUUUUUCUUUAUCAACUCAUCAUGGUGUUCAAUGUUGAACAGCUUCCCGAAGGAGAACUUCGAGAGAAAAUAGAAAAACUAGCAGCCUCUCUAAAGUUUCCUCUAAAAAAGCUAUUUGUGGUUGAUGGAUCUACAAGGUCAAGCCAUAGUAAUGUGAGUCAUCAGUUUAUCAUUAUAUUUUAGUUUUUAGUUUUAUCCUGUAAGACUGCUUAUAAUGCUGGUUCUUAACUCAAUUGUUAUCUGUAUGAAAAAUCUUCUUUCUUCUUUGGAAUUGUAACUUCUAUUGAAUAUAGCCUUUGCUGAAUUAGUAUUCCAAAACAAAAAGUUGAACAUUGUCUCUCUUAAUAGCGUGAAAAUAAUUUGCUGCUACUAUGUUGUGUCAACAAAAACCAAAAAGAUAAGAAGAAAAACCCAAAACAUUGUCCGCUACAUGUAAUUGAAAAUUCGGAUGCAUAAACUUUGCCUUAUUCCAUAGUUUAAUGACUUUCCAUAUUUCAUAUCAAAUAAGGACAGGCUAAGAAGUUCAGAUGUUUAUCCUCACCCAUUUAUUAUUUUAGCUGGUACAGCAUCAUAAAGAUAAACUAUGGCAAGAAAGUCAAGAAAAAGUGUAAAGAGGGAAAAGGAAGCGAGAGAGGUAAUAAGAAUAACGAAACACAAAUGAGUGGAUGUCAGAGAAGAGGGAAGUGCAGCCAGCCUUAAAAAACGAAGUUAGAAGAAGAGAUGAUAAUAAAACAGUUGAGCAGGCAACAAUUUGGAGUGUCAACAAUUUGAUAAUUAAGCAGGCAAGGCAACAAUUUGAAAGCAACGAAUUCCAGAAGAGGGAAAAAAAAAGAGUCUGCAUAAGCCUUUUUUGAUUCUCUAUCUCUAAUAAGAACAUUGAAAAUUUGGUUUUAUACCUCAUCAAUUAUAAGACCUAAGAGCUAUUCUUGGUGGUAUUCUUUUUUCUCCUUUCUGGACCUAAUUUGUAUUUAUUUCUCUCUGGCAGGCAUAUAUGUAUGGGUUCUUCAACAACAAAAGGAUUGUUCUUUAUGACACGUUGGUUCAACAGGUUUAUCUUCCGCUUAAUUAAAUACGAUGCUGGGAAUAUUAAAAAUUGUUUACUAUGCAUCAAAUGAAACCUGAUAUUUCCAGUAUAAUUUUUUUCUCCUAUUCAGUUUUAGAACAUGCAAUGAUGAAGUUUGCUGUUAUUCUACGAGUAUCAGAAUAUCCAAUAAAUUACAGCUGUAUAAAGAGCAUCUAGUUAUCUCACUUUUGGGACACUGAAUGAUGAAAACUUUGCUCCAAAUUGAGAGAAAUCUUCGAAAUAAAUGACAAAUCCUUGUUCAUGAAAUACAAAGGCUUUUCACCAGAUGAUUUUUUGUUGGUUGAUUAUGAUGAUAUGUGACACCAUUUAAUUGGAAAUGGAACUAUUACAUGGUAAUUUUAUUCUACAUUUUAAGCUACUAAUAAUAUGGCUCAACAUGCUUUAUAUAGUUCUUGAUUCUUCUUUUCCUUGAGAUAUUUCUAUUGAUUGUUGCAGAAACUCCACUUAUAAGUAUGCUUUUAUUGUAUUGUAAUAUGAUUGCUGUUUUCUUCCUUUUAUGUGGGUAUGNUCUUGGAUCCAAUACUAGAAAACAGACCAUAUACAUGAACCUGUCUAACAUUAUGCUUCUAAAAGCACCAUUCUACCUCUCUGAUAUGUGAGAUAUUUCUAUUGAUUGUUGCAGAAACUCCACUUAUAAGUAUGCUUUUAUUGUAUUGUAAUAUGAUUGCUGUUUUCUUCCUUUUAUGUGGGUAUGGCUUCUUUUUUCUCUCCAUCCUUUUUAUCUCACAUAUCAGAGAGGUAGAAUGGUGCUUUUAGAAGCAUAAUGUUAGACAGGUUCAUGUAUAUGGUCUGUUUUCUAGUAUUGGAUCCAAGAGUUAAUCUUUUAAUGCCAAAUAAUGGUGAGGUGAGGUUUCCAAGGACUAAGCAGUUUUUCCAGUUUCCUAAUUUUUGCUUUUCUUCAUCUUAACCACUUUUUUCACUUAGCUUUCACAUCUUUUAAUAUUUCAAGCUGCUUUAUGUCCAGUAUUAUCCUCUUGACCUCUGUUUUGCAGUCCCUUAUUUAAUUCCUUUUUCUCAAUCUCUUCGUGUCUUGAUGACUAAGAUCCAUAGUCAUCUCUCUGCUUCUUAAUCCGCUGGACCUUACUUGUUCAUGCAAUGAACAUCACCACUUUUUGGGUAGUAGUUUUGUAUAAAUGUUGUUGCAUUUGGUAAACAGUUAAUGUUUUAGAAUCCUUGUUUUAGAAUCCUUCACUCUAUUGGCGUACUGAGUGUGUACUUUCUGGGAUAAUCUUACAGUGCAAAAAUACGGAAGAAAUUGUUGCAGUUAUUGCCCAUGAACUUGGACACUGGAAACUCAACCACACGAUGUACUCCUUCAUUGCUGUCCAGGUACCUCGGAUUCUUAUUGAGGAGACAACCACCAAUACUAAAGAUCUAUAAAACACUUUUAUCUGGCUGUUCUGUCGCUAGCUUCUUUUGAAACUAUAUUUAUACUUGUUGAUUCCCUACUUAGAAAGCAGUGUGUUGCAAAAUGAAGUGUAUCAAAAGCAUUACAUCACACAUUCUUAUAAUUAUUCUAUUCUCUUUCUUCACUUUCGAAGUUCCUCUAUCCAAGUUUUGACUGCUACGUCAUAAAAAGGAUUGAUUGCAACCUAAAUGAAUGAUGCACACACACUUCACAGGUUGUUUUACAUCUUUUUCAUGCCGCAAAGGUACAACACCGUGCUAUAUUACAAAAUUCUAAUAGUAACUCACCCACUGCCACUAUUUAUUUUCUUGACAGAUUCUCUCAUUUCUGCAAUUUGGAGGGUAUACUCUUGUAAGGAACUCAAAGGAUCUCUUUCGGAGUUUUGGUUUUGACACUCAACCAGUGCUUAUAGGCCUCAUCAUUUUUCAGGUAUAUGCUUACCGCUUUCUUGUUUUCUUGUUCAGAUAAUAUCAUCUAAAUUUGUGUUCAAUUUAUUUAGACAGGUAUUCCCGAAUGCAAAGAAAUUUGUUCAGUUUAAUGGUCACCGAUUGACAAGUCAAGAAAAUACUAAUGAAACUAUCUAUACUUUUUGUUCACUUCUAAUGCGACACUUUCAUCUGUGCAGCAUACUGUUAUUCCUGUACAACAUCUUGUUAGCUUUGGUCUCAACCUUGUUAGUAGGGCCUUUGAGUUUCAGGUUCUUUCAGCUCUUAUGAUUAUCUCUAUGACUUACAAUGCCGCUAGUUAGUUAUAUCUUGAUUCAGCACUAAGCUCUUACUAGCUUGAAACAUGUAGGCAUUGACAUAUGUAAUGUCUAUACACAGGCUGAUGCUUUUGCCAAGAAACUAGGUUAUUCUGCACCACUUCGAGCAGCUCUUGUGACGCUUCAGGUAAAGCCCUUUUUGGUUUUUCCAUUUCACCUGACGCAUGAACGAUCGGUAGAGUACAAGAUCCACCAAUUACUUGCACUAAUGUCAUUAAAUCAGUUAAAAUUAUCAUAACCUGAUGGAGUACAGGUUAUGUAUUGUGGGAGAUCGGACAUCAGAUGAAUUUUAUUCAUUUAAGUGCAUGCAAUUAAAUAAUCUCUUGAAAGAAAUUUCAAGGCGCUUUUCCCCGCCAGAAAACUGAAUGGUUUGUUAUUUCCAUUUCAGGAAGAGAACCUGUCGGCAAUGAACACGGAUCCAUGGUAUUCGGCUUAUCACUAUUCCCAUCCCCCUCUAGUCGAAAGACUCGCAGCUCUUGACGAGCCUGGAAGCAAGAAAGAAGAUUAAUUGAAGCUGCCUACUACUGUUAUCUUAUCACUUUUUCAAUCUUCGUAUUUUCCGAAUCCGCGCGCUUUAUGAGGAGCUGAAUCGAAAAAAAGGUAAAAAGUGCCUUAGAUGUUAGAUCAAAGGUUUUAUCUCUCUGAGUUAUAGUACUUUAUAGUUCUGUUUAAGGGUCUAUCUCGCGACUUUGUUUACCUUUUUGCACAGAUAUCUAUGUUGCCUGUACAAUAGAAACAUAUGUUUGCGUAGCCUUCAAUAAAGUUAUUCCAAGGUUAACUAGCCAUUCCAGUUUUCUUCAAAUGCAUAAAUGCUUAAAUGUCUCGAAUAUUUGUUUCUUCCUAGCUUGUAUAUGCCGUAAGCUGAUAACACUUGUUGUUUCCAUCCAAAAAUAGUGCAUCAACACUUGUUGUUUCCAUGCAAAAAUAACUGAAUGGUAAAGAACUUGAUAAUUGAUAUUUUGAAGUUUUAAAUUUAAAGUUGUUGCUUUAUAUUUUAAAUUAAGUUUAUUUUAAAAAAUAAUAAAUAAACGCAGCGUAUAGUGUGCUGUCUUUCUUUCAAAAUAAAAUAAAAAAAAUGCGAUGCAGGUAGUUUGGUGGCUGAGGCUGUCUAUCGCCAUUGGACUGGAAGGAAUUAAGAGUGAAAGUGUAUGGAAAUAUGUUUUUUAUUUUUUUCCAUUUUAAAAAUGGAAUUUUAACUAUUUUUCCCAGUAUUCCAAAUAGAGCUCAAAAUCUUUAGAAUAUAUAUAUAUAUAUAUAUAUAUAUAUAUAUGAGUGAGGCUGCUAUGCUAUCGGAAGUACGGAGCCUUCCGUGCUUUCAGCUCGCUUUCGAUGUUGCGACUUUCGAAUUGUCGAUCGGCUCCGCUAAACUUGAUCAAGAGUAUUUGAAGUACUUAGAAAAUAAAUUUUAUGAUUUUACGAUAUUAUUUGCCUAGUGAACGAAGGGGCUCAAAAUCAACGGUUGAAAAUAAAAAUUUACAAAAUGUAAUAAUAUGACAUUAAAAUUUUAAAUCAAAGAUAUUGAUCUUAUUUUAUAUAGUAUAAAGAAUUUUCUAUCAAAAUUUUACGUGAUCUGAAUAUUUCUAUACCGUUAAACUUGCAAACGGCUCACUACGGCUAUUGAAAUUUGUUGAUUUUGAACCCAUUCGAUCACUAGGCAAAUGAUAUCGAAAAAUAAUAAAAUUUAUUUUCUAGGUACUCCAAAUACUCUAGAUCAAGUUUAANAUUUUGAGCCCCUUCGUUCACUAGGCAAAUGAUAUCGUAAAAUCAUAAAAUUUAUUUUCUAAGUACUUCAAAUACUCUAGAUCAAAUUUAACGGAGCCGAUCGACGAUUCGAAAGUCUCAACAUUGAAAACAAGCUGGAAGCACGGAAGGCUCCGUGCUUCCGAUAGCAUAGUAGCCUCUCUCUCUCUCUCUCUCUCUCUCUCUCUCUCUCUCUCUCUCUCUCUCUAUAUAUAUAUAUAUAUAUAUAUUCACUAAAGUAGGGAGCGAUGCUAAUGUUAAUUUUUUAUUAGGUUUCAGAAAACUGAAAUCUUGCCAUCAUGGUUUAGAUUAUGAUCAUUGAAGGAGCUUCUAUGCCCUCGCUUUAUUUUGAAAAAUUUGGCUUUCAGAUCGCUGGCCAGCUCGAUUAAAUAUAAACUACACUAUUAAAAAUAUUAAAUUUUAUAGAUAUUCUGCAUAAUUUAUCCCGUUAACAAGCGUUCUCAAAACGUGGGGUUGUAAAUAAAAAUAUUUAUGAAAAAUUAUGAUACAAAACUUAAAUUUCAAAUUACAAAUAUUANUGGCUUUCAGAUCGCUGGCCAGCUCGAUUAAAUAUAAACUACACUAUUAAAAAUAUUAAAUUUUAUAGAUAUUCUGCAUAAUUUAUCCCGUUAACAAGCGUUCUCAAAACGUGGGGUUGUAAAUAAAAAUAUUUAUGAAAAAUUAUGAUACAAAACUUAAAUUUCAAAUUACAAAUAUUAAUCUUAUUUUAAACAACAAACAAAUAAAAUUAUAAAAUUUUUACUUGAUUUGAAUUAUUUUACAUAGCUAAACACGAACACAAAACAAAUUACAUCUAUUAUUAAAUUAGUUAAUUUUGGAAUCUUUCAAUCGUUUCAAUAAAAUUUUAUAUUUUGAGAUUAUAUUACAAAUAUUGAUAUUUCAAUCACUUAAAGUAAAUCAUAUUCAACUUAAUUGAAUUAGAUUCUUGUCACGUGAGUUAUGGUUAUUGAAAUUGAAGGUACAAAUUAAACGUGUUCAAACACUCACCCUAUGACGAGCCCAUGAUUCAAAUUCUCUCCGCGUGUCUUCACCUCCCACUUCAUCGUCCUCUCCAUCAUCGUACUCCUACCAACACCAAUGGCGCCUCCCCCUCCACCAUCCAACUCCUCCGCUCCUCCGCGUCGCAAAGGGACGCGAUCCUCGCCUCCUCCCUCCACGCCGCGCUCCUCAAAUCCGGGCUCCGCUCCGACCUCUUCGUCGCCAACGCCCUCCUCGACGCGUACCUCAAAAAUGGCCUCCUCUCCUACGCCGCGCACCUGUUCGACGAAAUGCCCCAGAGAGACGUCGCCUCCUGGACGUCCCUCAUCUCCGGCCUCGCACGCUGCAACGCCGCAAACGCCGCCGUUUUCGCCUUCUUGGAUAUGUUGGGCACGGACGACGAAGUUCGUCCGAACGAGUUCACCGUCUCCGCUCUUCUCCAGGCUUGUGGGCACAUAAAGGAUGUGAAGCUCGGAACAAUGGCGCACGCAUACAUUGUUAAAAAUGGGUUCUUUUCCGAUUCGUUUGUCGCUAACUCUUUGAUCGAUAUGUACGCGAAGAUCGGGUCUGCGGCGAGUGCCGAGAAACUUGUUCGUAGGCUGCGUUGCAGGGGCGUGGUUUCAUGGACUGCGGCGCUUUCGGGGUGCGUCUUGAAUGGGAUGUUCGAGAAGGCCUUGGAGCUCUUCACAAUGAUGUUGAAAGAUGGCAUUUUGCCGAACACCGUCACGAUGCUGAGCAUUAUCCAGGCUUGCUCGCUGUUGCGCGAGCCGAGUUUUCUCCGCUGGGUUCAUGCUUGGGCUACAAAGCUAGAGCUUGACCGCAACGAUUUGAUAGCGAAUUCUCUUGUCGAGAUGUACGCAAAAAACGAAUUUCUUGAAGAAGGUGUGAAGGUCUUUUACAUGUCCUAUUUGUUCGACGGGAAAGUGUGCUCGGACGCUAGCGUUGUUGCAGCGAUUGUUCAUGGUUGUAGCCUUUCGGGUUCGUUGAAGCAUGUAAAAGAGAUCCAUGGGUACUUAACUAAGGCCGGUUUCUUCCCGUGCACCGUAAUAGAGAACUCUGUAAUGGGCGCGUAUGCGAAACAUGGUCGAGUAGAUGAUGUGCAUCUGGUGUUCGAAAGGAUGGUUCAACGAGAUACUGUAUCUUGGAACACCGUGAUCUCGUGUUUUGUAAAGAACGACCGAGCUGGUGAUGCACUAGAAUUUCUUGGAUUGUUCCAUAAAUUGACCCAAAUUGGGUUGCGGCCGGAUUUCGUUACAAUUUUGAGCUCAAUACAAGCAUGCUCUGAAGUUGCAUCACUGCAGCAAGGCCAAGUACUCCACAGUUAUGUCAUCAAAUCAGGAUUCGACGUCGAUGUUUACGUAUGCAAUGCGCUCAUCGACAUGUAUGCUAAGUCGGGCAGGAUAGAUUUUGCAGAGCUAAUGUUUAGGGAGAUUGGAUUCGGCUUUAAGGAUAUCUCCUCUUGGAAUUCGAUGAUCGCAGCAUACGGAAUUCACGGAGAUGGUAGUUCCGCUAUGAGGGUUUUCGACAGGCUAAAGAACGAAGGAAACCACUCACCAAAUGCUGUAACUUUUGCUUGUGUUAUUUCUGCGUGCGGUCACGCGGGUUUUACUGAAGAGGGCUAUGAAUGCUUCAAGAGCAUGAAGAGGGAUUAUGGAAUCGAGCCUCGUACGGAGCAUUACGCAUCAAUGGUGGAUCUUUUUGGGAGAUCAGGAAAGCUCAGAGAGGCCGUGGAAUUCAUCAAAGAUAUGCCCAUUCAACCUGGGCCUUCUGUGUGGGGAGCACUUUUGGGUGCUUGUGGGCUUCAUUGGAACAUCGACAUUGCCGAAAAAGCUGCAAAGGAGCUCGCCGUUUUAGAGCCCGAAAGCGAUAUAUGGAAGGUGAGUUUGUCGAAUGUUUACGCAUCUGUUGGAAAAUGGGGGGAUUGGGCAAAAGUUAGGGCUUCGAUGAAGAGCAAAGGAUUGAGAAAGGAAGCAGGGUGGAGUUCUGUGGAGGUAAGAGGGAUGGAGAGGUAUCGGUUUACGGUCGCAGAUACGAGGCAUCGGGAAAGUGAGAGAAUAUAUGAAGUUUGGAGAAGUAUCAACAAGCACAUUGCAGAUGCUGCUGCUGCUGAUGCAUAUUUGUGGAAUUAGAUGCCAACAAUUGUAGCUAGAUUCAAUGUAGGUUAUGAUUAGAAUUCAAACCAAAUGUUGUAAAUUUUGUUUGGUUUUGUUUAUAUGACAUCGUAGAAGCGAUUUUACAUGCAAAUGUGUCUGGACCAAGCUAAGCACAGCAUCAACAAAGCUGAGGUUAUAUUGAAAGAAUCUUAGCUAUAUGUGUUCAACAAUGGCACCUUCAAGAUUCUCAAAUUACAUAAAUUACAUCUCAUGCUAAGUAGUAUACUCUUCCAUGUUUUGCAAUGUUGAUGAAUUUUAUCUCUUGUUUUUUACUAGUCUAAUCUGAUUAUCAACUUUUUACUCAAAAAAAAGAAGUUAAUGUUAACUUGUCUAAUCUGGUAUAUGUUAAUUACAUCACACUCAAAAUCUAAUAUUGCUGACUGUUUGGACGUCAAAAUAAGUUAUUCUGUAAUAACUUAUUCGACGUAAGAAUUUUUUUUUGGUGUUGCUGGAUAUUAAAAAUUUAAUUUUUGAUCAUUGAAAGAUCUUGGCAUACAUGAUUUAUGCGAAAUGAUUUGCCUUAUUCUAAAAAAACAUUGAAAUUGAUUGCAUAAAUUCAAAUUAAAAAUAUAUAUUGAAUAAGAUAUUUAUGCAUCCGAGCUGGUCCUAAAUGUUUAGGAGGUAGGGCAUAAUUGUGCGACAACCCAACUUCUUAGUUUUUACAAUUGGAUAAAACAGCUUUACGCAAGAGGAAAUGUUUUUGGCUUACCAAAUGAAGUUAUUAUAGCAUAUUAGGUGCUUAAACUACCAAAUUUUGAAUUAUUAAUGUGCCUUGGUUGAACUUUUGGCCUCAAUAUAGGAGAACAAAGGUAAAUGAUUAAGAAAAGUAUGUAUGUGUUUCAUACCUGCAGAAAUUUUAUCAAUUAUUUGCAAUACUUGGAAUGUUCCGAAACAAAAUGGAAUAAACUAAAUUUUUUAGGAGAAAUGAGGUAUUUCAAUUGUUAAAAAAAAAAAGCAAAAAAAAAAGGGAACAAAAAAAAAAGAGAAAAUGCCAAUUUGCGCCCCAUUUCGCAUCAUGGUCAAAUUUUUAUUUUUUUAAACACUAAUUUUAUAUAAUUUGUUACGCUGGUGAAAAGAUUUUUCUCUUUUAUCAUAGUUAGCUUGCAAUAUGCUCCGAUCAUAUGGUGAGUAACAACUUGUUUAAAAAAAUUUAGGAAGCAACAGAAGCUAUUUUCAAAUUUUUAUCUUUGAAUUAUCAAUUAAAUAUUUUGGAUGUAAAGAUUAUUUUUAUCCUAUUUCAUAUAGAAAUUCUAUUCGAGUAAAAAAAAAAGAAGGAUAACGGCUAUUUGACUAUUUUGAAACUUACACAAAAAGUACUAUUUAAGUAAAAUUAUUUAGAAAAUAGGAUAAAUUGCACAUUUGGUCCUCAAACUAUGAGGCUGGUGACACUUUGGUGCUCAUACUUUAAUUUUUUGUAAGUUUUAGUUCGAAUUUUUAGAAUUAUUGCAACCAAGUUCUAUAAUCCAAUUUAGUUAACUAAAUAUUGAUAUAUCGUUAAUAUAGAGAUGAUACAGUAGUAUUCUGAUUAAUGAUGCGCUAAUAAAUAAGAUGACACAUCUUUUUUUACAAUUAAUGAUGUGUUAAAAUUUAGUUAACUAAAAUGAAUUGUGAGACUUAAUUAUAAUAUUUCUAAAAAUUCGUGUAAAAAAUUAUAACAUUUAAAGUUUGAAAACUAAAAUAUACCAUGCCUCAUAAUUUGAGGACCAACCAAGACAACCUUGAAGCACUUGGGAACUAACAGUAUAUAGUACUGAUAUAAAAUUAUGAUGUACCACACAUCCUUUUUUAAAAGCUUAUCUAUUACAAAAUUUUGAGCCUUUUAAGGUAGGAAUAAAAAUGGACAGGAUGUACGAAACUUAUUGAAUAAAGGUUGAAUUUUUUUUUUUUUUUUUGGGAUUCUGUUGUGGAUUCUCUAUUCUUCUUUGGAUUCAGGUUAUUUGAACGUGAAAUCGGUUUUGAUAUACUUUCAAUUUGUGACAUUUCGAGACAUUAUUUUUCAAAAUUUUCAAAAUCUUUUAUUUUUUUAUUAAUUUUUUAUAAUUUUAGAAAUCUUAAAUGUAUAUUAAUAAAUUCUUUUGAUUUUAGUUCGAUAUAUUUAUAAAAUAUCUAAUUUACAUCCAUAUCUGUUUAAUACCUGACCCAUAUUAGACUCCACUUUUAUAAUAUAUAAAUUUAAACUUUAGAAUUUGACAAAUACCGGAAUUCAAAUCUUGGGUAAUGAAUUGUACACUAUCUGAUCCAUAUCCGAACCAUUUUCGCCCCUACUUUUUGUUCUCGAGAUAAAAAUAGCAAGCUAUCAACUUCGCUCUUUUUUUUUUAAUUAAAAUUGAAUUCAGCUAUAAAUAUGCAGCUACUGAACCUCGAAUUAAAAACUUCGAACACCAAUCAUCAAGUUCUUAGCCAACUGAACCAGAUACGGUCGAUUUUUCAUUUUCACCCCUACCAUGUGAUUAGGUCACUUUUGCAUAAAUAACCCAACUGGAAAAGCCAACAGGAGCAAGCUUUCUAAAUUAGUAUUACUCUUUACAGGCAAGCACCCAUCACCAAGAUUGUCUCUUCUUAUCCUUUUUUCUUUUGUCUCACUCAUCUUUCUUUCUUUCUUUUUUCCCAUUUGGGCACCGUUACCACAUACAUACAAAAAAAAGUUAAAAAAAUACAUUAAAAAAGAAAAUUUGGGCAUUGUUCAAUUCAUUCCCCUCACCAACCAAUGCGAGCUACAAGGACAGCUCAUACUAGCCGUUAUAUGGUUUUUAAAUUUUUAUUUUUUAUUUUUUCCUUAUAAUAAUGCACCAACUAGCCGUUGAAAAGCCCCCGCGAAUUUAAAACUCUCCUGUUGUUAUCAAAUAUAGGAGGUGGAAGAUCACGUGAUUUCACAUAACCCAGAUCGAUUCCAUUAAUUCACUUUAGACCAUAAACUCGGAUUUUAGUAGGUACAUUUUCCCCUCUUAAUAUAGCAUGGGUGGAUUACAUGUCCAUUUCUAUAGUUUGAUGCUUGAACUACAAUGUAGCCGGGGGUGUACAAUCAACUUUAUUAAUAGUAGCUAAGAAUGUAUACAACUUAGCGCUCUAAUCAGACUAUUCAGUCUUUCAGAAUUUUGAUUUUGAUACGGUACCCGAUCAUUUACAUAUAAUAUACGAAUCAAGUUUGUAAAACUAAACAACACAUUCAAAUUCUAAGGUAAAGAAGUCGUUAAAUAGAUUAAAUCAAAUGCAUUAAAAGAUUGCAUAACAAAAUUAUAAUUUUUGAAGAUUAGAUACUCAAGAUAUAAAUAGAUCUAGUUCAGAUAAGUUACUACUAUAUUUUUACCUUUUAAUAGUGUACCUAUCUGUGACAGAUACCUUUUAAAAAAGGACUUCAAGAAAUAACAGUAAAGAGAAGCAACAGUACAGAAUUAACUUGGCCUUAAAUCAAGGAAAACUAAUAUAUUUGUGGGCACCACAUCACAUGCGAUAACACAUGCUCACAUUUAUGUAAGGAACUUAUUCAAACAUGAAAGAAUCAGCUGAAUCUGAAAAAGGAGGCAAGAACAAUAGUUUCCAUUAGAUGACAUUUGAUGCCUGAAAACAUGAGCUGGAACAUUAAAUCAAGAUUCGCAGACUAGGGAAUUUUCUUUAUGUAUAUAUUUUAAUCGAUUAUUAUUAUAAAAAGACAAUGUUCCCUUGAUACAAAGCACUCGAAAUUGUGAUUAAAGCCCCUAUAAAACCACUUACAAAAUGUAACAGUAGAUGGUUGGUACUGUUGGAGAAUACCUGUGAUGUUUGAAUGCUAACAACCUCAAAUUGUGAGUUGCCUACUAUUUGAAUCGACUAUCUCUCGCGCCUGCUGAAGCCGCCCUCAUCUUUUCUGCUGUACCUGUCUGAUGUCUGAGACGAUGCUUCUCGCCCCACUUUGCGAUCCUGGGAUAGGAAUAAACAGAUCAAGAAGAGUUAACCAAGGAAAUCAAAUUGCUUUCUGAUCAUUACAAGGCAGCAUUGUAGGAUAACUAAAAACAUACAUCUCGGAAUAGCAAGUCAUCCAUUUCGAGCAUGUGGAUCACAUGUCCCAUCUUAGGCCUUUUCCGCCCAUCAGGAUCGACGCAUCGAAGGGCCACGAGGAGUGCCCUUUUAAGUGCUUUGGGAGACGGAUUCUCCGGCAGCUUAGGAUCCACCACUUGUUCGGCUUUCCUCUCGGCAACCAUGGUUUUAAGCCACUCAACUAAGUUCACCUGAAAGAAGAACGGUGUAGAAUUUUUCACAAUUAGCCUACUUGUUGCAGUCUAAUGAGCUUUUUCACCGUGAGGAUUUUAAAGAAGAACAAAAGGCAACCUCCCCAGGUGGCCUCGUGUAAUCUACAGGGGAUCUGCCAGAUAUGAUCUCCAUAAUAAGCACACCAAAGCUGUACACAUCGCUCCUCUCAUUUAACAUUCCUGUGCUAGCAUAUUCAGGCGCCACAUAACUACAAUACCAGUUGCUUUUGUGUCAGGAAAAUUAUCAGCUAUAAUUAAACCAUAGAUACUCAAAAUUCAGACUAACCCAAAGGUCCCCAUGACACGAGUUGUGACAUAACUCCUUUCAGAGCACAAGAGUUUGGCGAGCCCGAAAUCUGACACUUUUGGGUUCCACUGCCGGUCAAGAAGUAUGUUGCUGGAUUUAACAUCACGAUGAACCACCUUUGGUUCAAGCCCCUCAUGUAGAUAAGCUAACCUGGAUAAAGUGUGGAUUUUAGUUUACGCACAACCUAUUUAAGUAAAGCAUAAUAGUGUCGUUGUUUCUGGCAAAAAUUUCAAUUUGCAAUGGCUAGAACACUUGCAGAUGCACAUGAUGCUCAACUUUGAAUUUUGACCAGUAAGAAAAAUCAUUGAGUUCUCCUUAAAGAAAGCACAUAGAUAUAAGGUCUCUAUCAACUGCCUUUUCACUUUAAGAUAAACAAUUGUGACAGUCUCUGACAACUUAGUUUUUUUAAUAUAAAAUAAAGAAAAAUUUAAGAAAAUAACCUGUCAACAAUCAGCUUCGAUGAUAAUCAUCAGCAAAUGAUUAGAAGGGAGAAGAAUUUGUUAGCGCUGUUUAAACCAUCUUUAAAAUACUAAUAUCCAUAAGCUGCUACAUUGUACACCCAGGAAAAUUAUAUAAAGAUUACUUAUAGACAUAAUAGGAUGUAAGGCAAGGGAAGAAGUAAUUCGCAGUAAUAUAGACUAAAUCUGGAUCAGGUCCCUGCAAGAUGGAGCUGCGCCAGCACGUAAAAGGAACAAUACAUGUGCACAAGCUUUACUUAGGCAUACAAAGGACCAGAAUAUUAAAUAUUUAAAAGGUCCAAACAAAACAUAAUGGCUUGAACUUUGCUUGCUCUAACAAGUUGAUCACAAAUUAACCUGAGGUAAAAUAUAAGUUUGAUUUAUUAGUCAGGAUAUGAGUGUAAUUACUUAACUUCCCCUUCGUCCUGCAGUUAAUGAGGCACAAAAAGUAGAUAUGAAGGCAGUUGGUAUAUCUUGGUUAUGAUGUACUACAAUGAAUUCUUCCUUCGGCAUUAAACAGUACCAGAAUUAGCUCUGCGAGCUUAAGCAUCGCAUGCCAAUGUUCCCUCACAAAAUUUGUCAGUACUUAAUUUAUAUCCUCGAGUAUGAAUUCAAAUGUUAGCACAGAAGAAAUCUCACCCUUUAGCUGUUCCGAGUAUGAUGUUCAUCCUGACGUCCCAUGUCAGCGGACUCACUUCCCCGACGUCCCCAUGCAGCCACUGAUCCAGAUUACCAUUAUCUACGUACUCAUACACGAGCAUCCUGGAGAGAAGAAAAGAGAAGGAUAGAAAUCAAAAUUCUCGAUUCAAAAUAAGCAGAAUAAAUGGUAAAAAUUAGCAUAAAAUGUGCAAGAGCAGGCGGAGUACCGAUAAGCCCCCUCAACGCAGUAGCCAAGCAAUCUAACAAGAUUUUUGUGCCGAACACGGCCGAUAGCUUCCACUUCCACCCUGAACUCCUUUUCUGCCUGACCCCUGAUGUACAAUAGAUCAACAUCUCAUCAGUUCAGUGGAUUUGUGAAUCAAAUUGCCCAAAAGAGAAACUGGUAAACGGAAAAAGGAAAGGAAGCAAAUUUAGAUCCUUAAUUCAAAUCACCACCAUUCCUAAAGUGAGAAUUGCAGAAAUGAGCAAUCAUCUAGAUAAUAAUUUAAAAACAGAUUAAGAAAAUGCCAAUAAUUAGUAACUAAAAGAGAACUCAUCAUCAGGUCUACAGUGAGCACCAAAAACCAACAAAUUAGUAACAAAAACAUGAAUCUACACUUAAAAAAAUAUGGAUUUGGGAUCGAAAACCUAUUGUUGAGCAAAUUCUUGACGGCGACCGUCGUAUUAUCGGCGAAAACCCCGCGAUACACGAUCCCGUACCCCCCUUCCCCGAUCACGUUCUCCUCGGCGAGGCCCCCCGUCGCCUCCUCCAGUUCCCGCAGCGUGUACCAAUGCCCCCACCCUAGAUGCGACACCUCGGGGGGGCCCCCGCUCGGGGUCAUCGUCGGCGUCCCCUCCCCGCGGCUCUCCCCGCUCGUCGUCGACGCCGAUAGCUGCUGCUGCGGCGGCGGCGGCGGCGGCGGCGCGAGCACCACCCGAUGCUCGGCCUUGCCGAUGUCGACGCGCACCUCGGCGGCGGGCGGGGGCGGCGCCACCGCGGCGGCGGCGGCGGGGUGGUGGUGGUGGUGGUGGACGAUCUCCGGGAUCUCCUUGGAGACGGGAGGGGUGGGGUCGCGGAGGUGGAGCUUGAGGGGUUUGGAGGAGGAGGAGGAGGAGGAGGAGCGCGAGCGCGGGGAGCGGCGGCGCGAGGACGACGACCCACAAUCUCAGGCCAAAAAUCGACGUCCUCUUCGACAACCAGUGGUUCACGAACCCCGCAUCCCAAAACGCCAUUUUUUUCCCCUUCUCUCUCUCUCUUACUCAAUUCACCAUCUUUGUUUACUCACAAAAAGAGCAAGAGGAGUGGCCGCGGAAUUGGUUUAGUUAAUUUGGUAAUAGAUUUGAUCUGGGCAUUUGUAUAUGUUAUAUAAAAUAGAGGAAUUAAAAAAAAAAAAAAAAAAAGGNGGUGGAAUCUGGGUGGUGCUUUGAGAGUGGGGUUUUCUUUUGGCUCGGGCACGGGAGAGGAAACAGGGUGUGGGGAGUCUCUCGUGUACUAUUUGGAAUUACAAAGAGAUUUUAUUAUAUACAGUAAAAAACAUAAUAAAAAAAUAUUUUAUUUAUUUUCGUACGUAAUAUUACAUUCAGCAUAUCGCGAUGAGUUGCUUACAAUAUAUUUUCUGUGGUUUAAUCGGAGAACACAGAAUUACAUUAUUAUAUAUUUUUAUUCUAAUUUCAUUUUAUCAGCAUAUUCUUAGAUGCUUUUAUCUUAAUUCUAUUUUAUUUAAUAAUGUCGGAUGAAUUUUAAUACCAAACUAAAUCUCAGUACCCGCAGCACGUUUUCAACUUAUUAAGCUUCACUGUUCGAGGAGUUAUUUGUAUGCGCCGCGAUUCAUACACGGGGUUCUCCAAAUUCCAAACUGUUGGGAUAUAAUAUGUUUAUAUUCUAGAUCUAUGGUCUACUUUUUAAAUACACACAUAGUAUUUCUCUUUACAAUAAUUAUUAUAAAUAAUUUAUCUAGAUUAGAAUAAAAAAUACUUUUUUAAUCUAUUUGGUAAGUUGAAUUGGCUUUUAAAAGCAGUAGAAACUGAUUAAGAAUGUUGUGCUACUUAAGGCGAAAAGUUUUUAAAAUAAAGAAUCCCAAAUUAUGUGUUGUUGGUUCGAUAAGCCAAUGAACAAAUCAACAAUCGUAGUAUUGCUUAAAUCGUAAUAUACAAAAAUAUAUUAUCUUAAUACCAAAUAGUUAUAGAAAUAUUUUAAAAAGAUUAUAACUAUAAAACUUUUUAGAUAAUAUAAGUUAAAAUACUUUUAAAUUUUAAUAUCCCUAUUUUUUUUGAAAUCUGGCACAGAGUUAAUGCGUGGACGCUCUUUUUCAUGGUCUCGGUGGGGGAAAAGUUAGUGUGCUAUCAUUAUUACAUGGACCAACAAGGUUUGACCUGUUUAAGUGUGUGCACUGUUGGGUUGGAUCAGGGUGGUUCAUGGCUCUGAUUCUGGUUCGGGUCCGAGCCCAUGUAGGACCCUCAAUAAAUCCAACAUAUUGGGUUGAACCUAGAUGAUAUUUUAAGGCCCCUUUGUUUCCCUAGAAAUGAAGAGAUGUGAAAUAAUUUUCCGCCUUAAAUAUCUGGGUUCGUUGUUUGGUUCGUCUGUUUCAGAAUGUCGUAAUUGACUUCAUUAUCAUUGAUGGCAAAAUAAAAUAAAAUAAAUAAUAAUAAUAGUAAAAUAAUAAAAAUUAAAAUUUGUAGCGAAACAAACAUGAAAAUUGAAAAAAAAAACUUUAAUUCCAAAGCGAUUAAUGUGACACUCCUUGGAGGUCAUCCAUUUUAGUAUCACUCUAAUUUUACCAUACUUAACCCUUCUAAUUUUUUAAAAGGUGAAAAAAAAGAAGUUCCAAAGUCAUUAAUGUGACGCUUAACCUUCUUAUUCUUUUGAAUCUAAUAAUUAUCCAAAAUUCUAUAACUAGAUUAAACGAUUUAGCCUGUUAUAUUUUUUAUAUAGACAACUACUCCAAAUCUUCGGAUCAGCACAUUAUUUCCUCCUUUAAAUUUUGACAUCCUCGUCAGGUUCGAAUAUACUCACAAGGACUAGGCAAGAUGUCCUCGUAAAGCUCGAGCUCACAAGUGCUGGGUGAUGUGAGACUCAUCUCACUAAUUUUGUCAUUUAGACCCUAACUUAAUGUGUCAUUUUCAAAUUCUGAUUUUAACCUGUCACCAAAUCUUAACUCUGUCGAGGCUAAUCUCAUAUUUUCGAUUGAUAUUUGGCUCUAAUACUAACUAUGACAUCUUGCUUCCAAAAAAGGUCACUCAUUUUAAAAUUACUCUAAUUCUAACAUACUUAACCCUUUUUAUUUUUUGGACCUAACUACGCUCAAAAUAUUAUAGCCAAAUUAAAAAAUUUUAGAAAUAUUAUAUUUUAUACAUAGAACUAUUUUAAAUUAUGAGAAUAUCACAAUUAAGUUUGUAUCGAACAAACAAAUAUUUUUAUCUAAACUUUAGUUCCAUUAAAAACAAGCUACGAGCAAACAAACAGGAUCUCCAGGUGCAACCAAGUGUACACGUCAAAACAAAGACCCAUAACAAAUGCUACCACUUCUUUGUCACGUUUGCACAAGUAGAAAAGAUCAAACAUAGUGAUGAUUGAGGCAAGCUUAUAUUUUCAUGCGAAGUGAGGUUAUAAUAAUGGAAAAAUCUAGCUACGGAUUUUCUUUUUCUUUUUUUUUUUUUUUUAUAAGUGUUUACUUACAUUGGUUGUAGUAACAAUUAAUCCAUCAACUUUAUUAACAUGUUACCCUUGCAUAGUAGAAAGAAAAAUUAAUGGCUCCUUGAAAUAGCAUAAAAACAAGAGUGUACAAUUUUAAUCCUAUAAACACAAUUAAUGUCGCUAAAAGAGUAGUGCUCACUCCGCCCAUUCGGUAAAAGAAUCCCAUCAUUGUGAAAUAAAUAGCUCGAAAUUGGAAUUAAAUGUCAUAUACCUACUCAAUAAUUAUAAUUGCAACUUAAUUAUCUAAGAAAAUUUGGAUAUACCUAAUUUCAGAUUGCUCUUGAGGUGAGGUGAGGAUUCUCUUUUGUGGUAGUGCCUCAUUAUCUUACUUAAACGUUUCGCAGUUUUCUAAGAUAAUGACAUAUUAUUGUAUGCGUCCUAACUCUUGUAAAUUUUACCUAUUCUAAGCUUCAAAAUUUUGCAUGUAGAAUAAAAAUUUUCGGUAUACUAAACGGUAUUACUAAUAACUACGUCAGGAAAGAUCAAAGUUAAUUACAUGACUUUGAAUACCAUCAAAAUUAAUUUUUAAAAGCAAUUUCUUGCUCAAUUUAAUCGACACAGUUAUAACAAAUAACAAAAGUAAUUUGAGCUACAGUACUUAUUAGGUACUCAGUUUAAAGCAUAGUUCCAUACCAAGCAUAAGUUUUCUGAAAAUAUUAUUGCAGGUACACAUAAGCCAAUAUCAAAAUGUCUUUUGGUGCAGAUUUUGCUUGGUAUUGUAUGUAAACCUCUCUUUGGGCAAGAUGCUCUUAAACCUUAUGAAAAGGAUAACCCUGCAGGGUAUUUAUAUGCUUUAGAAUCAACUUUAUAUAUAAAAGAGUGUGUUUUCAAUCCUAACUUGUGUGGUGGUACUUUUGCCCAUCAGCUUUAGCUCAUCCAAGAUGACUUGGAACUGAAGCAAAAGAGAUGCCCCUCUUUUAAGCUUGCACACAGUUUUACUCUAUUACAGGCUUUAGCAACUACUAAUGGUGCACCCAUAAAAUGAAGUUUAGAUGUGAUUAAUGACCUUCAGAAUUUGAAAUAAUUAUAUAUAUAAGAGAAAAUAUAUAGGACCGAACUUUUUAAUUUGAUUAUAAUAUUUUGGCUGGUGAUUAAAAAUUUAGAGAGUUAAAUAUGUUAGGAUUAGAAUAAUUUUAGAAAGGGUGACGUCUCUGAAAAGCGGAGCAUCAAAGUUGGCAGUAGUGCCAAUCGCUAACCGAAAGUGUAAGAUAUGACUGAGUCAAUGUCUGAAAAAUAGGUUAAGUCAGAAUCUGAAAAUAACAAGCUAAGUCAGGGUUUAGGAAUGACAGACUAAAUUAUGGUUUGAAUGAUAAAGCUAGUGAGACGAGCUUCAUAUCGUUUAGUAUUUGUGAGUGUGCUUGAGCCUCCUGAUGAAAAUUAAUGUAUGCACUUGAAGAGCGAAAGAAUGUAAUACUUUCAAAAUUUACUCGAGUUCUUUAGUAUUAUAUAGUUUAGAACAAAAACAUAUCACAUACAUUUCUUAUACAUUUUUAUGUGUGGAUGAAGUAGAUGAUAACUUGUAGUUUGAUCAUUUCAAUUAGUAUAUGCGAAAUCAGUGAGAAUUAGUUUCCACUGUAGCUACUUUUAUUGUUACUAUUAGAACAGGUCUUUUCUCUUCUUGUUGGUGAAUUGUAACUUGUUAUAAUUAAUCACAUAAAUUGUCAGUUAGAUUUUAUUAAUUUUUUGGAUUAUCUCCCAAUUAUUUGGAUCUUAUGCUUUUUUUUUUUUUUUUCUAGUUGCAUAUCAUGUACACAAGCUUGAAGAGCGUAUACAUAGUGAUUAAAUAUUAGAUAUGUAUCGAAUUGUUGAACCUUUAGCUAUAUAUUUAUACCCUUUAUUUGUGGUUUCUCUGUAUGAAAGAAAAUAUUUGAGUGUAUAUGGGUUUCUCAAAGAGUUAUCUUUUAGAGUAAUACUUCUAUACUUUUUCUCUCUCUAUCUUUCCUUUCAUAAUUUGGCAUUUCAUAUAAGAAAAUUUUCAAAUGAUUUGACAAUAUGAUCAUUGAAUUUAAACUUUAAAUAGUAAUAUGAAAUUCCUCUAAUUUAAAUUUCACUUUUAAAUUUAAAAUUUAAUAUUAUAUUCAAAUUUAUAUUUUAAAAAUUUAAGUUUCAUAUAAAUACUUUGAAAUAUGGUAAACAGAAAUAAUUGUUUGAAUUCUAGUCUUCUGGUUUAGGUUUGGUUUUGGGUUUCGAAAAAUUGGUCAGUUUUGAAUUUGGAUAUGGAUUUUUGAAAUCCGUCGAGUUCGGAAAUAAGUUUUGUGAUUGUUAGUCAGAUUCGAAUUCAAAUUCCUAACUAUUUUUUUUCUCACCAAUAAUUCUAAUCUUUUUAAUUUAUAUGUUUAAAAUUAUAUUUAAAAUAUUUAUUAGCUCUAACAGUUAAAUUAUUAUUCUGUUUAAAAUAUUUAUUAUCUUUACCGGUUCCAAAUUGUUCUUAAUGUUAUUCGGUUCAAUAGGUUAAAAUCAGAUUCUUGAUAGAAUAGGUCAAAGUCUGAUCAGUCAAAUCAAUCGGUUCAAUCUAGUUUUUAAAUCAUUGAAUUUAAAAUUUAAAUAGUAAUAUGAAAUUCCUCUAGAGAAAUCUAGUUGUAGAAAUCUUACUCUCUAAGUUUUUUAUGCAUUACGUUUUAAACUGGUGCGAAUAAACUGUAUUUUAAAUCUUGGUAGAAUUUUAGUUUUUAAAUAGUAAUAUGAAAUUCCUCUAAUUUAAAUUUCACUUUUAAAUUUUAAGUAUUUAAUUUUUAAAAUUUAAAUUCAUCGUAUUUAGAAAUAAAACUAUUUCUAAAAUUUCUAUAAUUUAAAUUAAUGCAUAAUUUGAGAAACACUAAAACAUUUAAAGUAGAUUCCUAAAUUAAUGCCUAAUAAUUGCAUAAAUUUGGUUAAUCAAUUAAUUUUCUAAAUUAGUGCUAAUUAAUGCAUAAAUUUAGGACCUCAAUUAAAAGUUUCUUUAAAUAUUAUAUUAUUUAAUUACCAAAUUAACCUUGAAUAAAAUAAUUUUUUUACCUGCUAAGUAUUAAAGUUAUAUUUUUAUCCUCUAUUAAUCAACGAUUAAAUUUUUUUUUAUUUUUUUUAAAAAAAAGUACCGAAUCAUUUCUCUAUCUUUUAUAUUUCACUUUCGAUAAUGAUAAAAGCUUCGUUUCAUCUUCUUUCGUAAACAUACGUCAGUGAUCAAAUCAUGUAUAUUAAAUAUGUGCUCUUUGAUUUUUCUAGAUUUUUUUUUUCUUUUUGUCUUAAAUCCCAGAGAGAGACAACGCAUAUGAAAGGACAAAAGUAGGAAGAAACUUACAAAUUUCUUCACGUGAUGAAAGACAGAGGAAUACAUAAAUAGAGAAUCAAUCUUAAAAAUAGUGAAAUAUUAUAUCUAAAUAUAUAGUACAAGAUGUAUAGUUAAAUUAUUCUUUUUGAUGUCCUUUACUAAAGUAGAAUUAUAAUGCGAGACUUAACCAGAAUAACUAGUACUUAAGGUACUUUUUACAGGAAGGGGGGUGGGGGGACAGUUAUGAUUCUCCUUUAUAUCGAAACAAAAAAAUAUUUUAGAGAUAAAAACUGUUGUUCCCACCUUAAUAGGGCGACCCGUUAAGAAGAGGGGAAUAAGGAGUCAUCACUCAUGUUAUACUGAAACAAAAUUACUUUAGACGUGGGAAUUGUGUUGAAACAAUACAUUCCUCUUGUCUUCCCCUUUUUCACUGGAGAGCAUUCUGUAGAAUUUGUUGGUGAGCCUUCUUAGCAUCCCAAGCAAUCCACAUCCCAAGCAAUCCACAAAGCCCUUAACUGUUUGUCUUCGUGCCGCCUCUGUUAAAACUCUUCGCUUGCGAUCUUCUUCCUCUUCUUCCUCUCAAAUCUGCCUACAUUGCGUAAGGUUUGGCUGUGUUUGCUAGUUUCUUUCUUGUGCCCUUGCUUGUUCGUCUUCGUGUACCUCUGUAAUCGUCAGUUUGUCUUCAUGCCGCCCCUAUUUAAGGUCUCGACCUCCGAUGUUUUUUUCUUUGUUGGCUUUGGCCGAACCCCACUUAGGAAGUGUUUGGCCUAAUUUUUAAAAAGCGCUUUUAGAUUGAAAAGUGAUUUUUGGCAUAAUAGAGCGUUUGGCAACCUCACUUUUAAAAUCUAAUUCUUAGAAUUAGAAAACUGAUUUUGAAAGCCCCAGAAAAAAAAUUGCUUCUUGAAAUCUGAUUCUGAUUUUGAUCUCAAACUUCAAAUUUUUAUUUUAAUUUUAAAUUCAAUAUUAAAAUUUAAAUUUAAUUUUAAAUUUUAAUUUUCAUAUUUAAUUUUGAAUUCUUUAAUCUUGAUUUUUAAUUUUUAAAUUUUGAAAAAUAGAUUUCAAACUUUAAAUUUUAAAUUUCAAAUAUCAAAUUUUAGAUUUUAAAAUUUAAAAUUUAAAAUUUAAGAUAAAUUUUAAAAUUUGAUAUUUUAGAUUUUAAAAUUUAAAAUUUAAAAUUUCAAAAUUUUAAAUUUUAAAUUAUAAUUUUUAAUCUUAAAAUUAAAAAUUUUAAAAUUAUAAAUUUUAAAUUUUAAAUUUUAAAUUUUAAUAUUCCUGAAAGUUGAGAACUUUUCGGUAGCGUUUGGUUGGAAAACAAAGGGGAGAAUAAGCCCUUGUUCCCCCCUUUGUUCCCAAACGGUAUGUUUGGUUCCCGGGAACAGUAGUUCUCAAGAAUCUGGAACUAGUUGGUAUAAGGCUAGAACUGCUGUUCCACCUGUUUCCUGAAACAAGCUUGUUCCUCGAUGAGAACAAGAUUAAUUAAAAUCUAAAUUUAAUUUUAAUGGCAGUAAAUUAUUAAUUAAUCUAAUAAAUAUAUUUAAAUUAUUAUUUAUUAUUUUAAUAAUUAAAUAAUUAAAUAAUUUAUUAUUUAUAAUUAAUUAUUAAUAAUUAGAUAAUUAUUAUCAUUAAUUUAUUAUUUAUAAUUAAUUAUUAAUAAUUAAUAAUAUUUUGUUAAUUUUUUAUUAAUAAUUAUUAAUAAUUAUUAUUCUUAAUAAUUAGAUAAUCGAUGUUAUUAUUAAUUUAUUAUUUAUAAUUAAUUAUUAUUAAUAAUUAUUAUUUAUUAAUAAAUAUUAAUGUUACUUAUUAUUAAUAAUUAGAUAAUCAAUAUUAUUAAUAAUUUAUUAUUUAUAAUUAAUUAAUAAGAAUAAUUAAUAAUUAUUAUUAUUUAUUAAUAAUUAAUAAUAAUAAUUAUUAUUAUUAAUUAGAUAAUCGUUAUUAAUAAUUUAUUAUUUAUAAUUAAUUAUUAUUAUUAAUUAUUAUUUAUAAUUAAUUAUUAAUAAUUAAUUUUUUAUUUAUUUUUAAGUAAUAUUUUUAUGUUAAUUAAUUACAUAAUAUAAUUUUAAUUUCAAAUUAUAACGUUUAUUCCUCUUGUUCCAAUCUAAUCAUCCAAACACUAUUUAUCUUAUUCCUAGGAACAACCCAAUUUUCAUCCAAACGCAAAAUUGGUCUAGUUCUGCUUAUACCUGAACUUAUACCUAUCCCUAGAACUAGCAGUUCUUAUUUAUACUCGAACCAAACGCAGCCGAACAGGAAUAUAAAAAAAUUGCCCCUUCAUUAAUAAGCAAUAUGAUAAAAUAUUUAGAAUAAAAUAUUAUAUUCAAAUUUAAAUUAUUUCUAAAAUAAAAUAAAUUAUUUUGCAGCCUAGAGUGUAAAUUUUACCCCUAUAUUAUGGAUGUAGAGAUAAAUAUAGCUCAAUCAAAUAUAUCAUAUCAAGUAAUCUCUGAAUCUAACCCCAAAAAAUAUUAAUUAAAGGACUUUACUUGAAAAAUUAUCAAUUGUACAUUUUGCUACGGCAUAGGCGUCUAUGCACUAUUUGCUUGCGCUAGGUUCAGUUAGUAGCUUUCCUAUAACACUGAAAAAAUGUAGUUGUGUUGUACAUGUAAGAUUAUAAUAAAAUUUUUUCAUUUUUUUAAAAAAUUUUUAUUGCAAAAAUAGAAGAGGAGGUCCUAAUAAAUUUUUUUCAUUUUUUUUAAUCCACCGUACUACUAAUCUUAUAUAAUUUUUCUCAAAUAUAGCCUAUUGUGAAAUUAAUUUCUCUCCUUUUACCCUUUUAAUGACAUUUUUUUUAAAAAAAAUCUUUCAAUCCACAAGACAGGAGGUCUAUGCAUUAGAAUAAAAAAAAUGAAUUACACCUUUAGUACCUAAACUUUCAACUUAGUCUCAUUUUAAUUCUGUUUGACUUUAAUUUUUGAAAAGAUCUUAGCAUUCAUAAUUCAGUAGAAUAGUAUAUUUUAUUUAAAGAUCAAAUAUAGUAUUUAAUUUUAAAUAUUUAUUCACACUAAGUAUCUACCAAACAUAUAAAUUUUUUAAAUAAUACUAAAUCCAAAUAGAAGAAAAAUAAGAAUUAAGGAAAAUCGUUGCGUGGUGCAAUGCUGAUGUGGUGCACCUGGUGUGGAGAACAGUUUUGCGGGAGGAGGAGACCCGUGCAUACGAAGGCGUUGACCCUGCGACACUGCACCUUCCUCUAGUACAACAAGCUCUCUUCCCGAGGAGAGCUUCUUCAAUCGGGCCCCAACAAUGGCGGCGACGUCUCCUCCUCCUCCUCCCCCCUCUCCCUCGAAACCCUUCGUGUACCUCGACUCCCCGACCCUCCACUCUCUCCUGGCGCCCGAAACCCUAAUCCCCCACCUCCGCUCCUCCCUCCCCUCCCUCUCCCUCUCCGUCCACUCCCCUCCCCGCGUCUCCUUCCCACUCCCCUCCUCCCCCGCCUCCUCCCUCCUCCUCAUGCCCUCGUGGUCCACCCACCCCUCCCUCCCCUACCUCGGCGUCAAGGUCGUCACCUCCUUCCCCUCCGCCCAUGGCGUCGCCGCCUCCUACUCCCUCUUCCACUCCCUCUCCGGCGCCCCCCUCGCCGCCCUCGACGGCACCGCCCUCACCCUCCUCCGCACCUCCGCCGUCUCCGCCCUCGCCGCGCUCGCCCUCGCCCGCCCCGCCCCGCGCGCCACCCUCGUCGUCCUCGGCGCCGGCGCCCUCGCCCCCUACCUCGUCGCCGCGCACCGCUCCGCCCACCCCUCCAUCGACCGCGUCCUCCUCUGGAACCGCUCCCCCCACAAAGCCGAAGCCCUCGUUCAGCGCCUCCGCGCGGGCUCCGGCGCGGGCGCCGCCGCGGUGGCGUUCGAGCGCGCCGAGUCGCUGGACGACGCGGUCGCGAUCGGCGACAUCGUGAGCUGCGCUACGAGCUCCGAGACUCCCCUCGUUAAGGGGAAGCUACUGAAACCAGGGGCUCACUUGGACCUCGUGGGAUCGUUCACCCCCUCGAUGAGGGAGUGCGACGACGAAGCCCUAAAAAGAGGGAGGGUCUUUGCGGAUUUUGAGGUGGCGAUGGAGGAGGCAGGGGAAUUGGUGGGGGCGUUUGAGCGGGGAGUCAUGUCGCGGGCCGAUAUCGCGGGGACAUUGAUCGACUUGGUCAGCAGCUGCAGAGGAGAUGCGGCGGCGGUGGUGGGGAGGAGAAGCGACGAUGAGAUCACGGUGUUCAAAUCAGUCGGCACGGCGGUGGUCGACAUCCUCGCUGCGCAAUUGGCCUACGAGACAUACAUCAACAGCUGAAACCUACUGGGUCUGGGUAUGUUCUACAUUCCUUCAAAUUAUCAUGCAGGAAUGCUCUGCAUAAAUUUCUAUUUAUAGGCAAAUGAUCUUUAGCAUCUUAAUAUAAAAAUGGUCAGUGGUAUUGGUCCUGAAACUUUCAGGGAAGUAGAACAUUUGUUGUGCAACAAUCUUAUAUGUUCAUCCUAUAGAGUUUUUUUUUUUUUGCUAAUGAUAUACUUAUUUUCAUCUCUAAAAGCAAGAAAUUAUUGUGUUGCUUUGCUUAACUUAUAUUCUCUUUUAGUAGCAUGUGACAUGACAGAAUGUGCAUAAACCGACACAAAGUUUUUCCAUUAUUUUUGUUGUGUUGCUAGUUGAUUUCUGAGGAAGCCAUUCAAUAUUUCAUAGAUUAGCAUUGUGAUUGCUUAGUUUGUAAUCAUUAUAAAUAGGACCAUGGGAUUGAGUUGAUGUCACUAGUGGUGCCUCAAACGAGUUGAAAAUACGUGUCGAUCAACAAUUAAAAGUGGCAUAAACAAAUGGUUCUCAUAAUUCUGGGUUCGCAAAUCAUAAAUGUGUGUAUCUUUCCCUUUCUUCUCUUAAUGCAUGCUAGUUGUAAUCACAAUCAGACGGCUUUAUGUGCCCUCUUGCUAUUCAAGAGAACUGCCGAUACCUUUGUAUGUUCUGUGAUCAAUUUUGGCGCUAGCCCUGUUACUUGAUAAGUAUCCUCAUGACAAAGUCGAUUUAGUUGUUUGGUCCAUGAAAGUCUUUACCUUUGCGUUGCUUUCUACCUUUAUUGCACCUGAAAUCCCUCCCCUUCAACUGCUAUUUUGCUUUAACUGGAAUUACCGUAAAUAGAAUCUUGUUUCAUUUAGGACCUUGCAUUUCUUUUCGAUGCUUAAGCCCAGGAGUAAUCUUCUGAGUUGGAAUCUUACUUCUGUUUCCCUGUCUGUAACAUCCAACUUUGAUCCUUGAAUUGUGUUGCGUAAUGUAAAUAGCAUGACAAUGUACAUGCAUUGUACUCCAAUUCUCAUCAUUGUAUCCGGAGUUAAUAGGUGCGAAUUGGUCCGGCAACUCUCAGACCGAGUACUCCCUUGGAUUGUACUUUUUCAACUAUCUAACUCAUUCUUUGUGAGCAGUAACUAGUUAAAUCUGUGUCGCAUUCAUGGAUGUUGGAUCUAAACUCAACAGAAAUAACUAAUUGGUUGUUGUCUCCAAAAUCCAGACCUUAUUAAAAUUUGAGAUAUGAGGUCAAGUUUAACCCGAUUUUAUUGCUAAUUAUCAGCUACGAUAUUUGAAGAACAAAAUAAAUCAAUAUGUAUUCAGUUUGAACUGGCAGUAAGGAUCCACAGCUAAACCGCAGAUAUUAGACAUAUAUCUGCAUAUAUAGGCUGUUGUACAUUAUAUGUGCAGAUUUUAGUUAUGAAUUGUCUAUGUUAGUGUAUAUAAACACCAAUCACAUAACUUGAUUAAUGAUUCAUAAAGCCAGGGUUUCUGUACAUAGGAAUAACCGAAUAAGGCAAAGAUGAACCGAGAAUUGAGUAUAUUGCUAGCCAUUUCUGUUUAAAUCUAGUUAUCGGAUGUAGGCAAUGUAGAUCUGUACAUGUGGUUUUGAUGAAGUGGUUUCCUGUAUAUCUUUCUCAGUGUAUACUGUUGUCAGGGCAUGUCAUAAUUUGCAGUAUGAAGUAAAUGCCCAAUGCUGUUGAAUCAAGCAAUAUGUUCACCAUUAGGUCAGUAAAGCUAUAAGUACAUACUUUGAAGGGUAUAUGGUUACUUAUUUCCCAGUUCAGAGUCUAUUUGGGUUGAUUCAUGAAACUUAGUAUGGGUCCCUUUUAGAUUAUUCCUUGAUAACAUAAUGCUGAAGAUUUGCUGUUAAACAAAGCAAUUUGGUGCAAUAUUUUCACUUUGCAAGUGGAUGAAUGACAUCUAUCUUUUUGAUUAACUCAAAAACUUACUAAUAUUUGUUUGAUGAAACGUGUGAUAAGAUGUCUAGAAUAGAAUAUCAUAUUUCGCGGCCAAGUUAUCUUGGAACAAGAUAACUUACCUUGGAACAAGAUAACUUACCUCAUCAGAAAAAUAUAUCAUUCUCCCAAAUUAUAAUUGUCAAGAUCAUUCGAUGAGUAAAUUUUUUUUUUUUUUUACUUCUGAUCAUACAAAAAAAAUUUGUAGGAAAUAAGUUAUUAUUGAAAAACUUAUCCUUAAAAAAGGGCCUAGAAAAAGUUAGAAGUGUUCAUUUGAAAUGUCAGCUUUUCCUUGGGUGCACUGGGUCCAUGAACUAGAUUUUUCAGCCAUUCACUACUCUUUGGAAAAAUUAUACAGAAAUUAUCUAAACUAUAGAUCAUUUAGAAUCAACUAUUCAAUCUUUUAUAAUAUUGAUUUUACUAUUCAGCUUUUAAUUUUUUUGAUUUGAUUUAGUCAACGACUCUUUGACAUCAAGAUUUGAAUGUAUCGUUUAUUUUUAUUCAUUUAGUUGCUAUACUUCAUACAAUUUUUACAACUAUAAUUUUAUUAAUUUUUGAAAUCAAUAUAAUCGUUUACUGACUAAAAUUAAAUAAAUUGGAAAGUUAGAUAAUAAAAUCAAAAUUUUUAAAAAAGUCGAAUAGCAAAAUCAAAAUAAUUCAUAUUUAAAAUAAAUUCCGUAUGUUUUUAGCAAUGAAUUUUAGGACAAAUUAUAAAAGCUGUUGUUAACAUCAGUUGAACCCUCACGGAAUCUAGGAUUUGACUCAAAAACGACGUUUUUGGACGUUCUUUGAUUUCUUUUACGAAACGAGUUUGGCUUUUCCUAUAAAGCACUCACUGACAAAUUUUAUUCUAAAUUUUAUUCUUUAAGGUCCAAUAAUAUUAUACCACGUGUAGGUUAAUGAAUGGAAGUUUAACAGAACACUUAACUUUCCUAUAAUCCAGUGAGAAAAAGAGAUAAAUCAUAGAUUUUUUUUUUUUUUUUUUGGGGGUAAAUUUUAAAUGUCACCCUUGUGGUUUUGUACUUUCUCAUCUUAGUACUCUAUAGUUUAAAAUGUAUUAAUUUAGUAUCCUGUCGUUUUAUUUUUGGGCAAAUUUCAAAUACUACUCCUGUAGUUUUGCACUUUCUUACUUUAGUACUCUAUGGUUUAAAAUAUAUGACUUUCAUACCCUAUUAUUUUUUUCUUUUCUUUUUGUUAUCUCCUUUUACUAAUUUUUUUUUAUUAAAUCAAUGAUAAAGUUAAAACUAAAGGGUACUAAAAGUAAAUAUUCAAUAAACUAUAGGUGAGAUAUCUGAAGUUUUUUGUAUAUUAUUUAACAAAAAAUUAACGGAAGAGCUACGGAAAAAAAAUAUGAAAGCGCAAGUUAUUAAACUAAUACACUUUAAAUUUAAUUACCUUUUAAUAAAACUAGUUAGAAUAACUCGAAUUAAAAGAAUGAAAAGCCCAAAAAAAAAGUCAAUAAUAUAAAAAGUAAAUGCAAAGGGAUUUAUUUUAAAAUCCCAUAUAAUUGAGGGAGGGUCUGUACAAUUAUUUAUCAUAUGAAACAACAUUUUCUUAUUAUCACCUUUUUCUUAUUUUCUAUUUUAAUUUCUUAACCAUUUUAUUAGUAACUAUGCAUGGCAAAAUAUUAUUGGAUUUUUAAAUUAAAAUUUGUUUGUACCCCGGUCACCACAAUUGUUCUAGUGAACUUUGCCCUUUACAGAGAACCAUUUCGUCGCAAUAAUAGCUCUUAUCUAUUUAUUCGUUUUGUUAUAAAGAUCCAAGACGGCACAAGAUAGCCCAAACAAUUUCGGGAGGAAAAUCACACGCUAUAACCCGCAGGUAGUGUCGUCGACCUCAUAUUUUCGACAUUAUCCUAGGCUCGUGUAGCUUCCUCCACACUUGAUCGGCACACACGAAGUACCAGACUUGGCACGUCGGCAUGCCGGUGGGUGGUCCAUAUCCUAUAUACCGUUGGGGUAGUCGGGGUCACUUCGCAAGUGUUCUACCCCUCUUCUCUGCCCUUUUUGCCGUCACGGAGGUAUAAAGAUGCCCUACUAGAGAUAUGUUUUUAAAUUUUCGCAUGCUGCACCAAUAUCUUCACCACGAUAUGGGACAUUGCUAGGGAAUUAUCUCUGUUGACCCAUCUGCAAUGGCACACCUGACGGAGUAUCUCAAAUUCGUAACUUCAUAAUUUCGUCAACCCAAAUGUCUUUCAAUGUGACCUCCAAAAAUGUUAUGUGGCAAAAUGAAGCUUCUAGAUGGAAUCAUAUGCAAUUAAUAACAAAUUGGGCUUAGUUUGGAUUGGGCUUGUUCCUAGUGAUCAACUCAGCCCCACCCCUAAGCCUAAGUUGAAUUGUUAAGUUUGGGAACUUCUUUCGGCCUAGAAUUUGGAAAUUCCAAAUUGCCCGUAAUUAAAAAUGGGCUCAAGUGAUAUCAACUUAAUUUGCAUCCAACAAAAUCUGAUAUGCAACAAUAUAUAUAUAUAUAUAUAUAUAUAUAUAGAGAGAGAGAGAGAGAGAGAGAGAGAGAGAGAGAGAGAGAGAGAGAGAGAGCAGGGCUACUCUGCUAUUAGAAGCACAGGAGCUCUUGUGCUCUUAACUUUCUAAUCACCCAUCAAUUUUGAUAGAUGAUUAUAUAGGAUAAAAGGAAAAAGAAAAUUUGGGCAGAAAUUGGGUGUUUUAAUUUCUCUUUUUUUAAAUUUUUCUUUAAUUUCUCUUUUUUCUCUUAUCCUAACCACUCAUCAGAAUUGAUAGGUGGUUAGAACGCUAGGAGCAUAAGAACUACUGUGUUCUUAAUAGCAAAGUAGCCAUACUCUAUAUAUAUAUAAUUAAGCUCCUAUACUUUUAAAAGUACUAAGUUAUUGGUGCUUGUAGAUUUUUAGCCAUUGUAUUAAAGAAUGUGCGGUUAGGAUGGUGUGGAACCCCUUAGGGUUGAGUAGGUGGUUGGUUGAAUAGUAUGAUCUAAUGGGUGAAAAUGAUCAAAAGGUAGAUCUAACGGUAAAAUAUUUACAAGCAGCAAGUGCUUGGUGCUUACAAGCACCAUAGCCGAACUCUCUCCCUCUCUCUCUCUCUCUCUCUCUCUCUCUCUCUCUAUAUAUAUAUAUAUAUACAAUUCGGCUAUUAUACUAUAGAUAACACUAAGCAUUUAGUGCUAUUGAGUUUUCCGUCGUUAGAUUUAUUUUUUUGACUAUUUCCAUCUGUUAGAUCAUAUUAUUUAAAGGACUAUCUGCUUAACUCUGAGGGACCAUUAUCAUCAUAACUGCACAUCUAUUCAUUUAAGAGCUGAAAAAUUAAUAGCACUAAUAAUUUAGUAUUAUUAAUAGUAUAGUAAUCUAAUUAUAUAUAUAUAUAUAUAUAUAUAAUAAUAAAAUUCUAACAGAUAAUACCUAACCAAGGCUAUAUGGACAAGGAAAGCUACACAACGCAUCUGCUAGCUAGGUCAAGCUCAAGUCCCACUGAAGUGGAAGUUAAUUUCAGAUUCGUCAACGUGUCGAUAGCUGAGUACAUCGAAUCUUAAGCGGAAAUUGAGAGGGCCCACCAACAACAAGUAGAUUAUGUGGACACGUGUCGACGCUGUAGGACUUGGGCGGGUAAGUGACGCAUGAAAUGAAUGAAGGUUGUGGGACAAAAGAAAGGGGACAGAGAACUGACCCUCUCUUAAUUUAGACAUCAAAUAACUUUUUUUUAUAUUUAAUAUAAAUUUUUUUAUAUAUAAUUAUUGAGUAAUAUAUAUAUACUGGGUCCGGCUACUAUACUUUUAUGAGUAUUAGCUCCCUUAUACUCAUAAGUUUUCGGUCCUUAGAUUUAUUCCAUUGAUCAUUUUCACCCGUUAGAUUAUACUAUUCAACCAACUACCCACUCAACUCUAAGGGACCACUAUUAUUCUAAGUGGGGACUACCAUCAUCCUAACUAUACAUCUCAUCAAUCAACGGUUAAAAAAUUAUGAGUACAAGAGGGUCUAUACUCAUAAGAGUAUAGUAGCCCCAGUCUAUAUAUACUAUCAAUCAUCGAGACUAUUAUCAUCGACUUUAGGAAUGGUAUGUGCAAUUUAAAAAAUUUUGAUAUUCAUAGUUUGAUUGAAUAUAUAAAAAAUAGUUUAAAGAUGAAAUAUGGUAUUCAUUUUGAAUAUUUAGUCACACUUCUGCAAAAUAAUUUUUUAUAAAUUAAAAAUAUAUAUUGAAUAAGAUAUUCAUACUUGUACAUAAAACCUAUACGAGUUUAUAAGGAAAAGAACAAUAAAUAAGUUACAUCAUUAUUUUAGAGAGAUUAAAUUUUGAUCCUCAAACUGUUAAUUGACCUGGGCAUUUGACCUUCGCUCCUAUCAUUAAUGGAUAUGGAAAAGAGAGUUAUUGGCUAUGGGUAUAUAGGUGGGUGUAGUGAGUCAUGAGUGAUUAAAUGAAGUGAAGUGAAUGAAGUGCGUGGGAUGAGGGCAAGCAUGUAUGUAUUAUAUGUAUAGCAUGAUGUAGUACUCUAACGAAGAGAGAGAGAGAGAGAUCUAGAGAGAGAGAGGAAAAGGAAAAGAUGGGUGGAGAGAGUGGAGAAGUGGAGAGAGUGGGGCGUCGGCGCUCGGAACACAAGAGGGGCGUCGACGUGUGGCACCUCGCCAACGCGUAGCUUCCAUGACCACCACCACCCCCUUCACAGUGCGCGCACACGUACGCAAUGUGUGUUGGCGAGAGAGAGAGAGAGAGAGAGAGAGAGAGAGAGAGAGAGAGAUGGGUGCAUGGGUUAAAUGAGCUGAAUACGAGAGAAAGCGCGCGAGCUGAGUUGGCUUUUUAAAAUAUCGGGCUAGAAAAUAAUUUAUGAGGACGAGGGCGAUCGUACUCAUAAGAGUAUAGUAACUAAAUGGAUGAUCGAAACUUCAAAUUGAUAAUGACUUUUAAAUUUUACAAAAUUUGGUUUCUAAACAUUUCUAAUUGUGUAGAUCAACUUCAACAGUGCCGAUUAUCAAUUUGAAGUUCCGAUCAUUCAAAUCGACUUGAUAGGACAAGGGUCCCGAUCCUAUUAAUAGGAUAGUAGCCGGACCAUAUAUCCGGCUACUGUACUAUCGAUAGCACGGAGCCUUCCGUGCUACCAAGUUGUUUUCGAUGAUGCGGCUUCCAAAUCGACGAUCGGCUCCGUUAAACUUGAUCUACACUAUUAAAAGUAUUUGGAAACUAAAUUUUAUAAUUUUUCGAUAUCAUUUACCUAUCAAAGAAAUAGUCUAAAAUUGAACGGCUGAAAAUAAAAAUCUCAUAAAAAAUGAUAAUAAAANAGGGGAAACAUGUAUUAUAUGUAUAGCAUGAUGUAGUACUCUAACGAAGAGAGAGAGAGAUCUAGAGAGAGAGAGAGAGGAAAAGGAAAAGAUGGGUGGAGAGAGUGGAGAAGUGGAGAGAGUGGGGCGUCGGCGCUCGGAACACAAGAGGGGCGUCGACGUGUGGCACCUCGCCAACGCGUAGCUUCCAUGACCACCACCACCCCCUCCACAGUGCGCGCACACGUACGCAAUGUGUGUUGGCGAGAGAGAGAGAGAGAGAGAGAGAGAGAGAGAGAGAUGCGUGCAUGGGUUAAAUGAGCUGAAUACGAGAGAAAGCGCGCGAGCUGAGUUGGCUUUUUAAAAUAUCGGGCAAGAAAAUAAUUUAUGAAAAUGAGGGCGAUCGUACUUAUAAGAAUAUAGUAACCAAAUGGAUGAUCGAAACAUUAAAUUGAUAAUGACUUUUAAAUAUUACAAAAUUUGGUUUCUAAACAUUUCUAAUUGUGUAGAUCAACUUCAACGGUGCCGAUUAUCAAUUUGAAGUUCUGAUCAUUCAAAUCGACUUGAUAGGACAAGGGUCCCAAUCUUAUUAAUAGGAUAGUAGCCGGACCCUAUAUAUAUAUAUAUAGUCCGGCUACUAUACUAUCGGUAGCACGGGGCCUUCCGUGCUAUCAAGUUGUUUUCGAUGAUGCGGCUUCCAAAUCGACGAUCGGCUCUGUUAGACUUGAUCUACACUAUUAAAAGUAUUUGGAAACUAAAUUUCAUAAUUUUUCGAUAUCAUUUACCUAUCAAAGAAAUAGUCUAAAAUUGAACGGCUGAAAAUAAAAAUCUAAUAAAAAAUGAUAAUAAAAGAUUUAAAUUUAAGAUCAGAUAUACUGAUCUUACUCUAAAUAGUGAAAAAAAUUUUCUAUAAAAUUUUCAUCCGAUUUGGAUUGUUUUACACCGUUAAACUCACAAACACGCCACAUCGGCCAUUAAAAUGGUCAAUUUUGAGAUCUUUUGAUCACUAGUCAAAUGAUGCCGAAAAAUUAUGAAAUUUAGUUUCCAAAUACUUUUAAUAUUGUAGAUCAAGUCUAACGAAGCCGAUCGUCAAUUUGAAAGCCGCAUCAUCGAAAACAACUUGGUAGCACGGGAGGCCCCGUGCUACCGAUAGUAUAGCAGCUGGGCUCUAUAUAUAUAUAUAUAUAUAUAUAUAUAUAUAUAUAUAUAUAUAUAGUUGGACUGGGCUAUUAUUAGUAGCAAAAUCUCAUUAUUGCAACCAGUUUUUUAGCUUUUGGAUCAACUCUUUUCAUUAUUUCUGAUAAUUGGAUUAAAUACUAUAACCUAAUGGGGACCACUCAACCCUAGGGGAACCACUCAACUCUAACCGACUAAUAUCAUCCUGACCCUACAAUUUUUCAUCCAAGAGUUAAAAAUUUGAUAGCAAAACGAGCGUUUUACUAUUAAUAGUAUUCCAACCUAAUUCAAUAUAUAUAUAUAUAUAUAUAGGGUCCGGCUACUAUCCUAUUAAUAGGAUUGGGAUCCUUGUCCUAUCAAGUCGAUUUGAAUGAUCGGAACUUAAAAUUGAUAAUCGGCACCGUUGAAGUUGAUCUACACAAUUAGAAAUGUUUAGAAACCAAAUUUUGUAAUAUUUAAAAAUCAUUAUCAAGUUCAUCUUAAGAGUUGAAAAAUGAAUGGUCAUAAAUGAAUAACUUUCUUAAAAUAGAGGUUAGACUUUCUCAGUUCGUAAUCAGAAUUAUCAAAUAUUAUCUAAAUAGUAUAAAAAAUUUUCUAUCAAAAAUUCAAGCAAUUUGGAUUGCUCUACAUCGUUAAACAAGCAAAUAGCUCAUACAGGUCGUAAAAAAUUAUCGAUUUUACGACAUUUUGAUCACCAUGUAAACUAUUAUCAAAAUUUAUGAAAUUUAGUUUCUAGAUAUUUCAAAUACUCUAGAUCAACUUCAAUGGCUCCGAUCAUCGAUUCGGAAUCUCGAUCAUCAAGAACAACUUGAUAAGACAAGUGCUCCUAUCCUAUUAAUAGGAUAAUAGCAUUGCCUAAUAUAUAUAUAUAUAUAUAUAUAAUAUAUAUAUAUAUAUUAUAUAUAUAUAUAUAUAUAUAUAUUAGAUAUAUCGAAUUUGAAAUAUUAAAUGAGUAGAUCCUAACUCGUAUUUGGCACUUUAAAAUUUCAAGCUAAAAGUUUUGGCUCAUAUUCGACUCGUUUGUUCAACGGGUGAUCAAUCUGGAGCUCAUUUUGAGCCCAACACGAGAAUACUUGUAAAUAGUGAGCUAGAUGACCAGCGCUAUUAGUAAUUAACCUUCAUCUGUUUUUAACUUUGGUCUCGAGCUAGAUCCUUAAUCUUUGUUGGUAAAGCCGUCUAGAACUUUUCUUACCAUGUAUAGAUGGAAAGUUGAAAAGGCGGUACCGAAGGUGUAACGAUCCGACCUGCUAGCAAAAAUAACUCUUUGGGUUCAAUCACCAGUAAAAAAUGCUUAAGUCUAGUUAAAAGUUUUAGUGCUAUUAUAUCUUAUAUAUAGAACUAUCUGGGGUCUCACAUUGUCCCCUCCUUAAGUCCUGACAUUCACGUCAGGCUCAGAUUCACAAGUAUCUAGCAAUGUGAGAUUCAUGUUGCAAGUCUAAACUGAGCUUGUGGUGAGUUACACUAUACACACAAUAAUCAACAAUAUGAGAGGCUUGCUCUUUUUUACUGUAUAAAUUUGGCUCAGUCAAGACUCAUCUCACACUAGCUACUGGUAAUUGACUUUAAUACAAAAUGUAACGAUUCGAUCGGUUAGUAAUAAUAACUCGUUGGGCCCAACUAUCGGCCCAAAAUAUUUAAGUUCAGUUAAGAGUUUUAACACUAUUAUAUCUUAUAUAUAGGACUACCUGAGCCCAACCACCGAUCCAAAAUAUUUCAACUUUGGAUGAAUUUUGAAAUUUUCUAAAAAUACUGUAAUCGAAGACCGCUUAGCCAUUUGGAGACUCACAAGCACAAAGCUUUCUGUUUGGUCUUCUAUUAUUAAUUUACUCAGUCUGUACCCUUGAUUAAUUAAAUAAAUUAAAAUCGCCUUAGUCCCCCUCCUCGCCCGCCCGCUAAAAAAAAAAAAACAUGAAACUUAUCUAAACUAUGGAUAAUUUUAAUUUAGCUAUUCAAAUUCAACCUUUCAAAAUUUUGUUUUUACUAUAUAAUCUUUCAAUAUAUUUAAUUGAGUCGAUUAAUAAUAUUUGGACUCUAAAAUUUGAAUGUUUUAUUUAUUUUUAUAAUUUAGUUAGUAUAUUUCAUGUAAUAUACUAAAAUUUAGUUAGUAUAUUUAGCUAUUCAAAGAGUCGUUGACUAACUUAAAUCAAAUAAAUUUAAAUGUUGGAUAGUAAAAUCAAAAUUUUAAAAAAGUUGAAUAGUUGAUUAAAAAUGAUUCAUAGUUCAGAAAAAUUUUGCACAUUUUUGUUUUCUUUGUUAAAUAUAAAUAUUAAAAGAAACAGUUUAAGGCCUGGUUUGAUAUUGUAUUUUUUUACUNAGUUAUGAUUUUUUUUAAUUUGCUUUCAAAUAUUUUUUUAAAUUGUCAUCUAUCAGUUAGUCAGAUGCAUGGCAAAAAAAAUCAGCUAAAACAACAAAAAGAAAUCAUAACUGACACCAAGAUAUCAGAUAAGUCAUAUAACUGUAAUGUUUCAAAGGACUUAAUUUUCAAUUGAAUAGCAAUUAAGAAUAAGCACUUUUAUAUAUUCUUACAUCUGAAGAUGGUGAGAUUUGAUUUGAUGCAAUGGGCAUAUAGUUGGAGGAAAAUGUUAGGGUGUGUUUGUUUCGUGUAAAACUAUCUUGAAAAAUUUUUUUGAUAAAAAACUAAAAUUUCAGUAUUUGUUUGGCCGUAAAAAAAAUUUUUUAAAAAAUUAUUUUUACGAAUAGUGAGGAAAAGGGGCGUUUACUUUUCGCUCGUACUUACGCCCCAAAAAUCACAGCUUUGGAAGGUGAGGGGGGAAGCACGCGCGCGGUCCACGAGAGAGAGAGAGAGAGAGAGGUGUCCAUGGUGGACCUCUCUCUCCCCAUUCUUUUCUUUUAUAUAAUAUAUAUAUAUAUAUAUAUAUAUAUAUAUAUAUAUUAUUUAUUAUAUAUAUAUAUAUUAUUAUAUUAUAAAAUUACUAUAGUUUUGAUAUACUUAACUCUCUUUUUCAUUUUUAUUUUUAAUUAUUUCAAAAUAAUAAUUUAUCUCAGGAUCAAAAAAAAAAAAAAUCUAAUUUUCUUUAAUUUCUCGAAAAAGAUGAGGGUCCAGGUGAUACUCACUGUUAGCCCAUAUAAUAAUAUACGACACAUGCGGGGCCCACAUUUUGUGGGGUCCACGAGUCAGCAAGUGGACCCUGACAUCGGACAGGGUCUCUGUUUCUUUCUUAUGACACACGCGGGGCCCACAUUAUUGUGGGGUCCACAGGUCAGCAGUAGACUCUCUGGCAUAAUGCAGGCCUUUUCUGGUUUUUUUUCUUUUUUCUUUUUUUUGUUAAGAAUUUUCGCGUAGAGCGCGGAGCGGCCACUCCCACCAGGCGUUCCACUUGCUGCCACGUGGCUACACGCCUCCGCCAUAUGAACGCCUCGCGAGCUCGGCCGUUACUUUCUACCCUCGCAGGAUCACGAAAAUUACCAAAUUGAUUAAAAAGAUAGUAAGCAGGAAUUUAAGUGUGUAUCGAUACAUAUCGUAUUUAUCGUGCUGUAUCAUGUACGAUAUAAAUUUCGUAUCGAUGACGUAGCUUAAAAUAUUAUGUUCUUUAAAUUAAUAAAUAGUUUCUUAAUAAAAUUUAAAAGAUUUGAUAGAACUAUAUAAUAAAUAAUUAUAAUAUUUAUUGCUAAAUCUUGCUGUCGCUAAUGCAAGUGACAAAGAGCUUGGUGGUUAAUAUCCGAAUCCUAAAUUCGAAUCCUAGUUAAUCUAUAUUUUUAGCUAAAUUUAUUUCUAAAAAAAUUAAAUGAAUUCUCUCAAAAAACAAAAAAUUGUUGUUAAAGAAAAUAAAUAUUUCAAACUAUUAUGUGUCGGCAUAUAUGAAUUUUUUGUCACCGGUACGCAACGCAUCGCCAUUUCUCAACACGCAUUGUGUCUUACCGUACCAGCAAGUUUCCGGCAUAAGUCCGUUCCAUAGUACUUAAAUCAAGUUUUUCAUUUUUUUCAUUUUCUUUUCACAAAUAAAUUCUACUAAAAAUGUAAAACAUAUUUGGUUCAUGAUUAAAAUAAAAAAAAUCAAAUUAAAUUACUGAAAUGAAAAAUAGAAAGGUAAAUCCUCCAAAAUUAUUUGGUUUAUUAUUAAAAUAAAAAUUGGAAUAGAAAUUUUUUAAGGUUUUGAGGGAGGGUUUUGAUUAAAAACGAGAAAGGUGAUUAAGGGAAAGGAAAGAGAGGUGUCGGUGAGAGUGCUUUGAGCGAAUGGGCCAAUCUGAAAUUCAAAAUGAGAUUGGAUUGUAAAUAAAUUGGGCCAUUCACAUUUCAAAAUAUAAUGUGAAUCGAAAUUUGACUUCCGUAAAAUAAGCAACAAAUAUCAAAAUUAAUGAAUCUAAUUACGAUUUUAUAGUCUAAAAUAAGCAACCAAACAAGUCCUCAAAGUCGUUAGAUUUCGAACUUAGAAAUCUUAAAGACCAACUAUUAUGUUCUUAAUCAAUUGUGCUAGAUACGGUCAGUAAUUGAUCAACCCCAGCUGAAUAAUAUACCGAGAGGACUUACUUCCUAAAAAAUUAUAUUCUAUAAUCUAUAAAAAAAACAACACUUAAUUAUAAGUCUUCCUUAUACUUUAGGUCCAUUAAAAUUUGUAUCAACUAGCUUCUAGACAUUGCCGCUAUUUUAAAUAGGUUAAAUAAUUUAGAAUAAUCAACAUAUAUCUAAUUUGCAAAUCAAAUAGUAGAUAAAAUAUUAGAUAAUUAGAUAUCCUGUUUCCCUAUGCUAUUAAAAUUGAUAGUGAAUUAAACAAUUUUAUUCAAUUUUAUUAUUCUACUAUAUUAAUUAUAACUAAUUUUGCGUGUCAAUUUAUUUUUGUCAAUCAUUCUCCCAAAUAUUUAGAUCGAUUUAAAAUAAUGGGAAAGUAUAGGAAAUAAUUGAAGUAAUUUUUGAUAAAGGGAUAAUUAGGAUAGUAGCUAAAGUGGAAGUAAGUUUUUUUAACAACUUAACCAUAAAAUUAAGAUUGCUAAAGUAAUUUUCACUAUCCUAAUUAUUUAGAUCGAUUUAAAAUAAUGGGAAAGUAUAGGAAAUAAUUGAAGUAAUUUUUGAUAAAGGGAUAAUUAGGAUAGUGGCUAAAGUGGAAGUAAGUUUUUUUAACAACUUAACCAUAAAAUUAAGAUUGCUAAAGUAAUUUUCACUAUCCCUUACGGCCUUACCAGAGCAAAACAGCUCAAAUUAUAAAUAAAUAUAAGAAAUUUGUUCUGACAAUAUUAAAACUUGAUGUGCCAAUAUUAAUUUUCUUGAAGUAAUGUCUCAAUAAAAAUUCCUACCGUUCAAAUUAUUUUAUAUAUCAUUGGCUUCUCAUUGUUGAUGGUGUUAUCUUUUUCUUUAAACAGCUCUAAAACCAACAAAACAUAGGUGUCAAUAUUAGAAAUGAUAAUCACUAACUAGUUGUGAUAUGUUAAGAUUAAUUUUGAAUAAAAACCAAUAUUUUGAAUAGUAUUAUUCUGAUCGAAUUGUUCUUAAGUCAUUGUUUACUUUAAGUUCGAUUUUGACGGUCACUGUUUUAUGAAAAAAUUUCUAAGGGGGUCACCAGACACGUUGAGAUGUGUUGGAUUCAGCCAACUUGUUUGAAUUAUAAAUUAAGAAAAACAUGUUUGCCUACCUAUUGCGAAUAAGCAAAAUUGGCCCAUGAAAGAUUACAUCAACUAGGAGAUAACAUCACCGACUGUCUCUAGCACAAAUAGCAAAGGGCUUGAUAAUUGGUAUCCGAGGUUCCAAGUUUGAAGCCUUAUUUCUUUACAUUUUCAGCUAAGUUUACUUUUUAAAAAAUAAACGAAACGAGUAACAUAUCAUCUUUCUCUAAAAAAAAAAUUAUAAGGCAAUAUGAUGCGCUCCCAAUUAAGGACUCCUACAAUUGGAAGUUAAAAGGAAUUUCGGUAUCUAUCUGUUGUAAAGAGGAUCUAAAUUUCUAUUUUUCAAAAUUUAUUUUAGUGAAACAAUUCAAUGAAAUCCUAGCAAAAAAUUGAUAUAGUUAAAUUCAGUAAGCUUCAAACAUUUGAUUCUUCAUGACAGAGCUGUUAGAUGGUUAGUCAAGCAAAACAAUUAUAGUACCUGCAUAUUUUAUUCAUUAAAUCAUUUAGUAAAUCAAAGUUUUAACAAAUAGAAUUGAGCAAUCCCUUCUAAUCGAAAAAUAGUGAUUUAACAUAUGGAGCGAAUUGAUCGAAUCUUUGGUUUGGUGUGAUUCAUCAAAAUAAAUCCAUAGUUUAGUUUGAGUUGAUUUGUAGAACUAUCUUGACUAACUCAAACGCAGAUACGAGUCUCUCUCUCAUAUUCUUUUCUUUUUUCUAAUUACAAGAUUUAUAAGAUGAAUAGAAAAUUGUUUGGAAGCGAAAUGUCAGAGAAGAGGAAACUUAUGAACUUUCCUAACUCAAUGUUACACUUUAUUUUAAUAAAAUUAAAAAAAAAAUAAUCUCCAUAUAAUUAUAAGAGUUUUUUUAUACUACUAAGUAAACACCGACUUCUACGGUUUUUUAAUUACGAAUUCAACCGCUAAAAUCUGCAAAAACCGACAAACCUAGUCUGAGUCGCACCGGGCCGAAACUUGCGCCGACCAGAAACCUUAAGUGGCACUCUCGUAAUAAUUGAAUUAAACGAGGCCAUUUACAUGUAGAGGUCCCCUAUAAAAAAAUGAGCUCGCUAAAUGCGAGUCUUCGUGCGUUUAAUUACCCACAUUCUCCGUCUCUAGCCACUCAUCACAUCUCUCUCUCUCUCUCUCUCUCUCUCCCUCUCCGUCCCCUCAUCCUCGAGGCUCGAAUCCGAUUCUCCCCCUCUCUCCCGAUUGGCGAAACCCUUAAAAAAGCCCUAAAAAUCUCAUUGGAAGAGGAGGGAAGAGAGAGAGAGGGGGCGAAUUCGAGGUCGAAGCUAGAUCCAUGGCGGCCGCGAUCGCCGCCACCGCCGCCACGAGCCUCGGCGCGAGCCCCUCCUUCACCGCCGCACGCCGCUCCAUCGGCGGCGGCGAAGGGCCGUGGCGGUGUGCGUCAUCGUGGAGAAGGACACCACGGGAGGAGGCUCGUUUAGGAACGACAACGACGACGACGACGUCGACGACGAAGGAGGAGGAGGAGGAAAAGAAGCCACGAGCAACCGAUCGAGUAUCGAGGAUUCGGAAGCGGAGAGGAGAAUCGCGGAGAGGGUCGCGCGGAAGAGGUCGGAGAGGAGGACGUACCUAAUGGCGGCGGUGAUGUCGAGCUUGGGGAUCACAUCCAUGGCGGUCGCCGCCGUGUACUACCGCUUCGCGUGGCAAAUGGAGGUCUCCCUUUCUCUUCCCCCUCCCAUCCCCUCCCCUCCCCUCCCCUGUUUUUAACGGAUACUACUAAGAAGAAGAAGCAGCAGCGGAUUGAACUAGCGAGCCAAAUAUUUAUUUAGAAGGAAAAAAAAAAGGGAAAAAAANCUCACGGAAAUGUUCGGAACCUUCGCGCUCUCCGUGGGCGCAGCGGUAAGGAUCACAAACUACUCUCUGGAUUUAAAUUAUUAUUAUUAAAAAAAAAAUAGAAGAUAAUGUAAAAGUUUUGUUAUGAAAUUGAAAUAUUUCGUGGUGGGUGGUGUUGUGUGGGGCGUGUGUUGGAAGGUGGGAAUGGAGUUUUGGGCGCGGUGGGCGCACCGGGCGCUGUGGCACGCGUCGCUCUGGCACAUGCACGAGUCGCACCACCGCCCCCGCGACGGCCCCUUCGAGCUCAACGACGUCUUCGCCAUCAUCAACGCCGUCCCCGCCAUCUCCCUCCUCGCCUUCGGCUUCUUCCACCGCGGCCUCGUCCCCGGCCUCUGCUUCGGCGCCGUACGAAUGAUCUCCCUCCUCUUCUUUCUUAAUUCAAAUUCAAGUGAAGAACGCAUUAACAAAUUAUACGAUAUACACUGCAGUCGAAAUAUCUCAAUUACUUUUAAAAAAAAAAUUAUUAUAGUUUAAUUAAAAUUUGAGAAUUGAAUAGUAAAGUGCGUGGAUGGAGAUGGUUGUUUCUUGAUCUCGCGCGGUGAUUCAAUUGCUGACGUGUUGAGUUCCAAUAGGGUCUGGGGAUUACCUUGUUCGGGAUGGCCUACAUGUUCGUACACGACGGGCUGGUCCACCGGCGUUUCCCCGUGGGCCCCAUCGCCAACGUGCCCUACUUCCGGAGGGUCGCCGCCGCCCACCAGGUUGGUUCCCAAAUUCUAACCCUGCACCCCCCCACCCCCACCACAACUCCAACCGCCGCUCUUGAUUCUCUACAAUUCCUUUUCUUUCCUCUUUUUUUUUUUUUCGAUUUUGUUUAUUUAACUAUUACAUUUUAGAAAAUUCAUGAAAAUGUUUAUGUGAGGUUGCGGUUGUGACAGAUCCAUCACAUGGAUAAAUUCAAGGGAGUGCCAUAUGGGCUGUUCCUGGGACCAAAGGUGAGUGGCCGGUUUUUCUCAUUACUGUCCUUUUUCUCCGCUGCAUAAGCACUACAAGACAAUUAAUGUAGCUGCCGAAGGCCCUGUACUGUUCCAGAUUUUGCUAGACUUUUUGGUCUGCAAAACCACUGGAAAAAUAAUAUACCAUUAAGAGUCAACAUAUCACGUUAGUAUUUAAUUAACUAAAUUGAACCGUAAGACAUAAUUAAUUAGUAUACUUCCUAUAUUUUGUUUGAUUUGUGUGUUAUUUUUAUGUUCUUUUUUUUUUUUAUCUCAGGAGCUGGAGGAGGUGGGUGGCCUAGAGGAGCUAGAGAAGGAAAUCAACAGGAGGAUUAAGAGGAAUUAGUUUUGAGCGGCUGGUCAUUUAUUAAUUUUCUGCUUUAAUUUAAGAUAAUUGCGAUCUAUUUUACUUCUUGGUUUGAAAAAAAAAAAAAAAGAAAAAGAGGGCAGUGGAUUUCGCCUCUGGAUUAUAUUCAUGCCUGUGCAGGUGUAUUUGUUAUGUGAGAUUUGUCGAUAGCGAGGGGAGAGGAUGUAAGAAAACAGCUAAGAAGUAAAGAUAGGUUUUGUGAAUUAUUAUUAUUGUAUUAAAGCAUCUUUGUGCAUGUUGACUGGUGUGAAUUGAGUUGACUGGGUCAGAUGCUUCAGUUUGGAGGAAAUAAUCAAGAUUCAAAAUUGGUAUGUAUAGAAUUUUAAAUUUGGACUUAGAAUCUUAAAUCAUCCAUCCGCAAGUUCUUCUGCUCUAUGCAGAUGAUCGAAAGAUGAUUGAAAGAUGAUAGAGGCACAACGAAGUUUAGAAAUUAUUAUUUUCCUCCCACUGGAUUAGUAUAUUCAUGUAAAACCCAUUUAUUUCAAUCUCAUAUUUGUAACUUAACUAUUUAACUGUUAAGUAGAGAAAAAGGUUUUCCUUCUCGCAUGAUUAAGAGAGAUUAAUGUUAAAAAGAUGAGGAUGCAUAUUAAGCAUUAGUAGCACAUAUAGAGCACAUGCCACAAAUUUCAUAUGCUCAUGGGGCACAAUUAACUUUUUGUGCAAAGUGCAAUCAGUAUGCAGUAACUCGCUUAAAGACUCAGCCUAAUCCAAGAAUUUAAAUAACUCGGAUAAAAAUCUAUGUCUAUAUAUUAUUCUUUCUAAAUUUGUCAGAUGACAAUAUUUUAUUUAUUAUUGAGUGUGGGCUCUAUUCUGAACCGGCUUAAGUUCUCCACAUAUUUUUUUCUUUUUUACUCAAACUGAAUCGAAUUUUUUUUUCUUUACUUGAGCUGAAUCAAUCAUUGCUGAUUGUAGGCUCUUUCGAAUCGGCUCAAGUUUUCUAUAUAUUUUUUUCUUUUAUUACUUAAACCAAAUUGGGUUUUUUUUUUUUUUUCUGCUUGAACCAAAUCGGAUCACACAUCUGCAUUGGGCUCAACUAUUCUUCUUUCACUUUCUUCGAUUGUUAUCUUUCUUCAUCGGCAAUAUGAGUCCCACCCUUUAUCGUCGUUUCUUUCACCGUUGUUUUCUCUUCCUUUGUCACCAAUUUUUUAUUUUUUCUCAAAUCAUCUAUCGUCGCAUUGCACGAAUUAUUAUACUAGUAUAAUAUCAAUUGCACAAUUAUACUUGUGAAUUUCGUGGCACUCAUGUGGAGCGAAAAAUAAAAAAUAAAAAAAUUGCGCAUGCAUAUGGGAUGCUCAGGAAAGAUCCCUAUGCUAUUGUUAGGGUACAUAAAUGAAAAAGGGUUGUUGAGGUUUGAGUCAAUGUGCGUGCUCCAUUCACUUCUAUGAUUGAUGGAUGAUAUUUAUUGUUCGCGUCUCUGCUUGUCCAACUCCAGAUGCCUCAUGUGCCUUUCAUUAACAAGCGGUCACAUCUUUCACAAUGACGCUUAGGAUUGGUCCAUUUGGUCAUUCUCCUGGGGAGCUACCAUUCAAAGUGCAUUUUAUUAAUAUUAAUAAUUAAUAAAAAGCACAAGUUAAUGCUUAUUAUUAAAAUAAUAAUAUCUGAUAUGAGUUUGGUGACAGUAAAGAGUUGUACCGUACUCCUUACAUUUCUAUAUAAAAGGUUCGGAAGGUAGGCAGGAGUUUGACUUCGUACAAUUCUACGCAAAAUUUUUCUACCGAGAUUCAAAUUUAUGACGUUUUUUUUUCGCUCUGUCUCCAUCUAAAUAUCUCAACGACCAUAUGCUAAUAUAUCUAUUUUUUUAAGAAAAAUAAAUAUUUACUAAUGAAAUCUGGGAUUUAGAAGGAUAUUUCAGUAAUUUUAGGAUAAAUUUAAAAAUUUUGAGUAGUAGUCCUUGAUAAAUAAGCGAAUGUUUUUUUUUAGCAGAAAAGGUAGGCAAUCUAUUUGUUUUGUUUAUUUUUAGAAAAUAAACUGAACAAAAAAUAUAAAGUAACUAGAUUUCAAACUUAGAGCAUGCAUUUGGUACCAAUUAUCAAGUACUUAGCCAAUUGCGCUAGAUGUCAUAUGGUGAAAAAAAGGAUCUAAAAUUGGCUCUUAUAUGAUCGAAAUUUUCUUAGAUUAUUCAAGGUCUAUUUUCAACCUACAAGAAUAAGAAAUUUUUUAUGGCAUUAUUAAAGUAAGCAUUAUAUUAAACUCCGUCUAAAACAAGAAUAAUCGUGAUAGCUACUCUAAUUUCGCACGAACUAAAGAGUUGUACUCCUUACAUUUCUAUAUAAAAGGUUGGAAAGUAGGCAGGAGUUUGACUUUGUACAAUCCUACGGCAAAUUUUUCUGCAGAGAUUCAAAUUCAUGACUUAUUUUUGCUUCGUCUCCAUCCAGAUAUCUGAACAUCCAGAUACUAAUAGCUUAAAUUUUUAAUUUAUUUUUGUAAUUUUGAUUUAUUUUUUUAGGAUAAUAUUUAAUAUACUUUUCAAAGUUUCAAAAAUAUAUAAUAUAUCUUUUUUUUAAAAAAAAAAUCAAAUAUUUCUAAAUCCCUACAAUUUACUAAUGGAAUUCGAGAUUUAGAAGGAUAUUUCAGUAAUUUUAAGAAAAAUUUAAAACCUUUGAAUAGUAGUCUGUGAUAAAUAAGCAAAUGUUCUUUUUUAGCAAGAAAGGUAGGCAGUCUAUCUGUUUUGUUUAUUUUUAAUAAAUAAACUGAACAAAAAAUAUAAAGUAACUAGAUUUCGAACUUAGAGCAUGCAUUUAGUACCAAUCAUCAAGUACUUAGCCAAUUGCGCGCGCUAGAUAUUUGUAAUUUUAAUUCGUCUUAUGGUGUAAAAGAGGAUCUAAAAUUGGCUCUUAUAUAAUCGAAAUUUUCUUAGAUUAUUCGAGGUCUAUUUUCAUCCUGCAAGAAUAAGGAAUUUUCUAUAGCGUUAUUAAAAUAAGCCUUAUGUUAAAUUCCGUCAAAAACAAGAAUAAUCGUGAUAGCUGCUCUAAUUUCGCAUGACUAUGUUUCGCACAUGCCGCUCUGACAUUCCUAAUAUACAAAGUAAUUUUGAGGCGGCUCAAAAUCUUAUUUACAUUUUUUACCGCAAAUAUAUAUAUAUUUUUUGUUAUUUUGUUAUGCUAUGUUACAUUUGUACACUAGUAUCGACCAUCACUAGAGCAAGUGGCAAAAGGUUUGGUGGUUGGUAUCUGAGACCCAAGUUCGAAUUCUAGUUGAUUCAUAUUUUUAAUUAAAUUUAUUUUCUAAAAUGAAAUAAACGAAGCGGGUAGCAUGUUAUCUAUCUCUAAAAAAAAAAAAACAUUUGUACACUAGUGAAAAUAAUAAUAAUAAUAAUAAAUUUUUUUUUUUGAGAGAUAGGUAGCACGCUACCCGAUUCGUUUAUUUCAUUUAAAAAUAAACUUAGCUGAAAAUAUGAAUCAACUAGGAUUCGAACUUAGGUCUCGGGUACCAACCACCAAGCCUUUUGCCACUUACUCUAAGGACGGUCGGUAAUAAUAAUAAUAAUAAUAUUGAAAGCGAAUGCAGCAGUGUGGCUGAAAAAAAAAACCUCGUCUUGCUUAAGAAUAUCUCCAGAAGUAUCUAGCCUUUUAGAGAGAGAGAGAGAGAGAAAGAGAGAGAGAGAGAGAGAGAUGCAAAAGAAGUUCACGCAACAAAUAAAUAAAACGAGUGUGAGGUGUACCCUACUGAUCAUAAACAUGUUUUAAAAAAUUUAAAAAUCCUACGUGUAAUCCCACAUAGAAUAUGGUGUGUUUAUUUUACAUUCUUCAAUUUAAAAAUUUAUAAACUAAAAAAAAAAAUGCUACGAGUACAUUCAUUAUAAGAGUGUAUAUUUUACACCUAAAGAUUUAAGAAUUAAUAAAUUCUGUUGAAUUUUAGCAUAAUAAAAAAAAAAAUGAUAAGACAAGUGAAUUAAUAAGAAUCACAAAAGACAUACAAGUGUAAAGUUCAUAAUAUAGGAUGAAUGGAUAGUAUUAAUUAAUUUCAAAGAGAUUUUAAGUAAAAAUAAUAAUAAUACAAGUGAAAAAAAUAUGAACCAUUACACCUAUAUUAUAGAUGCAAAGAUAUAUAGCAUUUUUUAUACUUUAUAAUUUGGCUUUAUUUUCAUGCAGUUGUAAACAUGUACUUUAUAUUUAAUAUUUUAGCCACUUAUUAAGAGAAUUACCAUGCAUAGAGUUUUUUAUUUUUUUAUUUUUCCUUCCAGAAGGUAUGUUGAUUCACCACAGUUCUUGAAAAUUUCCAUAUGGAUACAUCCUUAAAUUUGUAUCUACGAAAAUUACCAUGCAUGCAUACAUUUUUUUUUUUUUUAAAUUUACUUUUGAAAAGGUAAGUUGAUUCACCCUGAUUCUAGAAUUUUUCCGUAUAGUCUUUUUUUUUUAAUUUUUUUGAGAGAUAGGUAGCACGCUACCCGCUUUGUUUAUUUCAUUUAGAAAUAAACUUAGCUGAAAAUGUGAAUCAACUGGGAUUCGAACUUGGGUCUCGAAUACCAACCACCAAGUCCUUUGCCACUUACUCUAGGAACGGUUGGUAAUUUUUCCAUAUAGUCACAUCCUUAAAUUUUUAUCUAGGGCUUUAGGAUACCAAACAAGGUUAGACCUCAUUCGUAUUAUGAUACAUUUACAAACAAGAAUGAUUUUGUUAGGUUUUAAUUGAGCACCAAAAUUUUUAGAUUGUAUUCCUCAGAAAAAAGUUAAUUUAGAUUAUUUUACUUUUGAAACUUUAUAUUAUUAAUUUCUUUCACCGAUAAUCUGGUCGGUAAACUAUGCACCUCUCUUCUUAGGAAUAAAGUACGAUUUUGAUCUUGUCUGUUUGCCGAAUCAUUGGCGCUAAUCUUUAAUCCUAAUAACUUGGAUUAUUAGAAAUAUGCAAUAAUUUGUUUAAAACGCUCACGAGUCUUGACUGUAACUCGGUCCAAUCAGAGUCACACCACUUCGAAUAUAACUUGACCCAACUUGACCUUCCUAUCAUAAGAUAAAAUGGUGGUCACUCUAAACCAAUAAUCUACUGUAUCUGAUGUAAGCUAAUGAUUAGCUAUAAUUAAAUCCUAUAUAGCAGUUGAACUAAGAUAACAUAAAAAAAUAAAAAGCCAAUUACGCUAAAGAAUUAAUUAGGUAUGAUCACAACCAAUAAAAUAGAAUCGAAACUGUAUAAAGGUAAAUAUGACGCAAACAAGGGCCACUCAACAUGCCAGGUGUUUUGUGGGGAUUAGUUAUUUUUGUCCCAACAAAAUAAAUAAUUUUUAUGUCAACGUUGAAUCUACGAUGAGAAACAGUGAUUUUUCAAAAAGCUCAAUCCUAAAAAAUCUUAUAGGAUUAGAAUAUGUGGAUACCCCCUCGAAUAUAUGUCAUUUCAAAAUAGAUGUUUGGAUACCUUUUUUUUUAUUAAGAUCUUCUUGAUUAGUGAUUUUUUAUUUAAAUUUUAUAAUUAGUAAAAUUAAAAACUUAUCAAGUUUGAUGAUUUUAUUAAUUAUUAAUUCUUUUAUCGGCUAAAAAUAAUCGACAUCAUUAAGCUUGAUAAAAUUACCAACGAAUGUAAUAAAAUAAUAUUUUUUUGACUAAAAUCAAUUAAGUCUAAGGGCAUGUUUUGUUUACGAUUGAAAUAAGAAUGAAAAAGAAAUUGGAUUAUAUUAGAAUGGUAAAAAAAAACGGCGAAUCAUUCAAACAUUAAUUUUGGUUCAAAUGAAAAUUAGAAUGAACAAUUAAAAUACCUAAAAGUUUGAGAGUUGGUUUUUUAAGGAAGAGGAGAAUAAUGAAGGGAGAGGUGUUUAAAAGAAAGAGAGUUUUGAAUGAUUUACUUUGAAAUGCAUCAGUUUAGAAUUUAAGGCCGAAUUGGAUUAUAAAUGAAUUGAAUCAUUUUCAUUUCAAAGUAAAAUGAGAAUUAGAAUCCGAUUUCUGUAAAACAAACAACAAGUGUUAUAAUCAAUAAGUUAUAUUUCGAUUUCAGACCCAAAAGAUAUAUGAACCAAAUAACCUCAAAAGUUAAAAAAAUAAAGAGCGAGAAGUCCAAUUCAAGAUGGCUUAUAGUUGGGAGUCUUUAUACUGAGCGAGGAGUAGAAGUAUCAAAUUUCUAUAAUUUUUUAUUUUAGUUUUUAUUAGUCUUAUUUUGUUUUGAUUGCCUUCAAUAUUUUCCGAGGCCGUGUUGUCUCAAUCCCUGUACUUAAAUUUAUCUGCUAAAUAAAUGAAGCAGAUAGCGUGUUAGCUAUCUUUCUCUCUCAAAAAAAAAAAAAAAAUUCUUAUUCCAUCUUUUUCGUGUGAUCAUCAAUCAAUCCAUGAAAGGACCACUAGAUAGAUACAUUUCCACGUGUCCCUUAGACUUAAAUUAUACCACAUUUUAAUUAGAAUUUGACGUUGCCCUAUCUAAAGGUCAAAUGACAUACCUACCACUACACUACACUCAAACCCAAAAGUGUGAAACUCCCCGAUCUAAAACGCCAUUGCACACGUCAAAUUGAGCAAUCUAUAAUGCAUCAUCCACUAAACUAAUAUUGCUCGUGUAGUGCGCUCUUUCCCAAUACUAUAACAUCCGCGUUUGGCAUGUGCCCAUUAAUUAAAAAAAUUAAGUUUUUACUAGAAUUAGAAUUUUAGGGCUAGGCCACGUGUGCCGCUUUGGUCCUCGCUAAGGUAUGUUUAUUUCACGCGAUUGAGAAGUAGAACACGCAUCUCGAACCGGUCCGAGAAUGAAUCUACGUUGUAAAACCGUCUUAUGCGUGUUCCGAUCUGAUUGUGAUUUCACUAGGUGGAGGCUACCUCCGAGACUAAAUUAGUCGAAACGGUAACAAAUUUUACAUAAUUUAACUGCUUUUUAGAUAGAUGAAUCCAUAAUUGUUUGGCAAGUUGCAAUGCGCACGAGGAUUUGUUCCCCGCAUACAACUUAAGGCUUCACAAUAGAUCUCCAACAUAUCGGUCAAAGUUACAAUCUAUGUUCUCCGAAUUCUGAGCACCGAUUAGGUCCUCCAAACACCAUAAUCCAAGAAACCUCUCCGUGCUCCGGAUUAAGCGAGCAUGGAAUUGUUUCGGAUCGAACCGUCUCUACCAUCCACUGCGAAAUCAAUUGACGUGGUAACAACUUUCGCAUAAAUUAACCACCUUUUUGAUAGAUGAUCAAACGGUCGUUUGAUAAGCUGUGUACCGAAACUUUCUACGCAUUGGGUUGUAAGAGGACACGCUUUCGACACGCAACUCGAGUAUAUUCUAUGAAAUUUAGGACAUUUAGGUAAUCUUGCUAGUGAGUCGGCAAGAGAUUUCAUUCUCAUACCUUGAUGUGCCCACAUUUAAAAAUGCCUACAUGAAAAUAACUGCUCCUGCAGUCGGAUCCACACUUCUUAGUCUCGCACUCAAAUCAACUAUAUAUUCUGGUUAUUGUUCUUUCAUUUGCUAGUGCUUGUUGCACUUUCUAAGUAGAAGAGCUCGUUCGACGGAUGUAGUUUGAACCCGAGUUCCUAACUAUUCAUUUAGUACUAAGUUACUGUUAUGCGAAAUCGAACUCCAUGGUGUUUAUACAAAACUAACAACUUGAGACAUCGAAACUAAAUUAUUGGAUUGAUUGGUCCACGUACUAAUGAUAUUUGGGAAUUUUGUUUUAUUAGAGAAAAGUAUCAAAUUUUACGGUUGUUCAGAGAAGGUGCGCCUACAGGCUGAUAAUUUACGAGUUUGCUCAAAAAAAGAAGAGAAAGAAAAAGAAAAAGGGCAAACAAUUUAGCUUGGAACCAAGACAAGGAAAUGAAUGAGAGAAAAUGUAAUUUACAUUGCUAGAAUACCAAGUCAUAUGAGCAAGAGUAUCUAAGUUCGUUUGCUAUAAAUAGCAUUUUUCUUGCUAUAUAUGCAAGAAUAACUCCACAUCUACACCGACUUUGGCCGGAUGGUUCAUUAUAUCAAAUUAAUUACUCAUAUAGUAAAUUUUAACUCUUUGAAAUUUUCGUACUAAAAUUGUAAAUGCGCAAAUGUUCGUGUCGGCUCCAUAGCUUCUUUUGAAGAGUAAAACUAUGCCCACAUACAAAUCUUGCAACAUUUUACUCACAUGCUGCCAUGGAAGAUUUCAAUUGAACGACUGAUCCAAUUUAUAAGUAGAAUGGUAAUUAUAAGUGAAAUUAUUUAAUUAUAAGUGAAAAAUUAUAAAAUAAAGAUCCGUUUUGUAUUGAGACUAUCUUAACGUUAUUAGACAAACCGACUUGGGGGGGCAAAAGUACAUAGAAAUAAGUUUUUUCUAUUUCUAGUGAGAAACUAGGAAUAAACAUUUUUUUUUUUUUCAUCGAACUUUUUAACUUUAACGUAAUCUCUCAGCAAUUCUAAACGGAGCCUAAGUCGGCGGAGAAUUUUCCUUUGUGGAAUGUUAUUUGCAGUCUAACUCAGCCCAACCCAACUAGGACUAAAUCUUGGGUCUACACAGUCUUAUUUAGGCCUGGUCCAACAAGAUAUCAAAGCGUUUUUAUUUAGGCCCAUAUUAUCUAAACCAGGACUAUGGCCCGAAACGAGAUUAAAUGGGCCGGGCCCUUUGGCCCCAAACCCAAUAUCGAACCACUCUUACCUUAUCACCAUCAUCAUCCACAAAUAUACCUAUAUAUAUCUCCUCUUCCCCAUUCCCUUCUCCUCGCUUGCUCCUCAUGGCGACUAUGGCCAUGGCCAUGGCCAUGCGCGUCUCCUCCUCCUCCUCCUCCUCCUCCCUCGCACUUCGCCCGCGCCCUCCCACGUCGUCCCCUCGCACGGCGACUCUCCCGAGCACUCGUCUCCGGCCACCGCCCGUGUCGGCCGCCUCCGCAGCUGCGGCGGCGGCGGCGGCGGCGCCGCCGCAGCCGGUGAAGUCGCCCACGGGCAUCGUCCUCGUCGACCGCUCCGAGGCCGAGAAGGUGCACCGCCUCAAGGCCGCGUAUCUCGAGAAGGUCGUCCCCCUCCUCAAGGAGGAGUUCUCCUACGCGAACAUCCACGAGGUUUUACUCCCAUCUCUUGCUUUCGCCUCUUUUUGUUAGGGUUAGAGUUAUGUUAGAUGAUACGGUUUCGUCCCAAUUAGGUGCCUAAGAUCGAGAAAAUAGUGGUGAAUUGUGGAAUGGGUGAUGCGGAGCAAAACUCCAAGGGUUUGGAAGCGGCGAUGAAGGAUUUGGCGAUGAUUACGGGGCAGAGGCCGGUGAAGACGAAGGCGAAGAAUUCCAUUGCGAGCUUCAAGCUCAGGGAAGGUGCCACCGUCGGCAUCGCCGUCACUCUUCGCGGUAAUGUAAGGAAUCUCCGAAAACCUAAACAUAUUUGUGAUUAAACCUUUCUUAAUUUUCCGAAAGUAUAUGACAAGGAAUUAUGCUUAUGAUUAGUGAUAAUUUUGAUAGUACAUUCCACGAAAAAUCUCAAUAUGGGAACUUUAUGCUAGUGCAUUUCACUUUGAUCCCCUGUUUAGUUACUUGUACAACAAAAUUACUGUGAUGAAUAAUAAUUGAUCCCUGUUAGUUUUACUUUGUACAUUGAGGGCAAAUGACGGAAAGGGUCUACUUGGAACAAUAAUCGAUCUCUGUUAAUUUUGAUAGUACUUUCCAUGAAAAAUCUCAAUAUUGGAACUUUAUGCUAGCGCAUUUCACUUUGAUCCCAUGUUUAACAAAAUUACUGUGAUGAAUAUAAACAAUAAUCGAUCUCUGUUAGUUUUACUUUGUACAUUAAGUGCAAAUGACGGAAAGGGUUUACUUGGAACACUUAGCCAUAGUGUGUGGUGUUGCUUGUCCACUCCAAAAGAACAUAGACCAAAGUGAAACUUACCCUUAUGCAAUUCUACUUGGAAAGUUGUCGAAUCAAUGCAGCAACACGAUAAAAAUUAUAAACACCGUAGGAUUUGUUCUGCACAUGGCUCCUUGACGGAUGAUACUGGAGUCGAUCCUUCAUAAAAGCUUAUCUUCAAAGAGAACUUGCUUGUCUCUCCAAUUGCAAGUCCUUACAUCAGUAAUAACUUAAUCUUACAUGUAUUUGCUUACAUGAUAAAUAUAUCAGACACUCAUUUCUUUAGUGAUGUAUUUCCCAAAGAUCAUUCUUUCGUAAAAGCAAUAUGUUUCCUUCAAAUGUUUUAGUGUAUAUGUUGUUUAUGCAGUCAGUCGACCUCCCAAGAAUAAGGUAGUUUCUAGACAUGCUAAUUUCUUUUCGCAACCUUUGUUUCUAUUGACAUCUGAAGAAGUUUCCAUAACUAUGAUAUCUUGACAAAUUUUGCCACUUUGAUAUUCCUUUGUUCAUUGUAGGUACUUUUCAAUACCUUCUUAGUUUGCCAAAUUUUGCUAAAUAGAUUGAUCACAGGUUUAAAACUACUGUCGUGUUGUCAUCCUGUUCUAUGUUUCUCUGAUACUUCAAAAACCAACUUUCUUAGUUGUCUUGGGGCGAGGUUGAUCAAUGAUUAAAUGAAGUGUCAGGGUAAACUAAAUCAGUUUACAGAUGUGUCCUUUUAUGCUUUUGACCUGCGGUUUUUAUUCUAAUCAGUUUUACUUAUCUUGCAAUCGCCGGUAUGACAAGCUGUAAGUUUGCAGAUGAUAAAUCAUCAUACCUUAGUUUACUAAUGGACUGUUUCUUCCCUUGUAUUUUGAAUUCAUGAAUUUAACCAGAUCCUUAAGUGGACAACACUUAGAUGUUGUAUGUACAUCAUGAUGCUGAGAAUUUUUGUGCUUUUCCAUUUUUCAAAUCUGGCAAAUAUUUUCCUGCAUGUUGAUUGUUGGAGCUUCAUGCUUGCUAAUCUUGUUCUUUACUUGAUGUUAGAUAAUGUACUCGUUCCUCGAUAGGCUCAUAAAUCUCGGGCUCCCUCGGACGAGGGAUUUCCAAGGCGUGAACCCGAACAGUUUCGACGGCCAUGGGAACUACAGCAUCGGCCUCCGCGAUCAGAGCGUGUUUCCCGAGAUCAGGUACGAAGCCCUAGGUAAGCAAAGGGGAAUGGACGUCUGCAUUACCACCACCGCCAAGACUGAUAACGAGGCCCAGAAACUGCUCGCUCUUUUAGGCAUGCCGUUUAGAGAAGGCGGAGGGCCGACCGUGAUGGUGCGCAAGAAGAAGAGAAAGGCUGCUCAUUUCGAUUCCAAAUCUCGAGGAAGAAAGUGACACUUUAACUCGUUGCUGGCGAAAUGUUUCUUUUGAUCGCAUAGACAGGCGGAUCAGUAUUUUGCUUGUGUUGUUUAGCAAAUGACUAUUGUGUAUAACUUGCCUUCAUUCAAUCCGAGUUUUUUGUUGUAGCCAUGGUGCAAUACAAGAUGGGGAGUUGCAUACUUCAUGCUGCAUUAAAGUGAUGAAGUGAUUAGCAACAGUAUUAGUUGAUUCAUAAUUUUGUUUAAUCCACACUUUUAUUGUCAUCAAUUUCUCUCUCUCUCUUUUGAUGCUCUAUAGAUAUGGGUCCACUUGAUAGCACUUGAAGAUUAGUUCAACUGAAAAGUUCCAUUUUUUUUUAGAUUAAUAAACA
rnacentral:lncRNA from 1 species